AAAUGAAUGUGUUGUUGGGACCAUCUCUCUUCAAGUAGAAUCCAUAUAUAAGCCAACAAAUGACAUAAUGGAGCAUUGUCAUGCAUCAAAUAAGAAUGCAAUUGUUUCCAGCAGUGAUGAAAAUGAAUGUGUUGUUGGGACCAUCUCUCUUCAAGUAGAAUCCAUAUAUAAGCCAACAAAUGACAUAAUGGAGCAUUGUCAUGCAUCAAAUAAGAAUGCAAUUGUUUCCAGCAGUGAUGAAAAUGCAUGUGUUGUCAGGCCGUUCUCUCCUCAAGUGGAAUCCAUAGAUGACUUAAGAUGUGUUUCAAAAAAAGGCUUGAUUAAGCGCUUAUUGAAUAAGUUCUUAUCAUGCGAAUACUUUUGUAAUGCAAACUCAGAAAAUAAGAAAAAUCAAGGUUAAAAGAUGGUGAAAGAAUGUCAGGUCCCAAUUGAUUCUUAUGGUGGCUGCAAAUCUUGUAUUGUUGCUUGUACUGAGAUUGCUUUGGGCAGUGGAUGAUUUGUUUUACAUGUAGAUUGGUGGCUACUAUUAAUUCUCUAAAUCUGAUGGCUAAAGAAUGGAUGCUUGGGGAAGGUCCACUUGUUUUGGGAUCUUGGUUUCUAAGGGAGUCCAACUUGUGCUUGAUUCUGAUGCCCUUGAUUUUAAUCCUUUGAAGUGAAAAAGAUAUGUGUAAUCCAAAUACUUGACAAUUGAUCAAUCAAAUGAAUAGUAUGCUUAAAUAGAAUUGGCAGGUGGAUCAACUGCGUUUUUAGAGAAGUCAUAAAACAAGUUGAUAACCUUGGCAAUCUAAGUAUGUACCUAUGUUGAUCAUUUCCUGCAGCAUGAGAUGCAUGACUCCUAUUAUGGUAAUACUGUUAUGAGAGAUCUUGCUUAGUGUGCCUGCUGUAAUUCUUCGAUCUUUUGAAAUUUAAUCUAGUUAUCUUCAAAUAAAUAUAUUUUUUUGGUGAGAUCAUGUAUUGUUUAUUGUUUGAAAUUUGAAUUUGUAUCUAGAAAUUGGGAUUUAUUCAUUUCUUUUUGGCGAGUUUCCACGUGCACAUUGUAGUUUAUUUUCUUUCAAGUUUGGAUUUAUUUCUUUGAAUUGGAAAAGAAUAAAGUGAAAAGAAUAUGGAAUACAAGACCGAAAUUUGGAUUUCUUUUGAAAUAGGGAAAUCCAAUUCAUCCCAAUUUUUAGAACUUUGUUUGUGGAAGAUUUCAAUUUCUACUAAAAGAAAUGAUGUUUGUUUCUGGUUCUCCAUACAAGUGGAGUAGAUUUCCUGGGUUCAAAUUAUGAAGUGUUCUAUUUCUGAGAAGACUAUUUAUGCUAUAUUUACUUGUAGCACGUACGCAGUGAUGUGGCGGGGAUGAACAUGGUUUCCAAAUUAAGGGAAAGAUUGUUUAUGCUAGAUUCUUGGUUCCUUCAACCUGACUUCCUCGACAUGGAUAUUAUUGGCAUCUCUGGUAAUGCCUUUUUCACUUUACUUGGUGCCCCUGAUUGUUUGUUAAUUAGCAAACUUGGAUUGACACCAUAGAUAUAUUUGAUGUUGAUAAAUAAAUUUGCAUACCCUGUAGAUCUUUUUUAUGUUUCCCUUUUUUCACAUGAAAGUGGCCCUCCAAUACUGUAAUUUUAUUUUCUUAUUUAUUUUGGUAACAUCUUUGAAAUUAUAUGAUACGUUUUGUUUUUAAAAAUAUUUUAUUGUUGAUAGUUUUUCAAUUAUUUUUAUUUGAAUGAAUGACUUGUGUCAUGGAAGGUUGUUAUUCUACUUGUGCAAGUAGAAAUAGGUUGGAUUCUUAUUUGAGCUUGAUUUGUUUUGCUUUCUAUGUCAUGUUGUGUUGUCCCAAAAUAGAAUACUAUCUAAAGUAUACUAAGAGCAUUUUUUGUCUAAGAUCUCAAAUUGAAGAUCUCUCAAUUGUACGGGAUCACGUACAAUUGAAGAUCUCUCAAAAUCUCUAUCAUUUUUUUCCUUUAAAGCAACUUUAGUUUUAGAUUUUAAACAAGGGUCUUUAGUAUCUAAGAUCCUAAUUUGGAAUCUAUCACUAAAGUUGUUUUAGUGGUAGAUUUAUGUUUGGAUCUUAAAUAAAUUUUUUGCUAUUUUUAAAUAUUUAAAUAUUUAUUAAAUUAAUUAUAAUCAAGUAAUUAAAUAUUCACUAGUUGGUUUUUUUUUUCUCCUCCCUCUCUCCUCAUCUCAUAUUGUACUUAUUCUUUCUUUCUUUGUUCGCUUUUUUUUUUUUUUUUAAUUUUCAACUCCCUCUCUCCUCAUCUUAUAAGUUGCUUCUUUCUUUCCCUCUUUUGUGGCCCACCCCUUUUUCCCUUCCCCCUUACCGCGACCCACACCCUUCCUCCUUCCCCUCCACCAUGACCCCCCGGGUAUGUCUAUUUUUUGUUUGUUUUUUUUAUCUGUUUAUUUUGCUUUCUUUUUCUUCACCCCCCUCUGUUUGUUUUUUUUACUAUGUACUCCUUCGAUUAGUUCUGCAUUUUGCUGUUAGGGAGAGAGAGUAAUUUUUUUUUUUUGAACAAUAUAGAGAUCUAGAGAGUUCUUGUACAAGAACCCAUUCUCCAUAUUGGAGAUCUGUCUAAUUCUUUUGUUGAGAGAUCUACUAAAGAUUAGAUCUUGAGCUUAAGAUUUGAUAUAAAAGAUGCUCUAAAAAGUAAGAAUUCAUAUACAAAACAAAUGAAUGAACGAUCAAAUAGAUGCUUAGACAACAUCAGGUAUGAGAGUAUUUCAAUUUAUGAACUAUGUGAAAUAAUAAUAAUGGAAUCCGAAAACAUAAAUCACACAUUUGUGAUUGAUCAAACUCCAUGCUAUAUAUAUAUAUAUAUAUAUAUAUAUAUAUAUGAAGUGGAAGGAUCAAAUUAGACUGGUGUAACUUAAUAAUUAUUAUGCCAUUGAAUAAUUUAUAACCGAAUAAUAUUUUUUUUUAAAAUUUAUUGUUAGAUUGAAAGUUAUUUUCACAUAAAUCAUAUAUAUGAAAAUUUCAUGUUAAUCUAAAGUUAUUUGUUACCUCAUUCAUAUAGAUUAAAGUCGAUAAAAUAUAAAUUUUUUAAAAUAUAUUGAAAUAUGGAUGAUUUAAUUAGAUACUUAUUCAAUGAAUUUUAAUAAAAUUUGAUUCAGAAAAUCUUACUAGUAUAUAGAUAUAGUGCAAAGUUUGGAUGAUAAAAAUCACAUUUUACAACAUUUAAGGAAUUAAGUCGUAGACAUAUAAUUUUUCAUGUACGGUAUUUAAAUGGUAUAUCUAUUAAAUCAAUAGAUGACCAUAUUUUAUCAUAAUACUCAUUGAUUAAAAGUUCCAAUUACAUAUGCCUUUGCAAAAUUAUUUUUUAGCAUUAAAACAUGAAUUUUAAAAAAAUUAAAUUUGAAAAAGAGGAUAUUUAUUGUGUCAUGAUUUCACUUGCACAUUCAUUGUUAAUCACUAACACUUGCCACCUUAAAUUUGCGUAAGUUUGUCCUCUCUUGGUUACAUAUUCUAGAUGCAUCGGAGGAAAGAUCCAACAAAGAAUCUUGUUAAUAAGUUGCCAAAACCAUUCCCUUCACCGCUUCCAAAUCAAGAGCGAAAAAAAAAUAAUAAUUCGAUCGCCCAAAAUCAUUCCCAAUUCCACACUAACAAAGUUGCAGUCAAUUUUCCAAGUUAGUCUUCACAAUUCUAGCUUUGUUAGCGUUGCUGGCUUUUUAUCUUCUGGAUUUUAAGUCAAUGGAAAACCGUAUAGCCUAUCAUUUCCUUCAAAGGAAGAAGCUGGAAAUGACUGAAUUUGGUACCAAUUGGGAUCCUUCCCACCAAAUGAUUGAAUGAGAGAUUUAAAUAUGAAAAGAAAAUGACAAAAUUGCAAGUUGCAUGGGAAUUUCUCCAACCAACUAGUUUUGUGAAAGGCACAAAGACUCCAGUCGUCUCAAGUUACCUAUGGAUAAUGGGAUUUCACUAGACGAAGCAGUUUUUGACAAAAAGAUACAGAGUUCUUUGAAAUCCAUAUGCUCCUUUGUUACAGGUCCUUCAAAAUGGUUGGAUGAGAAAUCAAUAGAUGUAAAGAUUGUAAAAAUUUUAGCCAACUACAUCGGUAAGCCUUUGUUGAUAACUGUCACCCUGUCUUUGAUAAUACACAUUACCCAUUUGUGCAUGAAACCCCUUCUCUAUAAACUUUGAUUCAGUUUCUUGUUCACCAUGCAUUAUAUAUCUUUCCCAGGUUGUGAAAUAUUUUCCUGGCAGUUUACCGCUAAAAUUGUUAAAAGCGAUGUCCACAAUUUGAAGUAUUUCCCAAGUCUUAUUGGUUUUCGAACAUCUUAGGGAGCCUUGAAAUUUGUUUUUCCACAAAACCAGGAUACCAAGUGUGGAUAUUUUCUUCAAAAAGCAUGGAAAGCCACCAAUAAUUUGAUUUAAUCCAAGGUCCAAUACCUUUAACUUCAAGCAACACGAAAGAGAAUUUGGAAUUGGCCCAUCGAAUAGAUUUCCAUGAAGAUUUAAAAUCCAUAGAUUACACGAAGCUGGUAUUGCAUCAGGAAUAUGGCCUGUGAGAUUGUUGUUCUUCAAGUUUAAUACUUUAAGUGUGCCACUCAUCCUCAUUAAACAUGAGAUUAUUGUUCCAUAAAUGUUAUUCAAGGAAAGAUCAAACACUUGGAGAGAUGAAGCAAUGUAGAUGGAAUUGGGGAUGCUGCCAUCCAAAGUAUUGUUUGAAAGAGAGAGAAGAUGUCAGAGACAGCUAAUGACCAAUAUCUUGUGUGAUAAAAGAGCUAAAUUUGUUGCUUGAGAAAUCCAAAUAAUUUUCUUGUUCAGCAAAAAUAGGUAAUUGCUCUUGAAGUUUAUUGUUAUGAAGGUCAAGGGUUAAUAAAUUGAAAGAAAGAUUUUGCGAAAUCAAUGAACGGAUUGUGGGAAAUAUUAAGGGCUUGAAGAUUAUGUAGUAGCCAAAUCCAAUGGGGCGCCGCUCCUUGAACCUUGUUUGCUGAAAGAUCUAAAACAACUAUUGCAUACAAGUUUCUCAAGAAACCAAGAAAGGUUUUCAAGUUGCAGGAUGCCAAGUUUAGAUACGAAAUGCUGGGAAGGGAAGACGAGCCAGCAUUUGUAACAUUCACAUCAAUUUUAAGUUGAUGCAUGAAAGGUCAAGCUCAGUUAAACUUUUAACCUCAAGAAGCUUAUUCAGCUGUACUGACCCAUUAAACUGGUUUGAAGAAAAAUGGAGGACAAAAAGUGUAUUGAGUUGGAGGAUAGAUGUUGAAAAAGGCCCGAAUAGAUCAUUGCUACUUAAAUCGAGGCUGUACAAUCUAGACACAUUUCUGAUUUUGUCUAGUUGACUAAAAUGAUUGUGGAAAAGCUGAAUUGAUCGGCUAGUAAAAAGGAAUCUAGGAACCCUCCUAGAUGGAUUAUUGUUACUUAUAUCAAGGCUCUCUAGUCUAGAGGAUGUCAAAUUCACCAUUUCAUCCAAUUGACUAAACUCAGUUUCUGAAAGUUGAAUUGCUUGCAGUGAUGGGAGUGUAGAAAGGGAUGAAGGAAUCCUCCCAGUAAAAAUAAGUUAUAACUCAGGUCAAUUUGGACAAGUUUUGUUAGGUUUGACGGUGAAUUGGAAAUUGUCCUGCUAAAUCCACAUUUAGAAAGAUUCAAUUCAGAUAAUUUCCUCAUGUUACCAAUAAAGAAUCGAAUUGCUCCAGACAAGUUUGUGUUACUUAUAUUUAGAGUGGGUUUGGAUAGAAAAUUUUAACGGAAGAAAGUAAUUUAUCAGAGAAUUUAAAUUGUUUUAAUCUAAAAUUCAUUGUUUGGAUGUUUCUUAUGAAAAUUUUAAAUUUUUGAAAUUUUAAAACAGAAUUUUAAUAAAUAAAAAUGGAAAUUUUAAAUUUUCUUCUAAAAGGUGAGAAAUUGAAAUUUUCUUAUUAUAAGUAUCUUAAAAAUAUAAAUAAAAGCCUAAUUUUUUCAAAAAGAUUACAAAGAAAAACCAACGAAAGAGAAAGGAAAAAAAAUGAAAAAUCGAAUUACCUCCAUUGGCGUUCAUGUCGCAAGUUUUGCAUAGCACUGCCAAUGAAAGAUAAAGAAUUAAAAUAAAAAUAAAAAUUUCAGGUUUUCAAUAUCUAUACACCCAAGUCCCUAUUUUUAGGAUCUAAAAAACUGUUCCCCCAAGGGUUUGAUAAUACGUUCAUACCUUCACACACUCUACCAACACUUAUAAUCAUCAAUUCAUAAUCAACCAUCAUUCCUCUUUGCUGACCUUAAACCUAAACCAACCCAAAAAACUUUAAAGGGGAGGAAAAAAAAAACUCAAAGCAUUGGUGUGCUGUGUAUCAGCCUCAAGUGCUCUUAGGGAAUCCUGGUAAGGUAACAAUUAUUGUAUAAAUAAUUUUCACAAUUUUCAAGCUAAUAGGGAAACAUUUAACAUUGCUCUUGUCCAGAGUUACUUGUAUUGAAAAAAAAAUUAUGUGAACACAAUACACGCAGAUCCCAUUGAAAGCAACUAUUAUGAGUUGAUGCAAUGUGGAUACUCAUUAGGACAACUCCAAUUUCUCACUUUAUGUGAUAUGUAAAGAACACUUAAGAAAAUACUGAAUUGCAUAUUUUCUAUUUUUUUUAUCUCACCUGUGUGAAAUCUUUUUGAAAGAUACGUUGUAAAAUUAAUUUAAGAAACUAUUUUAAGAGAUUGCAAUUGUACAAUUAAAAUGCGAGUAAAUAAUUCAUAUGGUAAAUGUAAAGAUAUGAUAAAUUUAUAGUCUUUUAUAAUAUUUGGGGUGAUUUCUAAAUAAUUGCAAUGUUAAAACUAAAAGUGUUUACUGUGGCACUCAAAAACUACUCUGAAAGCCAAAUUUCUUCCUCUAAAUUAAAAAAUAUAUACAUAAUUCACAUGGUUGUUAUUCUACUUGUGCAUGUAGAAAUAGGUUGGAUUCUUAUUUGAGCUUGAAUUUUUUUGCUUUCUCUGUCAUGUUUUGUUGUGUUGUCCCAAAAUAGAAUACUAUCUAAAGUAUACUAGGAGCAUCUUUAGUCUAAGAUCCCAAAUUGAGAUCUUAAAUCACGGAUCGUAUAACGUCACAGAUGAGGAGGGUCAGCGUCACCUAAUGACAUCUAUACAUAGAAAAAUAAUAUUAUAACAUAAAUAUUCUAAUAAAAUAUUAGGACGGAUGAAAAUUACAUAGCUAACGAACUUCCAUAUGACAACAAAAAUAAAAUACACUAACCAAGUUUCGAAGCAUUAGAAGAAAACAAACAUAUCACUAAUAACAAACAUUAUAACUAACUGACAAAUAUCAAUGUCAAAUCCUCUUCAGAAUUAUAAACUUCAAAGUCAUCUUUUAAUUCUCCUUCAUUGUCUUGUUAAAUAUUGUUUGAUUCUUUAUUCAAAUUAGUUUAUUCUUCUUUAUUUGUCAACAAAUAAGCAGGGUUUACUUCUUCAACGACACCUCUUAAAUCUUGCAAUCCAAAAGCACUUUCAACUUCAAUGACUUCAUUGACAUGUGACAUUUCCUCAACUUGGUAAGACACAUCAUCUUGUACAUGAUUGGAUUCUAUGGAAUCCCUUGGCUUCGUUUUUAUUGCUACACAUCAACCACGUUUGUCCCUUCUUAUUGCAGAAUAUGGCACAUAAUACAAUUGCCUUACAUUAUGUGCACUAAUGAAUGGGUCGAACAAAUUAUAACUUUUAUCCAUUCGAAUUUCCACUGUGCCAUAUUUAGGAUCUACCCUUGUUCUUCUACUCAUUGGAUCAAACCAGUGACAAUAAAAUAAUACUACAUGCUUAGGAUAAGUUGUAGUAUUAUACUCAAGCUCAUAUAUAUGUUGAAUGAUCCCAUAAAAAUCAUCUGCGGCUCCUUCUGUAAGUCCAUUUAUGUGAAUCCCACUAUUUAUUGUUUUCUUCCCUUCACUCCAUGCUUGAGUAUGGAAUUUGUACCCAUUGACAAAGUAUGUAUGUCAUUCUUUAACGUAACUCAUGGGAUCAUACGAUAAAUCCUUUAAGUGUUGGUUUCUCACAUUUGUAGGCUCAUUUAUAACCUACGAAUAUAAAGCAUCUGAACAAUUAUAUUUUUUUUACCAUAAAGUAGCAAAAUAAAUAUACAAUAACAUGGUUACUUUUUGCUAGAACCAAGUAGGAAAGUUCACAUGUAGAUUAUGAGUAAAGGCAUUUGACUAGAAUUGCAAGAAUGAAUUGUCCAAAUAUAAUGUUGCAUGAGUCAAUUAUAAGGGGGAAUAAUGUGAAGAUACAAUCAUAAUUAUUGAAUCCCAAAUGGCAUACAUUGUGAAACUUACUUGAGGCAUGGUUUAACUUCAACAUAGUUAAUCAACACAUGAACAUGGGUCGAGUCUUUCUCAUUGUUAGUUAACUAGUGAAUUAACUCUUUCCCAGAAGAACGACCUUGCUUGUCAAACACUGAUAACAUCGGUGGGCACCUUUCAGCCUCAAUUGCAAUUUGAUUCCUAACAUUACACAACGACAAAAUAAAGUUGAUGAAAUAAUGAGAACAAAAAUAAGUUGUCUCACGAUGUAUGUAAGACGCACAAAUGGACCCUUUCACCGCUCGAUUAGAAUCGCCCAUGAAUCUAGAAAUUUUAAAGAAAACCAAGUCAUCGUUCAUGAGCAUUAAAAAAAUGAAAUUUAAAGAAAAUACAAUUACCAUUUUAGUACCUUUCAAAUGGAUACAUCCAUCUAUAUUGGACUGGUCCACCAAGUCUAGCUUCAUAUGCCAGAUGAAUAGGCAGAUGCUCCAUUGAAUCAAAAAACCCAGGGGGAAAUAUUCUCUCCACCUUGCACAGAAUUGGAAUAUUUUGUUCCAUUCUACUCAAGUCAUCCUCCAUCAAAGUUGUAGAACACAUAUCUUUAAAGAAAUGAAUUAUUUCAAUAAGUAGAUUUAAGAAAUGUGGAAGCAAUGAGCUAAAAGCAAUAAGAAGUAAACACUCCAUGAACAUAUGACAAUCAUGACUUUUCAUCUCAUGCAUGGUUCCCUUAUCAACAUUGGCACAUCUGGCCAAGUUAGAGGAAUAACCAUUUGACAUUCGUAGUUCUUUUAUCCAUUGAUAGACUAACUUUAUUUGGUCUACAGUUAGAGUGUAAUUUGCUUUUGGCUUUAAUAACUUCCCGUUAGCCGUCGACUUCAACUCCAAGUCUUUACGCCUAUAAUAAAAAGCUAAGUCCAUCCUACCCUUGUCAUUGUCUUUUGUCUUACCACUGACAUUCAUCACAGUGUUGAAUAUGUUGUCAAAAUUUUUUUUCUCUAUGUGCAUAACAUCAAGAUUGUGUCACAACAAAUUAUCUUUCCAAUAAGGAAGAUCCUAAAAGAUACUUCUUUUUGUUCAAUGGUGUCAUUCCCCAUAUCCAUGUAUAUUUGGUGGUGGCAGUUUCUGUGACAUUUGGCAAAUCUCUAACGCUAUGCCAUACUUGUGUAGGUGUCAAUAUAUGCGGUGACUCAUCUCUUUCUACUUCCCCUUUUUAAAGGCAUUUUUGUUCCUCCAAAAUGCAUGAUCAGUAGGUAAGAACCUACGAUGACAGUCAAACCAACAAGUUUUUCCCCAUUUGCCAACUAAAAGGCCUUUGUGUCCUUCAUGCAAUACGGACAUUCUAGUCUAUCAUGUGUUCCCCAACCAGACAACAUCUCAUAAGCAGGAGAAUCAUUAAUAGUCCACAUCAAAGCUGCCCUUGUGAAAUUUUUCUUUCUUGAAACAUCGUAAGUCAUAACACCACUCCAUAAUUUUUUCAUAUCAUCAAUCAAAGGUUGUGAAUAAACAUCAAUACCAAUUGUUGGAUUAAAUGGACCUGGUAUGACACAACUUAAAAACAUAUAAGGUUUAGUCAUACACAACUCUGGAGGAAGAUCGUACGGGGUAACAAUGAUUGGCCAACAAGAAUAAGGUGAAGAUGAUGCUUGAAUAUAUGAGUUAAAUCCAUCUGUGCAUAAACCGAGUCGCACAUUUUAUGGAUCAAUAGAAAAAUCUGCAUGUACCUGAUUGAAGUGUUUCCACGCUUCGCCAUUAGAUGGAUGGCGUAACAUGCCCGAAGAUAUUUUAUUCUCAUAGUGCCAUGACAUUUGGCUUGCAGUUUGUAUUGAUGCAAAUAGUCUUUGCAACCUUAGUAUUAUAGGAAAAUAAAACAUCGCCUUUACUAGACCUGGAUAUCUGUUGCUUGUUCCAAUAGUCUUGGCACGAUACCUAUGCUUGUUACAAAAUUUGCAUUCGGUUAAUGCUACAUCAUUGUCAUAAUACAACAUGCAGCCAUCCACACAAUAGUCAAUCCUUUUAGCCUCCAAUCCUAACUUUGAUACUAAACUCUUCGCAUCAUGAAUUUUUUUGGUGAACCAUCUUUUAUAGGUGUUGCAUCCAAAAGCAUUUUUGAAAUAAACUCCAAGCAUUGUUCAAGAACAUUCCAAUUGGACUUGCAAGCUAAAAGCGACAAAUAUUGAUAAUUUUGAGUUUGUUGCCCCUUCGUACAAUGGUUCAUUCGUCUCCACCAAUAAAUUGUAAAAUCUUUGAGUAUCUUUAUUUGGAGGUUCUUCCAUAUUAUUUGAGUUUGGAGCCUCAAAUGUUUGAGGUUGUCUCAGAGCAUCACAAAUCAUGUCUUGCAUUAACAUAAAUUGUUCAUGUUGAGCCACAUAUUCUGCACUAGUAGAAGCAUCCAUGUAAAUGUUGCCAUCAUUUAAAUCAACAUGCGACAUGUCUUCACCAUGAUCAAUCCAAAUCCAAUAAUUAGACUUGAAACCAUUUUUGUAGAGGUGAAUCUUCACAACUCUAUCCUUAAAAAUCCCAGUACAAUCACAUUUAACACACGGGCAUCUGAUCCCCUAUCAUUGUGAUAACGUUCUUGUUGACUAGCUUUCAUUACAAGCUCCUUAACCCCCUCAACAAAAGUUUCUUUCAAACUUCUUCUACCACUAUAGCAUCUAUCAGACAUCAUCCAAUGACGAUUUCAAAGAAUAUUGUUCAUGUUCUGUAUAUUACAGAAAAAAAUAAGAAUAUUCAUGUUUUGUCAUACAUAAUCUUAAAGUGAUCUCUAUUAUUAGUAGUAAAAAUUUUAGGUGGGAAAAAUUGACAUACAUAUAAUGUUUGAGUUUGUAAAUGAAGUAAGCAUGAAAUAUAAAUAACAUGAACACAAUCAGAAAUAUACUUAGCACAUUUAGAUUACAAAAUAUCAAGCAACCAGAAUAACAAAAUCCUCAACUAACUUGAAUAAUACAUAUAAAGUAUAUUUAAAAAAAUUCAUCUAGUUAGUUAUAAACAAAAGAUAACAGAAAAUUGAAAAUUCUUAAUUGAGUUAUAUAUUAUUAUAGUCAGACUCAUGAGACUUGUUUCUACCUUGCCAAUCAUUGGUUAGGAGAAUUAAAGAUUAAUUAAAAAGAGAAGUUAUUCUCAUCAAAGAAAGGUAUCUCUUUAGCUAUUAUUGAAUUUUCAUAUGAUGAUUGUAACAUCCCAUUUUUCGUAAAUCAAUUAAAAAAGAUUAUUAUUUAUAAAUAAAUAGAGUUUUAGAAAAAUGAUGAGGUUUUUAUAAUUAAAUAAAUAACUAGAAAUUAGUUUAUUAAUUAAAAUAAUAGUUUGAGAGAAAAUAAAAAGAUAUCUUAUUUAUUCAUUUGAUAGGAAAUAAAAUAGAAUUCUUUUUUAUAAAAUAAUAAAAAUAAAUAAAUAGAGUAAAUAAUAGGCUGAGGGUAGUCUAGUUAUAAAUAGAGACAUGUUAGGCAAGUUUUCAGCGAUACAUCUCUACGCUUUUUUCUCUCAAUUUUAUUUUUCUUUUUCUCCCUCCCAAAAUCAUCUCCUUUUUCAACAUACACUCAAAUCUGUCUCAGUAAAAUUAUGAUUCCGUACUCAUUAAUCGUUGGAUUAUGGUGAAAUUUAAACACGAGUUUAGGAACUUAUUUCCGCACAGACCCACCGUUGGGAUUUGCAAAAUAAUGGCUGUGGUGGAAUGUUUGGGACUUUUCCGAUGCUAAUCAGCAAGUGUACUGAGUCGCAUAAGUAAUAUAAAACGGUAAGAACCGAGUAUCGAAUCACAGGGAACUUGUUUCAUUCAGAAAAUAAAUGUUCAAUGAGAAAACAUUUGUUUAAAGCAUUAAAUAUAAAUGGGGUUUUUGUAUGAAAAUCUAAUUAACUACAAACUAAAAUAUCUAGAAGUUGAGAAGUAAAAACAGUCAAGUAAAAAACGUUGGAUUAUUCUACUGAACUUACCUUGAUGUUGCUAAAUGUUUUUCUCUAUUUAACAUUGUUUUAGUGUUCUUAUGCUGAAAAAUUACCUAAACCAAGAUCCCUCGAGUGAAUGGGCCUAACUCUAUUUAAAGCUCGUCCUUGAUCCCUCAACAAACUUAGUUUAAACGAGUUGCAUUAAGAUUACAACAUAAUAAAAACUAAAUCACUACACUCCAUUUCUAGACAUACAGUUUUCUAGCUUGCUCUAUCAAGUUCUAAGGCUUUGAAACACUUUCCAAUGCUAAAAAUCCAAACUAUACAUACAAAUGGGUGAUCAAGCCACAAGCAUGUAAAAAUAAGCAUAGAUAGAAGCAAUGAACACAUAAAAACAUCAUUAAAUAGAUAGUAAGAGAGUAUUACAUCAAAGGUUCAGCAAAACUCUCCAACAAGAGAUUUAGCCUUCCAUUACAAGUUAGAAACUUUCAGCACAAAGGAUAGAUUUUGAGGAAAGGCAAAGGCUACAAAUGGUUGAGGAUGCCUCCUCCAACCUCUAGAACCCUAAAAUCACUUCUCUAACCUAAACUCUCUUGGAGGCCGGUGCUCUGUCGCUCUAGCUUCUCUUCUUGCUCUGUUUUUUGAAUCCUCUUUUAUUUUACGCCAACUUCAGUGUUUUAAAGGCUUCUUGACGUUUCAGAUUCUGAAGGCUCGCUUAGCCAGCUUGGCUCGCUAAGCGCGAGUUAGUGAAUUCUGGCUUAGCGAGUUGGGCACACUGAGCGCGAGAAAGGACAAACAACUCAUUGGGAGAGCUUGCGGCAUGCAUAUCUUUGGCUGAUCCUCUUCUAGGGUUUCCUAACACGCUAAGCGAGCUGUGUGCCAUGCAAAUGGCUCGCUUAGCGAGACACUAACUGCUUGAACCUCCUUCUUCUUUUAGCCUGAAACUGAAGUUGAUUCACAUUGAUUCACAAAAAUAGGAGUAUCUAUUGAGUAAAAUUAAACUAAAUAUGAAAAUAUGUACAAUUGCUACAAAAAGAACCAUAAAUUGGAGGAAAGAUGAUAAUUUCACGUGACUAUUAAAUACAAAACUUAGUCGUAAAUGAUGACCAACAAACUCCCCCAAAUUUAUAGUUUUGCUUGUCCUUGAGCAAAGAAAUAACAAUUUACUUGUCCUCAAGUGAUAGAAUUCAGAGUGGUUACUCAAAAAUGUGUUUGAUCCAAAACAUUCAAUCACAUGAACAUAAGUGGCGAGCAAUACUUUAACCAACAGUUCUUCAUAAAGAUAUGCAGAAUUUCAAAGAUACGAGCAUGAUCAUUAAGCAGCACAAGUGAAAUAAACUACCAAGCAAGAUAGAUAUCAAGGAAGGUUCAUCAAGCCAAAUCCUCACGGUCACUGUUUCUCUCAUAAGCACAAGUGUUUAAGGCAAUUCUUCAAUUUUACAACCAACACAAGUCUCAACUUUUGCAUUUCAUCUCAUGACAUACAAUCACAAAUACAAAAAUUGAAUCUGAAGGACUUUCUUGGCUUGUAAUGAGGCUGGGUUGCAAACAAUUCAUGGUUUUUCUAGGAUGUAAAAACUUAGGUUCUAGGAGAGCAUUCAUCCUUAGAUCAACUCUUUUCCUUUUAUUCCAGCUUCUAUUGACUUGCCACCAACAUUUAAGGCACUUAGCUUAAGUAACAACACACAUAUUUUUAUUCUUGAAACUUCUCUCUCUUUUUUUAUUUUAUUUUAGCAGUCUUUGUUGCUUCUUAUAUACUUUAUGUGUGGCCGUUUACUUAUCUUACCACAAUUACCAUCACCCAACAUCGUCCCCCAAAUUUGGGACAAAUUUUCUUUGCACCAUGAUGCUCUCCUACAACCUAAGAAAGGUAGAUGGAGAUUAUAAUUCAACAGGCUCAAGGUUCAUCUCAAUCAAUCAUAUUUAAGCUCAAAAUGGGUGCAAGGGAUUCAUCAUUCAUAAACAAGGUAACCUAUUUGGCUAAGUGGCUAAUUCAAUCAAUCACGACCUUCAUCAUUUCCAAAAUCAUGCAUUCAUUCAGUAUUAAGAGAUUCAUGCAAAAAUCAGUACCCAAUGCUAGUCGUUCUCUCACAAUAAAGGUUCACACACUCACCGGGUUAUGGCUAAUGAUUACCUUCACAAUUUACCUGUCAAACAAACUAACAAUUUCACCCACGUCCCUAAUUCAUGUUCUUUCUCUUCUAAUUACCGCAUACUUAUUCAAAGUAUGUGAUCUAACAUCGCAAUUCACUCGAGUCAUGGAAUCUAUCAAUUUCAAAGUCAUUCACAAACACAGAAAUUUUAAAACCAACAUAACCACUGCAUAAAUAACUGUAAACUGUUUCAAAAACUGAAAAAUUUGCUAAAUAAGUAAAUAAACUAAACUAAAACUGAAAUUUAAAACUAUAUCUAAAAAGCAGAAAAUAAAUAAAUAAAGCCUUGUCUUUAGUCAUCCUAUGCCGGUGUGGGCUCAUCAUGAGGUGAGGAAGGAGCAUUCUGGGCUGGCUGAGGUGUAUCCUGUGUUGUAGUGGGCCAGGGAUCCCAAGUGCUCUGCGCCGCGACCAUGCCAGCUGCAUAGUCUGUUUCUCCAGCGCCAUCCUCAUCCUCUGUUGUAGAAGCAAAACUUCAAGAAUUAUUUUGAUGAUGCCAAGGAAUUUCAAAGAUCAUUCAAGAUGAAUUUCAAGGAUGAAGAAAGCAAGAUGUCAAGCAAAAGCAAAGAUCUCAAGAUAAGAAUUAAGAUAGACUCUUAGAAAAGUUUUUUGAAAAGCACAAAUGAUUGACCAAGUGAGUUUCUAUCUUAACAAAAAUUUUACCAAGCAUUUUAAUCUCUGGUAAUCAAUUACCAGAAGGUAGUAAUCGAUUACCAGUAGCCCAAAUAUUUUUGAAAAUGGUUUUUCAAAGGUGUAAUCGAUUACCAUGACUUUGUAAUUGAUUACCAAUGCUUAUAACGUUCAAAAAUAGUUUGAAAAACCAUGUAAUCGAUUACACAAAACAUGUAAUCGAUUACCAAUGGCUCUGAACGAUGAAAAUUCAAAUUUUAAAUUAAGAGUCACAACUGUUCAAGAAAAAUAAUUGUGUAAUCGAUUACACCAACAUUCUAAUCGAUUACCAGUGGAGAAUUUUCAGAAAAUCUGCCAACAGUCACAUCUUUUCAUUGGAUUUUUGAAUGACCAUCAAAGGCCUAUAAAUAGGUGACUUGGGCACAAAUUUUCUUCAGAGUUUUCCCUAUUCAAAAAAGGCAUAAUCCUCUCAAACAAAAAUCUCUUAUCAUCCAACAUUCCUUGGUCAAACACUUGUGUUAUUCAAUAAGGAAUUAAGUGCUUCAUUGUAAACAUCUAUCUUUUUCAAGAGAAAUCAUCAUCUUCUUCUUCUCUUUCUAAUCAAAGGGAUAAAAGACUGAGAGCCUCGUAUUGUAAAGUAUCUGAACACAAAGGAAGGGUUGUCCUUGUGUGUUUUAGAGAGUGUAAAGGAUUUAUGAGAUAGUGGAACUCCCAAGCGGACUUCUUGGGGACUGGACGUAGGCAACGGACUUUGCCGAACCAGUAUAAAAACUGUGUUUGCACUUUCUCUUCCCUUAAACUCUUUUAUUUGUUGUUGCUUAUUGUUUCUAUUCAAUAAGUUUAAUUUGAAUUAUUAUUUAGAAACUCAUUUUAAAAGGAAUCUUGGGACUUGGGUUAAAAUCUGUAUAGAAAUUUUAAUUGGGAAAUAAUUUGUGAUAUCUUAAUUCAACCCCCCCUUCUUAAGAUAUCUGAGGCCACUUGUCCAACAAGUGGUAUCAGAGUUUCAUUCUUGUAUAAAGUUUAGAAGUUUCAAGAAUAAUGGUCUCAACAAACUUUUUAUUCCCAGAAGGAAAUUCAAUAAAUAGGCCUUCUAUUUUUAAUGGAGAGGGUUACCGCUACUGGAAAACCCGAAUGCAAAUCUUCAUUGAGGCAAUAGACUUAAAUAUUUGGGAAGCCAUAAAAAUAGGACCUUAUGUACCCACCAUGGUGGCUGGAAAUACAACAACAGAAAAGCCUAGGGAAAAUUGGAGUGAGGAAGAAAGAAGACGAGUACAAUAUAACUUAAAAGCCAAAAACAUAAUUACUUCUGCCCUAGGAAUGGAUGAAUAUUUUAGGGUUUCAAAUUGUAAGAGUGCUAAGGAUAUGUGGGACACUCUACAAGUUACAGAUGAGGGCACUACUGAUGUUAAACGAUGUAGGAUAAAUACUUUAACUCAUGAGUAUGAAUUGUUUAGGAUAAAGACAAAUGAAAGUAUACAAGAUAUGCAGAAAAGAUUCACACAUAUAGUUAAUCAUCUAGCAUCAUUAGGAAGAAUAUUUCCUAACGAGGAUCUCAUAAAUAAAGUAUUGAGAUGCUUAAGCAGGGAAUGACAACCUAAGGUAACAACCAUUACUGAGUCACGAGAUUUAACUAACAUGUCUCUAGCUACAUUAUUUGGAAAGUUAUAGGAACACGAAAUGGAACUAUUAAGAUUAAAUCAACAUGAAGAAAAUGAUAAGAAGAAGAAGAAGGGAAUUGCUCUUAAAGCCUCAUCUUCAAUCCAAGAAGAAAGUGAUAAUGAAGAUUCAAUUGACUUGGAUGAAGAGGAAGAUCUUAUUCUCUUUGUCAAAAGAUUCAACAAAUUCCUUAGGAUGAGAGGAGCUCAAAGAAAACAAAACUUCAAACCUAAAAGAAGGAUUGAAGAGUCAUCCCAAACUCCAAGAUGCUAUGAGUGCAGUCAACCCGGACAUCUGAGGGUUGAUUGUCCAAUCUUUAAGAAAAGAAUGGAGAAGUUUGAAAACAAUAACAUUGGAGAAAAAAAGGCAAAGAAGGCCUACAUCACAUGAGAUGAUAACGACUUAGAAUCAUAUGAUGAUUCUGAAAAAGAAGUGAUUAAUCUAUGUCUAAUGGGCAAAAACUAUGAAAGCGACGAAGAGGUAACAUCUUCUAACAAAUCUAUUUCUUUUGAUGAGUUACAAGAUGCAUUUGCUGAAUUACAUAGCGAAUCUAUUAAACUUGCAAAACUUGUUUUUUCAUCAAAGAAAACUAUUUCAGAUUUAGAGAAAGAGAUUUCAAAGUUAAAUAAAGAGUUAGAUCAUCUUAAGACUGAAGUGUCAAUCUGUAAAUCAAGUGAUAAAGUUCAUGCUUCUACUAUGACUAUUGAAAAAGAAAAUUCAUGUGAAUGUUGUAGUAAAUAUGUAGAAGAAAUUAAAAAUCUGAAAAACUCACUUGCCAAAUUUUUGAGUGGCAAAACCAACCUAGAUAUUAUAUUAGGAAAACAAAGAUGUAUUUUUGAUAAAGUAGGGAUUGGAUAUAAACCAGAAAAACAACAAAAGUUUUAUAAAAAUUUCUUUUCUUCCACACAAAAAUGUAAUCCUCCUUUCAUUACAUGUUUUUAUUAUGGAAGAAAAGGACAUGGCAUAUCUACAUGCUAUUUUAGGAAAAAUUGCAACAAUAUUAAAAUGAUUAGGGUCCCAAAAGGAUCCGUUGUUCACACUAACACUCAAGGACCCAAUAAAGAUUGGGUACCUAAGUCACAAUGUUGAUCUUGUAGGAACCCUUGAGGAAAAAGUGGUGCAUAGAUAGCGGGUGCUCAAAACAUAUGAUGGGAGAUGCAUCAAAGUUCACACAUAUCUCUCCCAAGAAAAGCGGGCAUGUAACUUAUGGUGACAACAACAAAGGUAGAAUUCUUGGAGUUGGAAAAAUAGGUACGAAUUCUUCAACCUCCAUUGAAAAUGUUCUACUUGUUGAAGGCCUUAAGCACAACCUGGUUAGUGUUAGUCAAUUAUGUGAUAAAGGCUAUCUGAUAUCAUUUGAUUCUAAAAAAUGUUCUAAAAAAUGUGUCAUACAAAUAUAAAUCAUAUGGGGUUUAGAGUCAAUAAUGUUUACAUGAUAGACUUAAGUAAAAAACUAGGUGAUAAUCAAUGUUUUCUUAGCAAAAAUGAUGAUCCAUGGCUAUGGCAUAAAAGGAUUGCUCACAUUAACAUGGAACACUUAAACAAAUGAAUUUCAAAAGAUUUAGUUGUUGGAUUGCCAAAACUAAAAUUUGAAAAAGAUAGACUAUGUGAUGCAUGCCAAAAGGAAAAAAAAAAACUAGAGUUUCAUUCAAAUCCAAAAACAUUGUUUCAACUACUCAACCGUUACAAUUACUACACAUGGAUUUGUUUGGCCCUUCUAGAAUCAUGAGUUUUGGAGGAAGUUACUAUGCCCUUGUUAUAGUUGAUAAUUAUUCUAGAUACACUUGGACACUAUUUAUCACUCAUAAGAAUGAUGCAUUUCAAGCAUUUAUGAAACUUGCAAAAAUGAUUCAAAACAAAAAAAAUCUCGAAAUUAUAUCUAUUUGGAGUGAUCAUGGGGUGAAUUUGAAAAUAAAUAAUUUGAAUUAUUUUGUGAUAAGCAUGGCAUUGAACAUAACUUUUUUGCACCUAGAACCCCUCAACAAAAUGGAGUUGUUAAAAGGAAAAAUAGAUCUUUGGAAGAAAUUGCUAGAACCUUAUUAAAUGACACUCCUCUUCCAAAAUAUUUUUGGGCUGAAACCGUUAAUACUGCAUGCUAUAUCCUGAAUAAGGUUUUAAUAAGACCCAUUUUAAAGAAAACUUCAUAUGAACUAUUUAAUGGUAAAAAACCUAACAUUUCACACCUUCAUUUUUUUGGUUGCAAAUGCUUUGUAUUAAACAAUAGAAAAGAAAACUUAGGAAAGUUUGAUGCUAAGUCAGAUGAAGGAAUUUUCCUUGGUUAUUCCUUGCAUACUAAAGCUUAUAGAAUAUAUAAUAAGAGAACUAUGACUAUUGAAGAAUCUAUUCAUGUUUCCUUUGAUGAGUGUAAUGCUAUUCCUCCAAGAAAAGAUAUUUUAGAUGAUAUUGCAGAAUCUUUAGAACAAAUGCAUAUUCAUGGACAAGAUUCUAAAGGAAAAGGAGAAGGAAGCAAUGAAGAUCCUCCAAUAGAAGCCAAAACAAAUGAUGAACUUCCGAGAGAAUGGAAAGCUUCAAGAGAUCGUUAUUGGUGAUAUCUCAAAAGGGGUAACAACUAGACAUUCUCUUAAAGAUUUAUGCAAUAAUAUGGCUUUUGUGUCUAUGAUUGAACCCAAAAAUUUAAAUGAAGCCAUAAUAAAUGAUCAUUGGAUAGUUGCUAUGCAAGAAGAACUAAAUCAGUUUGAGAGAAACAAUGUGUGGGAACUAGUAGAGAAACCUGAAAACUACCCCAUCAUAAGAACAAAAUGGGUAUUUAGGAAUAAUUUAGAUGAACAUGGCAUAAUCAUUAGGAAUAAGGCUAGGUUAGUUGAAAAGGGGUAUAAUAAAGAAGAGGGAAUAGAUUAUGAAGAAACACAUGCUCCUGUUGCAAGAUUAAAAGCCAUUAGAAUGCUUUUACCUUAUGCAUCCAUAAUGAAUUUUAAGCUUUAUCAAAUGGAUGUUAAAAGUGCUUUUCUAAAUGGCUUAAUUCAAGAAGAAGUAUAUGUAGAACAACCCCCAGGUUUUGAUAUCUCAGAUAUGCCAAAUCAUGUUUAUAGAUUGUGAAAGGCUUUAUAUGGUUUGAAACAAGUCCCUAGGGCAUGGUAUGAAUGUCUAAGUAAAUUUCUUUUAGAGAAAGAUUUUUCUAGAGGAAAAGUGGAUACCACACUGUUCAUAAAGAGAAAGCAUGAUGAUAUUCUAUUAGUUCAAAUAUAUGUUGAUGAUAUAAUCUUUGGAUCCACUAGUGAUUCACUGUGCAAGGAGUUCUCUCUUGAUAUGCAAAGCGAAUUUGAAAUUUCAAUGAUGGCAGAACUAAACUACUUCCUGGGGUUACAAAUCAAGCAAACUAAAGAAGGUAUAUUCGUCAACCAAGCAAAAUACUGCAAAGAACUGAUCAAAAGAUUUAGGAUGGAAAGUGCAAAGCACAUGGCUACACCUAUGAGUAUUGGUUGUUACUUAGAUAAAGAUGAAUCUGGUCAGUCUAUAGACAUGAAACAAUAUCGAGGUAUGAUCGGAUCUCUUCUCUAUUUAUCUGCUAGUAGACCGGAUAUCAUGUUUAGUGUAUGCAUGUGUGCUAGAUUCCAAUCCAACCCUAAACAAUCACAUUUUAGUGCAGUAAAAAGGAUCAUAAGAUACCUAUUAGGAACAAUCAAUUUAGGAUUAUGGUAUCCUAAGAACUCAACAUGUAACUUAAUAGGAUACUCUGAUUUUGACUUUGUCGGAUCCAAAAUAGAUAGAAAGAGCACAAGUGGGACAUGCCAAUUUAUUGGAUCUGCUCUUGUAUCAUGGCAUAGUAAGAAACAAAACAAUGUUGCUUUAUCCACUGCUGAAGCAGAAUAUAUUUCUGUCGGCAGUUGUUGUGCAUAAAUAUUAUGGAUGAAGCAGCAACUAUUUGACUAUGGUAUUCUUCUUGAUCAGAUACCCAUUAGGUGUGACAACACUAGUGCCAUUAAUCUAUCCAAAAACCCAAUACAAUAUUGUAGAACAAAACAUAGAAAUAAGGCACCACUUUUUAAGAGACCAUGUUCUGAAGGGAGAUUGUGUUCUAGAAUUUGUGGAUACUAAAAAUCAACUUGCUGACAUCUUUACCAAACCUCUCCCUAAGGAAACAUUCUUUGCCAUUAAGAGAGAAUUAGGCCCCUCAGAUAUUAGUGAUUUGGAUAAAUAAGGUAACAUUUGUUCACACACUUUGGCUUUUUGAUGUUACCAAAGGGGGAGAAAAUGGGGAUUAUUAAGAAAUAAAUUUCAGAAAAAUUAGGCAUAAUCUCCAAAAGAAAGGGGGAGCUUGGACACAAUGGAAGGAUCAUCCUAGUGUGUUUCAGAAAUUGUAAAGGAUUUAUGAGAUAGUGGAACUCCCAAGCGGGCUUCUUGGGGAUUGGACGUAGGCAACGGACUUUGCCGAACCAGUAUAAAAACUAUGUUCGCACUUUCUCUUCCCUUAAACUCUUUUAUUUGUUGUUGCUUAUUGUUUCUAUUCAGUAAGUUUAAUUUUAAUUAUUAUUUAGAAAUUCAUUUUAAAAGGAAUCUUGGGACUUGGGUUAAAAUUUGUAUAGAAAUUUUAAUUGGGAAAUAGUUUGUGAUAUCUUAAUUCAACCCCCCCUUCUUAAGAUAUCUGAGGCCACUUGUCCAACAUCUGUAACCUCCACAAGUGGUGUGAUAGUAGGGGUAGUCUCUAGAGUGGCCUCGAGCAUCACCUCCGGCUCUAGCUACGGCUCUUGGGCUGAAGGAGCCUCACCUCCCCCCAAAGGAGAAGACUGGACUCCUGGCCAGGCCACCUGGGCCAUGAAAUCCUCCGUGCUGAUGAUGGGCCGAUGCUGAGCCAAGUUAUGAAUGCUUUGCAUCACCAGGCAUAAGCCCUGGUGAAGGCUCUGCAGCAUCGACACCAUAGCGUCUAAGCUUUGAGCGGAGGUACCGGAGGGUGCUGCUGGUGGUGGAGCUGGAGCAGGAGGAGCAAAAGAAGAGGGAGUAGAAGUAUCAGGUCCCCUAGCCCUAACAAUUACCAUCACCCAACAUCCUCCCCCAAAUUUGGGACAAAUUUGCUUUGAACCAUGAUGCUAUCCUACAACCUAAGAAAGGUAGAUGGAGAUUAUAAUUCAAUAGGCUCAAGGUUCAUCUUAAUUAAUCAUAUUUAAGCUCAAAAUGGGUGCAAGGGAUUCAUCAUUCAUGAACAAGGUAAGAUAUUUGGCUAAGUGGCUAAUUCAAUCAAUCACGACCUUCAUCAUUUCCAAAAUCAUGCAUUCAUUCAGUAUUAAGAGAUUCAUGCAAAAAUCAGUACCCAAUGCUAGUCGUUCUCUCACAAUUAAGGUUCACACACUCCCCGGGUUAUGGCUUGCUAGACGCAAGUUAGUGAAUUAUGGCUUAGCAAGCUGGGCGCACUGAUCGCGAGAAGGGACAAACGACUCGCUGGGCGAGCUUGUGGCGCGCUAAGUACGCAUAUCUUUGGCUGAUCCUCUUCUAGGGUUUCCCAACACGCUAAGCGAGCUGUGUGCCUCGCUUAGCGGAUAUCACUUGCUAAGCGCAUAUGGCUCGCUUAGGGAGACACCAACUGCUCGAACCUCCUUCUUCUUAAGCCUAAAACUAAAGUUGAUUCACAUUAAUUCACAAAAAGGGGAGUAUCUACUGAGUAAAAUCAAACUAAAUAUGAAAAUAUGUACAAUUCUUACAAAAAGAACCAUAAAUUGAAGGAAAGAUGAUAAUUUCAUAUGACUAUUAAAUACAAAAGUUAGUCGUAAAUGACAACUAACAUGGAAGAAAUGUCCCUCGCACUGAGCCUUUCCUUUUCUCGCAGACACCCAAAACUUGUCUGAGUAAAACUACUAUGUCGGACUCGUUAACCGUUAGAUCAUCGUGAAAUUUGGACACCACCCUUGUAACAAAUAUUUGCACAGUCUCAUUGAUGGGAUUUUCGAAAUAGUGUUUAUGCAGAGAGAAAUUAGUCUCGCACGUUGACAGUAAAAUAGAGGCUACAAUUUCUUUCCCUUCUCUCAUUCAUGGAAACCCUAACAGAGCAAACAGAGAAAAAGCUUAAGGAAUCUUAGGGAACUGCUAGAGACACCGCUAUCACUAUCGAAGUACACAUGUGAGCCCGCUUAGAGGUAAAAGAUAAGUUUAUCGCAAUUAGGAUUAGAGUGAACAUGUGUAGGAAUCUUUAAAAGAUUAAAUUGGAGUUUAUUUUGGGAUGCUUAUUGAAUUAUAAUUUUCCUUUAUGAUUAUAAAAAAAUAUUGUUGUGUUUGACUGACCAAUUGAUGUUUUGAUGCGAAUUGUGUGGAAUUAUUUGAGGGGUUUUACUCCCCAUGUUAUGAUAAAAGUUUUGUAUAAAUAGUUAUAUUGAAAUUAUGAAAUUGUGAUUCAAAUUGUGAGUGAGUUACAAAUUGAACCUGUGAUGAAUGAUGACAUACAUGGGUAUUAAGAUGUUUUAUGUAUUGAGUUGUGAGUUAUGAAUCAUACAAUCACAUGACUAUAAGAUUCUUAAUGCACGAUGAGUAUUAUGAUGGGAACCACUGCGAGGACCCGACAAGUUUAAUCACAAGCGCGACAAGAUAAAUUUAUUUUGAGAAAAAUUAAGGAGUUGUGUGUUUUGUACAAUUCAUAGAUAUUGUCUGUGUGCUAAAAUAUUUUCUGUGUUGGACCUAGAUCAAGAAGAUGUCUUGAUGGACUCUUCGGAGUGUAGAUCUUGGGAGUAAAUACACUCGGUUUGAGUGUUCCUUUAAGUCUGUGCCGAUUCCACAUGGUUGGAGCAUUCUCGUAAAACAACGUGACCCUGACUGGUCUCCCUAUGAUUUUACCUAGCGAGAGUGACCUGACUUACUAGUGUGUGGUUUGUCUUGUCAUGUACUCUUAGGCGCCCGACGAGAUUUUUCACUGACAUGGUACCACAUUACAUAUAGGAUUGAGUCUUAGUCUAUCUGCUGCAUAACGCAUGUGUAUUGAUCGAUAUUGAUUGAUUUAGUGUGUUUUGAUCCUUAAGUACGUGAAUAAUGUGAAAAUGAAUGAGACGUGUUGUGUUGUGAUGUGAUGUUACAUGACAAAGUGGUUGAAUGACAUGAGCUGUAUUUAAGUAAGUUACAUUUCGUUUAUAUGAUAUUUAUAUUUACAUGUUGUCUUGUUUCUCCCUAUUAGUUAGGAAUGUGCCUGAUAACUCAUCCCUUGUGUGUUGUUUGUGUUUGGGUCCUUUGAUGAUCUCGAACUUUGUGUUUGUGGGAGCUGAUGACUGGGUGAAUUCCUUCAAGGAACCUUGUGCUGAAGGACGUCGAGACACAAUGUUAUGCUAGGAUGUGAUAUUAGGGCAUGUGUUUUGUUUAAUUACAUGAUGUUUUGAGCCAAAAAUGUUUCUAACAAGUUUUAUUUGGUAAUGGUGACGUGAAUGUGAGCCUUUUACCCUUUUGAAAUGUUUUUAUUUAAAUGUGUUUUAAAUUUUUUAAUUAAUUUUAAUUUAUUAUUUCUUUUAUUAUUAGUACAUAUAUGUGUGAGGUAGAGGGUGUCAAAAUGAUUAUUUAAGUUAGGGAACCAAGUGAAAUAGGUCUACCAUAUUUUGUUUUGUUCCCCCCCCCCCCCCCUUAUUUUAUGUCCUUUACCCAAAUAUGUAACUAUGAAAAAUGUCAACAAUAUAUUUUUUGGCAGAUUGUUUUCAACACUUUUUAAUUGGCUAAUAUUAAAAAAAUUUGUUGUUGACACAUGAUAUUUAAUUAUUAUUCAUGGAUGGCAUUCAGGGAUUUGUGGUCAUUUGCUAAGUUAAGCCUUGCAUCAUCUGUUAUGAGUUGCUUAGAGCAAUGGUAUGGAACGUGCAUUGUACUACUUGCUGGUCUACUAGACAAUCCUUUGAUUGAUGUUGGUUCCUAUUCUAUUUGGUAAGAUUAUCAUGUUAAACUAAUUAUCAUGUCAUAUCAUAUCCAUUAACAACAUUAAAAAAAAAAACUAAAUAACAAUAAGAAGAUAAAACAGACAAAAAAACUAUUUCCUAGUGUGUAAGUCACAUAUAUACCUACCUUCUCUAGUCUAUGCCUUGUUUGCCAAAGUUAUAAAAUCACACUUUUAAUUCCUAGUAUUUAAAUUGACAAUUUAUCUAUCUUUCUUUUAUAUUACAACUCAUUCUAGACUGACAAUUUAUCUGCGAAAGAUCACAUAUCGAUUAGUCUAAGAACAAAGAUGGAACCCGCUAUGCAUAAUUGACUAUUAACACAGAAAUAUAGAAUGCAUACGUUUCCAUCUGUUUAUUGUUUCCCAAAGAUUCCUUAUGUUUGAAGGAUUUACAAUUAACACAAAUACAUAAACAACUCUGCAUAAUUUGUCACUCUCUUUUAUAAAUAAUCUAUUAUUUGUGCCGGGUUCCAUCAAUGGACUACUUCACAAUUAUAUAUGGAUGGAAUUUUACGUGCAUAUUUGUCCAAAGUUACUUUUAAGUAAAAAAAAUUAACAUAUAUGUUUCCUUUUAUCAAACCUAUAAAACCUUAUGUACAACUUGGUAUAGAGAAUAUAUAUGUAAAAAUACCCUACCUAGAAAGGUAACAAAUAACAUAACUGAAAUGGUUUUUAAGGCCAGACCAACUAUUAUCAACCGGAUCUAGAACUUCAUUUCACAUGUUGUGAAAAUCAUCACAUAAUUAAAAAUAAAAUCUGCAAUUGUCAACUGGUCCUAGAACUUCAUUGCAUUGAUGUUUACUUUUUUUGGGUUUAGUGGUGAUGAGUGGAAAAUUCUGCAAUUUAAUAAUCAAGCAUGAUGAUCUCAUGCUCCGUUUUUAAAUCUCGGCAUUAGGGUAAAAAAUAUAUAUUAUAUUAAAAAAUUAGAUCUAUGUGAAUGAAAGAGGAAAAAUAAGUUGGAAGUUGUGACUCACAAAAAGCAAAAGGACAAGUGCAGAGGGAUGAUUGGAACUUCAAAUGUUGUUAUUUGAAUAGCGAAAGAAACAUAACUUUUAAAAAGGCAAUCAAUUAUGAAAGCAGAAACAUAAAAGCAGAAGGAGCCAAAUUGGGCACUAGCCAAAAUCCAACUAUCAUUUCACGUGAACUUCUUCUAUCAAGAGAAAGUGUCUCUAAAAAAAGAAAUAAAAACAUUGUUGUAUUUGCUUAAGGAAACUGAAUAAACAUAUUCUAACACAGGCAAAGAUGAAUUCUAGCAGCGCUACAACAAUUUCGUUAAACAUGUAAACUUGGCAGAAACUUCUCUUUGUAAAAAAAAAAAAGAAAAACAAGAACCUGGAUGGAGAAGUAGAACGAAAACUUACCGAAGCCCUGACAAGGAAGCUGGAGAGAGAACAAGAGGAGCCAUUCAGAGAAAUAGAGGGGGAAGCAGUAAAGAGAAUUGGAGGAAUUGGGAUAGGAGGAUAGGGAAGAAAAGGAAGAUGGGUAGGGUUGGGUUGUUUUUGUUUGGGGGAAAUUUAAUUUUCCAACAAACACCAAUCCCGUAGGAAAAAUUUGUGGAAAAAUUAUAAUUUUUGAUGCAAAAUUGUUCAUCGGUGUCGGUAUUUCCAAAUUUUCCGACAAAAUAUAAUCCUUCCGUACAUUCUGUUGAAAAUUUUAAUUUGUGAUAAAUUAUUUUCCGUGUAGAAUAUUCUGUAACAAAUAACAUUUUUUCUUGUAGUGAGUAGUAAACCAUUUCUUUUAUUUCAAGAAUUUAAUUUGAAAAAUAUAGAGGGAAUCUCAACAUUUUUUUUUAUCUCAUUGGGAUCAAAUUUUUGAGUUACCUGAUCGUUAGUUUAAUAAUUAUUUCAAGCCAGGACAUGGAGAAUUGUAAAAAUGAUUAUUACGUUUCAAUUUCUUUGCUUUAAGAUCUAAGAUGAGAAAGAGAUUUAGAUAACAAUAAAAUGUCAAUUUCAGCUUGGAAUUAUGUCAUAUAUUAUAUUAUAUUUUCUACAAUUUUUCUCAAGUUUUUAGGAACUUCUAAGAAAAAUUAAUGGAAGGUAAUCUACAAUAACUUUAAUAAAAGAGUAGUCCAAUGAAAACCCUAUUAUACCCAUACCUAAAAUGUUGACACGCGGCACUUUUUUCAAUUUUUUGGUCUUUAUGUCCCUUCAUUUUUUGCACCAUUUUGAUUUGUUGCCCCUGCCACGUGUUGCAUUGCAGAUGCAGUUUCGUAUAUUAGUCCUUAUCGCUCUAACAUAUAUCACUCCCUGAUUAACGGAUUUCAACUCUUCAUUUAAUUUCACUUAAUAAUUGAAACUGUCAUCUCUCUCCGUUUCUCUGCCACGUUACUCUCUCUCUUUCUUAAUCUUCUCUUUCUCCGUCUUUCUGUUUCUCUUCCUCAGUCUUUUUCUCCAUGUUACUCUCUCUUCAUCAAUCUUCUCUUUCUCCGUCUUUCUCUUUCACUUCCUCAAUCUUCUCCUCUUUUUCUUUUAUCUUUUAUCUUUCUGUUUUUUCCCUCAAUUUUCUUUAAUGGAUUUCUUAAUGUUUUCCAUAUGAGAAAUCAAAUGGCUUUCGUCCAAAAACUAGAAGAUGUGGGUAUGUGAUGGUUCUCAUCCAUCUUUUUUUUUUUUUCAUUUUAACUUUUCUGAUUCUAAUGACAAAGUUUUCUUGAUGUUUUCUUUUAGGAAGUUUCUUACUUUCUUUCUUUUCUCAUCCUGCAAGUUCUGAAGGACUACAUGUUUUGUAAGGCUUCUUUGGCUUAACUCUUUUUUUAAAAAAAUAUUCUACUUUUUUUUUGUAACGUUUGGUUGUUUUUUUUCCUCCUAACUUUUGAAGGACUUGAUGUUUAGUAGAGCUUCUUUAGCUUAAGUAUUUUUUCUGGGAUUUUUGGGUUUUUAUGAAUGCAUGGCUAGAUUUUUUGUAUCUUUGUCUUUGAAUCAGUUUUUGGUGGGGUUUGUUUGGGAGAAAGUGUGGCUAAGUAAUUUGUUUUUCCAUAUUAAUAUACAUCUCUAUGUCGUUUUCUUGCACAGUGAGUUCCUUCACCACUGCAUCGAUAUCAUUGGUAAGUUUGUUUUCUCAUCUUUUUUGUCAUUUACAUCUUUCUUAUCAUUACAUGUAUUUCAUAUUUGUUUUUAAUUUCCCUCAAUUUUCUUUAAUGGAUUUCUUGAUGUUUUUCAUAUGAGAAAUCAAAUGGCUUUUGUCCAAAAACUAGAAGCUGUGGGUAUAUAGUGGUUCUCAUCCAUAUUUUUUUUUCUUUUCAUUUUAACUUUUGUGAUUCUAAUGACUUUCACUUAACAAUUCUUAAGUGAUUGAAAUAUGAUUUCAAGUUCUUCUUUAUGAAGAGCAGAUUGUUUCUUGGAAGAAUCAUCGAAAGGAAGAACUUCUUUUUAUGAGCACUAUGGUAAAAAAAUAGUAGAGUUUAAUUUUCAUGUAAUAUGAGUAAACUUCAUAUGCUUAAUUAUCUAACAUAGCAUGUGCUGUGUGGCUUCUGGAUCAUUCAAGAAACUUGACUAGGUGCUUUUUCCAAGCUUUGUUUUUUUCUUCUUCUUGGUUGCGUGUUUGUUUUGCUUUACUCAAUUGCUGGUUUUGGUGUUUAACAUCUCUUUUCAUCUUUGUGUGUUGAUUUUUUUUCCUUGAUUUUGGUUACGGCGUGAGGGUUUAAAUGGCAAAUCAGAGGUCAUCUUUCUAGAAGCAUAAUCAGAAAUGCUGAAACAUUGGUAUGUCUCAUUUAUUUAACCCAUUUUUUACGCGUUAGGGUUUAAAAGAUGAAACCGUUUUACUGUUGUUGUUAUUGUUGUAAGUUUUAAUUUUGUAUUAUUAUUUUGCAACACAACACAAGAUCUUCUUCUACUUCUUCAUUUAGAUGUUAAUCGAAAACUUCAUCAGCUUAAUUAUCUGAUAGAGCAUGUGUUGUGUGUAACAUCCCAUUUUUCGUAAAUAAAUUAAAAAGACUUUUUAGUAUAAAAAAAUAAAAAUAAAUAAAUAGAGUAAAUAAUAGGCUUUGAGUAUCCUAACUAUAAAUAGAGACACGCUAGGUCAAUGUUCAGACUGACAAUAUCUUCUACGCCUCAUCUUCCUCUCAAUCUCGUUUUCCCCUCUCAUAUUCCCAAAACCCUCUCUUUUCCCGCAUACCACCAAACCUGUUCCAGAAAAAUGACGAUCUGGAACUCAUUUACCGUUGAAUUGUCGUGAAAUUUAAGCACUAGGCUCGCAACCUAAUUACAAGAAUUCUCACCGUUGGGAAUUACGUAACGAUGUCGGAGCUGAAAGAAAUACCCUUUGCAUCGUAGCUUUUUCUUUUCCCGCAGAAACCCAAAACUGUCUCAGUAAAACUACAAUCCCGGAUUCGUUAAUCGUUGCAAAAUAAUGUCUGUGGAUGGAGAAAGAUGCAUCAUACGUAGGACCAUGGAAUAGAGACUUCAAUCCCUUCUCCUUUUCUCUAACAUUUGGAAACCUUAACAGAGCAAUCGGAGGAGGAGCUCUAGAGAGCACAAGAAAUGUCAGAAUUGAUAAGAACGCUUGAGUGACUACAUCGAGGUAAGAGAUGAGUUAUUCACAAUUGGGGAGUAGUUAGAACAUGUAUAGAGAUUCUUAGAGUAUCAAUUGGAAUGAGUUUUGGGGUGUUUAUGCAAAUUUUGAUUCUAUAUUUAUAAUUAUAACUGUGAAUUAUAUAUGUUUGACGAACUAAUUAAUGUGAAAUUGAUGCGUUCUUGUGUAGAGUGUGAACCCUAAAAAAAUGAAUUCUUUUUAUUAACGCGAAUUAUAAUCUAAAUAGUAUUAUUUUUAAUGGCUUAUUUUAUAUGAAUUAUUACGUUAUUCUAUACUUUCUCAAGAUGAUGAUCAACAUGUUAUGUGUGUGUAUGUGUGUCUAUAUAUAUAUAUUGUAAUACUAAAAUAAGAAAUUAAACACAGUUGUAAGGUUAAUGCCUAGUAGUAAUUUCUUUUGAUGUAAUCUUAAAUUAAUUGUUAUAGAAAUUCUUUGAUUAAAAAUAAUGUAGUUUUAUUUACUAUAUACAUAUACAUAUAUAUGUUUUGUGUCAUGCAAAUAUUAUUAUUGUGUGAUGUGCAUAUGAGUUAUGAGGCAUAAUAAGUUAUUAUAAUGACAUUAUAAUAUUAUUGUGGAGAUUGAGUAGUAUAAAGUUGAAUGUGUUAAUUUGUGAGAUACAUGUAAACAUAAGAUGAUUGAUGUGACAUUAUGAGAUGUUAAAUUGUGGACAUAAUAUUUGGUUGUGAAUAAGUGUGUGUGUUUGACACUUAAUGUGACAAUAAUUAUAUUGUAAGCCAUGAAUUAUAUAAUAACCCGACCAGUGUUGAUAUUGAGAAAAAUGUUUAUGCGCAGUGUUAAAGAGAAAGUGUAGGUUUCCUAUUUAGAAACCAGUGUUAAAUUGUAGUGCAAUGUGUUAAACGUGUUUAAAACACAAGUGUGAGGUCGUAGGUAUUGUAUAAUUCAUGAGCAGUGUCUAUGAAUGGAAUAUGUGAUGAAUUGUGGAAUUACAUGUUGCUUUGAGAUUAUAAUAUUGUUAUUGAAAUUAAGUAUAAGUGCAAAGUUGAACACAUGUGAAAUUGUGAAUAUGAGUUUUGGUUGUGAAUAAGUGUGUGGUUAACACUUGAUGUGACAUUACUUGUAUUAUAAGCUGUGAAUUAUACAAUAACCCGACCAGUGUUAUCUUGAGAAAAGUGUUGAUGCGCAAUGUUGAAGAGAAAGUGUAGGUUUCCUAUUUAGGAACCAGUGUUAAAGAGAAAGUGUAGGUUUCCUAUUUAGGAAUCAAUGUUAAAUUGUAGCGUAAUGUGUUAAACGUGUUUAAAACACGAGUAUGAGGUCAUCGGUAUUGUAUAAUUUAUGAGCAAUGUUUGCUUGCAAAAAUUAUUUUAGGGGUUGGACCUGAAUAAGGAGGGAGAGGCCUUGACGGACUCUUCGGAGUGUAGGCUUUGGAGGUCACCCGAUUUGAGUGCUCCUUUAAGCCUGUGCCGAUCCCACAUGGUUGGAUCAUUCUUGCAAAAUAGCGUGACCCUGACUAGUCUCCCUAUGAUUUUACUUAGUGAGAGUGACCUGACAUAUCCAUUGUGUGGUGUGUCUUGUUAUGUACUCCUAAGUGCCCCAGGGUGGUUUUUCACUGACAUGGUACCACAUUGCAUAUAGGCUUGAGUCUUAGCAUAACUGUUGCAUACGCUUGCUAAUUGUUUAUUAUGAAAUUGAUGUGUUAUUAUGUCUUGAUCAGAGUGUGUGAUUCUUGUAUAAUGUGAUUGAUGAUUGAAAAGUGAAUUUUAAUUGACAAACUGGUGGAAUUACUUGAGUUAUGUUUAAGUAAGUUGCCUCUCAAUUAUAUGAUAUGUAUAUCUAGUUGUCUUAUUUCUCUAUUAGUUAGGAAUGUGAUAACUCACUCCCGUGUGUUGUUUGCAUCGAUCUUGGAUAAUUGACUUGUGUCGGGAGGCAAGAUGACUAGUGAUUGCUUUAAGGAACCUUGUGCUGAAGAAUGUCAAGAUACAAUGCUCUGAUAGGAUGUGACUUGGGGUAUAAGUCGUAAUAGUGAAUGGCAUGAAGUUAAGGCAUUCAAUGUUACCUCAAUGAUUUGACGAAACAUUCUGUAGAUUUUGACGGUCUUGUUUUGAGUUGAAUAUAUUUUUAAUAAGUUAUAUUUGGUAAUAGUGAAGUGAAUGUGAACCUUUUAUUCAUGUGAUAGGUUUUGACGGCCUUUAGCAAUUAUUUUUAAUAAGUUAUAUUUGGUAAUAGAUUUUGACGGCCUUGUUUUGAGCUGAAUAUAUUUUUAAUAAGUUAUAUUUGGUAAUAGUAAAGUGAAUGUGAAUUUUUUACCCACGUGAAUUUGUUUACCAAUAUAAUUAUAUAUUUUUAUUUAUGUAUGUAUAUGUCGGGGUAGAGGGUGUCACAAUGUGGCUUCUGGAUCGUUCAAGAAACUUAACUAGGUGCUUUUUCCAAGCUUCAUUUUUUUCUUCUUGGUUACAUGUUUGUUUUGCUUUACUCAAUUGCUGGUUUUUUGCUAGUUUCUCAAGUCAAGAAUUGGGAAGCAACACAUUCCUAUUUUUGGUAUUUAUUAUUAUUAUUAUUAUUAUUAUUAUUAUUAUUAAGUCAUGUUUAAGGAAAUUGGAGGAUUUGCUAGUGCAACUUUUCCAGCAGCAAUUUUAGUUUUUAAAUUUUGAAUUUUUGAGCUUUGAAAGAGCAGGAAGGCUUUAGGUUGUGCUAAAUUGAUGGUUUAGCUUUGUUAAAUUGAUGGUUUUCAAAUUUUACAAAGAGAACCCUUUUUAUUUAUUUAUUCAAAAGAGAAUCUAUCUAUUUGUUUGCCCCAGAAAUUUGUAAAACUAUCAAAAUGAUACGACACCUUAUGCGUCAAAGAAGGUACUUUUGACUACAAAUUUCAAUUUAAUCUCAUUUUGGUUUUGAAAGUGCUUAAGGAUAAUGUCAUAUACUAAUUUAGUUGUAUAACUAUCUUAUUCUUGGUUGUGUUGCGACGCUUGUGUCAAAGCUAUUUAAGGGAAAAUGUUAUGGGCAUCCAAGGUUCUACUUGCUCCUCACUCGAUCAAAAUGAUACGAAACCUUAUGCUUCAAAGAAGGUACUUUUGGCUACGAAUUUCAAUUUAAUCUCAUUUUGGUUUUGAAAGUGCUUAAGGAUAAUGCCAUAUACUAAUUCAGUUGUAUAAAUAACUUGAUCUUUCUGGAAGAAUGUUCAAGAAGUUGCUGUAUUUUUUCUAAAUCUUUUAUUUGGAAGUUUAGAAGUUUGGACAUUAAAGUUUUGUGUGAGUUUGUAGCAGGUUAUUAUUUAUAUUGUUUAUUAUUAUUAUUUUUUAUAUGAUCCCUUACAAUUGCGUUCAGAGCUUUAGAGUACUCAUAACUUUGUGAAUUUGUUUCAUCUUUCCUUAGUUUGGACAUUAAAGUUUUGUCUGGAUUUUUUGCAGGAUAUAAUUUAUAUUGUUUAUUAUUAUUAUUAUUAUUAUUAUUAUUAUUAUUAUUAUUAUUAUUAUUAUUAAAGACAACCCUUUUAUUUAUUUAUUCAAAAGAAAAUCUAUCUAUUUGUUUGCCCCUAGAAUUUGUAAAUCUAUCUUAUUUUGGUUGUGUUGUGAGCUUGUGGCACAACUAUUCAAGGGAAAAUGUCUGGGACAUCCAAGGUUCUGCCUGCUCUCCACUCUAUCAAAUGAUAUGACACCUUAUGCUUCAAAGAAGGUACUUUUGACUACAAAUUUCAAUUUAAGCUCAUUUUGAUUUUGAAAGUGCUUAAGGAUAAUGUCCUAUACUAAUUCAGUUGUAUAAAUAACUUGAUCUUUUUGGAAGAAUGUUCAAGAAGUUGUUGUAUUUUUCUAAAAUCUUUUUAUUUGCAAGGUUGGAGUUUGGCAUUAAUGUUUUGUCUGAGUUUGUUAUAGGAUAUUAUUUAUAUGAUUUAUUAUUAUUAUUAUUUUUUAUAUGGUCCCUUACGAUUGCAUUAAGAACUUUAGAUUACUCAUAACUCUGUGAAUUAGUUUCAUCUUUCCUUAGUUUGGACAUUAAAGUUUUGUCUGGAUUUGUUGCAGGUUAUUAUUUAUAUUGUUCAUCAUCAUUAUAAUAAUAAUAAUAAUAAAGAGAACCCUUUUUAUUUAUUUAUUCAAAAGAAAAUCUAUCUAUUUCUUUGCCCCAUAAAUUUGUAAAUCCAUCUUAUUUUGGUUGUGUUGUGAGCUUGUGGCAGAGCUAUUUAAGGGAAAAUGUCUGGGACAUCCAAGGUUUUGCCUGCUCUCCACUCUAUCGAAUGAUACAACACCUUAUGCUUCAAAGAAGGUAUUUUUGGCUACAAAUUUCAAUUUAAACUUAUUUUGAUUUUGAAAGUGCUUAAGGAUAAUGUAAUAUACUAAUUCAGUUGGAUAAAUAACUUGAUCUUUCUGGAAGAAUGUUCAAGAAGUUGCUUUAUUUUUUUAAAAUCUUUUUAUUUGCAAGUUUGGAGUUUGGACAUUAAAGUUUUGUCUAGGUUUGUUGUAGGUUAUUAUUUAUAUUGUUUAUUAUUAUUAUUAUUAUUAUUAUUUAUAUUACAAUUGUGUUUAAAGCUUCAGAGUACUCAUAACUUUGUGAAUUAAUUUCAUCUUUCGUUAGUUUGGACAUUAAAGUUUUGUUUGGGUUUGUUGCAGGUUAUUAUUUAUAUUGUUUAUAAUGAUAAUAAUAAUAAUAAUAAUAAUAAUAAUAAUAAUAAUAAUAAACAAAGAGAAUCCUUACUAUUUAUUUAUUCGAAAGAGAAUCUAUCUAUUUGUUUGUCCCAGAAAUUUGUAAAUCUAUCUUAUUCUUGGUUGUGUAGUGAGCUUGUGACAGAGUUAUUUAAGGGAAAAUGUCUCAGACAUCCAAGUUUCUGCCUGCUCUCGACUUUAUCGAAUGAUACGACACCUUAUGCUUUAAAGAAGGUACUUUUGGCUACGAAUUUCAAUUUAAUCUUAUUUUGAUUUUGAAAGUGCUUAAGGAUAAUGUAAUAUACUAAUUCAGUUGUAUAAAUAACUUGAUCUUUCUCGAAGAAUGUUCAAGAAGUUGCUGUAUUUUUUAAAAAUCUUUUUAUUUGCAAGUUUGGAGUUUGGACAUUAAAGUUUUGUCUGGGUUUGUUGCAGGUUAUUAUUUAUAUUGUUUAUUAUUAUUAUUAUUAUUAUUAUUAUUAUUAUUAUUAUUAUUAUUAUUAUUAUUAUUUAUAUUACAAUUGUGUUUAGAGCUUCAGAGUACUCAUAACUUUGUGGAUUAAUUUCAUCUUUCCUUAGUUUGGACAUUAAAGUUUUGUUUGGGUUUGUUGCAUGUUAUUAGUUAUAUUGUUUAUAAUAAUAAACAAAGAGAAUCCUUACUAUUUAUUUAUUUGAAAGAGAAUCUAUCUAUGUGUUUGUCCCAAAAAUUUGUAAAUCUAUCUUAUUCUUGGUUGUGUUGUGAGCUUGUGGCAGAGUUAUUUAAGGGAAAAUGUCUCAGACAUCCAAGGUUCUGCCUGCUCUCAACUCUAUCAAAUGAUACGACACCUUAUGCUUCAAAGAAGGUACUUUUGACUACAAAUUUCAAUUUAAGCUCAUUUUGAUUUUGAAAGUGCUUAAGGAUAAUGUCAUAUACUAAUUCAGUUGUAUAAAUAACUUGAUCUUUUUGGAACAAUGUUCAAGAAGUUGCUGUAUUUUUCUAAAAUCUUUUUAUUUGCAAGUUUGGGGUUUGGACAUUAAAGUUUUGUCUGUGUUUGUUGCAGGUUAUUAUUUAUAUUUUUUGUUAUUAUUAUUUUUUAUGUGGUCCCUUACAAUUGCGUUCAAAGCUUUAGAGUACUCAUAACUUUGUGAAUUAGUUUCAUCUUUCCUUAGUUUGGACAUUAAUGUUUUGUUUGGGUUUAUUGCAGGUUAUUAUUUAUAUUGUUUAUUGUUAUUAUUUUUUAUAUGCCCCCUUACAAUUGGGUUCAGGAGCUUUAGAGUACUCAUAACUUUGUGAAUUAGUUUCUGAGGAGCAGUGACAUGAUUGGAUCAGGUAGUCCAGGAAAUGAUGCUUUAAUAGGGGAGGUUGCUAAGGAAGCUCGGGACCGUGCUGCUGACAUGGGUGUUUACAAUGAGGAGUUAGUGUACAGCAGAAAAUGUGUGUCAUUAGAAUACAGGCCAUCGAUUGUUGAUGAAGACUUAGAAUCAAUUCCACUGCCCAUCCCAUCACUUCCAAUCUCCUCUAGAGAAUGCAGGAGGAGUGAUACGACACCUUAUGCUUCAAAGAAGGUACUUUUGGCUACAAAUUUCAAUUUAAUCUCAUUUUGAUUUUGAAAGUGCUUAAGGAUAAUGUAAUAUACUAAUUCAAUUGUAUAAAUAACUUGAUCUUUCUAGAAGAAUGUUCAAGAAGUUGCUGUAUUUUUUUAGAAGCUAUGAGUCUCGGUUGGCAGAGAGAGAGCGGGUGGCAUUGAUCUUUUUGGUUUUUUUACGUUCAUAGUUUAGGUUCUUCAAUUCAUUAUUCUAUUCUCUACGUCUUCAUUCUUCAUCGACAUUUUUCCUCUCUCUUCAUCUCUUCUUUACUUUAUCGACACAUGAUAUGUCUUCUAAAGCGUAGGAGGGUUCCAGAUGCGUUGUGGUGGGCAUUGUGUUGUGUAGUGAUUCUUCUCUUUGUUUAUAUUUUGAGCAAAGGGAACAACAUUGAGUCCAGAUCCGCUUUGUCCAAGGUAUUGUUUUGUUUCUCAAUUGGUUUGAUUUUCAUAGAUUUGUCCUGUUAGGUGUAGCUCAGGAUUUUGAGGGGUUUAACUACUGUUAAGUUAUUUGAUUUUCAGAAUGGGGGGUCUCUGAAAGAGUGAAUCAAUCCUCUCAGUUGGUGUUGCAUUUUCUGCUGACACUACCAAGGAGGUAAGCAGAAAUUAAAAUGGCACAUCUGCAAGAAAUAGAUCGAGUCAAGAAUGAAGUUAUACAUUUAGAGUGCGAAUUUGUCAUUUCCAUUCUGAAGCCUAGGCUCAUAAUGACACUGGGCAAACUUAUUGGUAAUGCAAUUAUUUAGAGUGCGAAUUAUGUAUAUAUUUUUUAAUUUAGAGGAAGAAAUUUGGCUUUCAGAGUAGUUUUUGAGUGCCACAGUAAACACUUUUAGUUUUAACAUUGCAAUUAUUUAGAAAUCACCCCAAAUAUUAUAAAAGACUAUAAAUUUAUCAUAUCUUUACAUUUACCAUAUGAAUUAUUUACUCGCAUUUUAAUUGUACAAUUGCAAUCUCUUAAAAUAGUUUCUUAAAUUAAUUUUACAACGUAUCUUUCAAAAAGAUUUCACACAGGUGAGAUAAAAAAAAUAGAAAAUAAGCAAUUCAGUAUUUUCUUAAGUGUUCUUUACAUAUCACAUAAAGUGAGAAAUUGGAGUUGUCCUAAUGAGUAUCCACAUUGCAUCAACUCAUAAUAGUUGCUUUCAAUGGGAUCUGCGUGUAUUGUGUUCACAUAAUUUUUUUUUUCAAUACAAGUAACUCUGGACAAGAGCAAUGCUAAAUAUUUCCCUAUUAGCUUGAAAAUUGUGAAAAUUAUUUAUACAAUAAUUGUUACUUUACCAGGAUUCCCUAAGAGCACUUGAGGCUGAUACACAGCACACCAAUGCUUUGAGUUUUUUUUUUCCUCCCCUAUAAGUUUUUUGGGUUGGUUUAGGUUUAAGGUCAGCAAAGAGGAAUGAUGGUUGAUUAUGAAUUGAUGAUUAUAAGUGUUGGUAGAGUGUGUGAAGGUAUGAACGUAUUAUCAAACCCUUGGGGGAAUAGUUUUUUAGAUCCUAAAAAUAGGGACUUGGGUGUAUAGAUAUUGAAAACCUGAAAUUUUUGUUUUUAUUUUAAUUCUUUAUCUUUCAUUGGUAGUGCUAUGCAAAACUUGCGACAUGAACGCCAAUGGAGGUAAUUUGAUUUUUCAUUUUUUUUCCUUUCUCUUUCGUUGAUUUUGCUUUGUAAUCUUUUUGAAAAAAUUAGGCUUUUAUUUAUAUUUUUAAGAUACUUAUAAUAAGAAAAUUUCAAUUUCUCACCUUUUAGAAGAAAAUUUAAAAUUUCCAUUUUUAUUUAUUAAAAUUCUGUUUUAAAAUUUCAAAAAUUUAAAUUUUUCAUAAGAAAUAUCCAAACAAUGAAUUUUAGAUUAAAGAAAUUUAAAUUCUCUGAUAAAUUACUUUCUUCCGUUAAAAUUUUCUAUCCAAACUCACUCUAAAUAUAAGUAACACAAACUUGUCUAGAGCAAUUCGAUUCUUUAUUGGUAACAUGAGGAAAUUAUCUGAAUUGAAUCUUUCUAAAUGUGGAUUUAGCAGGACAAUUUCCAAUUCACCGUCAAACCUAACAAAACUUGUCCAAAUUGACCUGAGUUAUAACUUUUUUUUACUGGGAGGAUUCCUUCAUCCCUUUCUACACUCCCAUCACUGCAAGCAAUUCAACUUUCAGAAAAUGAGUUUAGUCAAUUGGAUGAAAUGGUGAAUUUGACAUCCUCUAGACUAGAGAGCCUUGAUAUAAGUAACAAUAAUCCAUCUAGGAGGGUUCCUAGAUUCCUUUUUACUAGCCGAUCAAUUCAGCUUUUCCACAAUCAUUUUAGUCAACUAGACAAAAUCAGAAAUGUGUCUAGAUUGUACAGCCUCGAUUUAAGUAGCAAUGAUCUAUUCGGGCCUUUUUCAACAUCUAUCCUCCAACUCAAUACACUUUUUGUCCUCCAUUUUUCUUCAAACCAGUUUAAUGGGUCAGUACAGCUGAAUAAGCUUCUUGAGGUUAAAAGUUUAACUGAGCUUGACCUUUCAUGCAUCAACUUAAAAUUGAUGUGAAUGUUACAAAUGCUGGCUCGUCUUCCCUUCCCAGCAUUUCGUAUCUAAACUUGGCAUCCUGCAACUUGAAAACCUUUCUUGGUUUCUUGAGAAACUUGUAUGCAAUAGUUGUUUUAGAUCUUUCAGCUAACAAGGUUCAAGGAACGGCGCCCCAUUGGAUUUGGCUACUACAUAAUCUUCAAGCCCUUAAUAUUUCCCACAAUCCGUUCAUUGAUUUCGCAAAAUCUUUCUUUCAAUUUAUUAACCCUUGACCUUCAUAACAAUAAACUUCAAGAGCAAUUACCUAUUUUUGCUGAACAAGAAAAUUAUUUGGAUUUCUCAAGCAACAAAUUUAGCUCUUUUAUCACACAAGAUAUUGGUCAUUAGCUGUCUCUGACAUCUUCUCUCUCUUUCAAACAAUACUUUGGAUGGCAGCAUCCCCAAUUCCAUCUACAUUGCUUCAUCUCUCCAAGUGUUUGAUCUUUCCUUGAAUAACAUUUAUGGAACAAUAAUCUCAUGUUUAAUGAGGAUGAGUGGCACACUUAAAGUAUUAAACUUGAAGAACAACAAUCUCACAGGCCAUAUUCCUGAUGCAAUACCAGCUUCGUGUAGUUUAUGGAUUUUAAAUCUUCAUGGAAAUCUAUUAGAUGGGCCAAUUCCAAAUUCUCUUUCGUGUUGCUUGAAGUUAAAGGUAUUGGACCUUGGAUUAAAUCAAAUUAUUGGUGGCUUUCCAUGCUUUUUGAAGAAAAUAUCCACACUUGGUAUCCUGGUUUUGUGGAAAAACAAAUUUCAAGGCUCCCUAAGAUGUUCGAAAACCAAUAAGACUUGGGAAAUACUUCAAAUUGUGGACAUCGCUUUUAACAAUUUUAGCGGUAAACUGCCAGGAAAAUAUUUCACAACCUGGGAAAGAUAUAUAAUGCAUGGUGAACAAGAAACUGAAUCAAAGUUUAUAGAGAAGGGGUUUCAUGCACAAAUGGGUAAUGUGUAUUAUCAAAGACGGAGUGACAGUUAUCAACAAAGGCUUACCGAUGUAGUUGGCUAAAAUUUUUACAAUCUUUACAUCUAUUGAUUUCUCAUCCAACCAUUUUGAAGGACCUGUAACAAAGGAGCAUAUGGAUUUCAAAGAACUCUGUAUCUUUUUGUCAAAAACUGCUUCGUCUAGUGAAAUCCCAUUAUCCAUAGGUAACUUGAGACGACUGGAGUCUUUGUGCCUUUCACAAAACUAGUUGGUUGGAGAAAUUCCCAUGCAACUUGCAAUUUUGUCAUUUUCUUUUCAUAUUUAAAUCUCUCAUUCAAUCAUUUGGUGGGAAGGAUCCCAAUUGGUACCAAAUUCAGUCAUUUCCAGCUUCUUCCUUUGAAGGAAAUGAUAGGCUAUACGGUUUUCCAUUGACUGAAAAUCCAGAAGAUAAAAAGCCAGCAACGCUAACAAAGCUAGAAUUGUGAAGACUGACUUGGAAAAUUGACUGCAACUUUGUUAGUGUGGAAUUGGGAAUGAUUUUGGGCGAUCGAAUUAUUAUUUUUUUUUCGCUCUUGAUUUGGAAGCGGUGAAGGGAAUGGUAUUGGCAACUUAUUAACAAGAUUCUUUGUUGGAUCUUUCGUCCGAUGCAUCUAGAAUAUGUAACCAAGAGAGGACAAACUUAUGCAAAUUUAAGGUGGCAAGUGUUAGUGAUUAACAAUGAAUGUGCAAGUGAAAUCAUGACACAAUAAAUAUCCUCUUUUUCAAAUUUUUUUUUUUUAAAUUCAUGUUUUAAUGCUAAAAAAUAAUUUUGCAAAGGCAUAUCUAAUUGGAACUUUUAAUCAAUGAGUAUUAUGAUAAAAUAUGGUCAUCUAUUGAUUUAAUAGAUAUACCAUUUAAAUACCGUACAUGAAAAAUUAUAUGUCUAAGACUUAAUUCCUUAAAUGUUGUAAAAUGUGAUUUUUAUCAUCCAAACUUUGCACUAUAUCUAUAUAUUAGUAAGAUUUUCUGAAUCAAAUUUUAUUAAAAUUCAUUGAAUAAGUAUCUAAUUAAAUCAUCCAUAUUUCAAUAUAUUUUAAAAAAUUUAUAUUUUAUCGACUUUAAUCUAUAUGAAUGAGGUAACAAAUAAUUUUAGAUUAACAUGAAAUUUUCAUAUAUAUGAUUUACGUGAAAAUAACUUUCAAUCUAACAAUAGAUUUUAAAAAAAAUAUUAUUCGGUUAUAAAUUAUUCAAUGGCAUAAUAAUUAUUAAGUUACACCAGUGUAAUUUGAUCCUUCCACUUCAUAUAUAUAUAGCAUGGAGUUUGAUCAAUCACAAAUGUGUGAUUUAUGUUUUCGGAUUCCAUUAUUAUUAUUUCACAUAGUUCAUAAAUUGAAAUACUCUCAUACCUGAUGUUGUCUAAGCAUCUAUUUGAUCGUUCAAUCAUUUGUUUUGUAUAUGAAUUCUUACUUUUUAGAACAUUUUUUAUAUCAAAUCUUAAGCUCAAGAUCUAAUCUUUAAUAGAUCUCUCAAUAAAAGAAUUGGACAGAUCUCCAAUAUGGAGAAUGGGUUCUUGUACAAGAACUCUCUAGAUCUCUAUAUUGUUCAAAAAAAAAAAUUACUCUCUCUCCCUAACAGCAAAAUGCAGAACUAAUAGAAGGAGUACAUAGUAAAAAAAACAAACAGAGGGGGAUGAAGAAAAAGAAAGCAAAAUAAACAGAUAAAAAAAAACAAACAAAAAAUAGACAUACCCGGGGGGUCAUGGUGGAGGGGAAGGAGGAAGGGUGUGGGUCGCGGUAAGGGGAAGGGAAAAAGGGGUGGGCCACCAAAGAGGGAAAGAAAGAAGCAACUUAUAGAUGAGGAGAGAGGGAGUUGAAAAAAAAAAAAAAAAGCAAACAAAGAAAGAAAGAAUAAGCACAAUAUGAGAUGAGGAGAGAGGGAGGAGAAAAAAAAAACCAACGAGUGAAUAUUUAAUUACUUAAUUAUAAUUAAUUUAAUAAAUAUUUAAAAAUAGCAAAAAAUUAUUUAAGAUCCAAACAUAAAUCUACCACUAAAACAACUUUAGUGAUAGAUUCCAAAUUAGGAUCUUAGACUCUAAAGACCCUUGUUUAAAAUCUAAAAUUAAAGUUGCACUAAAGGAAAAAAAUGAUAGAGAUUUUGAGAGAUCUUCAAUUGUACGUGAUCCCGUACGAUCCCUGAUUUAAGUUCUCAAUUUGAGAUCUUAGACUAAAAAUGCUCUUAGUAUACUUUAGAUAGUAUUCUAUUUUGGGACAACACAACAUGACAUAGAAAGCAAAAAAAAUCAAGCUCAAAUAAGAAUCCAACCUAUUUCUACUUGCACAAGUAGAAUAACAACCUUCCAUGACACAAGUCAUUCAUUCAAAUAAAAAUAAUUGAAAAACUAUCAACAAUAAAAUAUUUUUAAAAACAAAACGUAUCAUAUAAUUUCAAAGAUGUUACCAAAAUAAAUAAGAAAAUAAAAUUACAGUAUUGGAGGGCCACUUUCAUGUGAAAAAAGGGAAACAUAAAAAAGAUCUACAGGGUAUGCAAAUUUAUUUAUCAACAUCAAAUAUAUCUAUGGUGUCAAUCCAAGUUUGCUAAUUAACAAACAAUCAGGGGCACCAAGUAAAGUGAAAAAGGCAUUACCAGAGAUGCCAAUAAUAUCCAUGUCGAGGAAGUCAGGUUGAAGGAACCAAGAAUCUAGCAUAAACAAUCUUUCCCUUAAUUUGGAAAUCAUGUUCAUCCCCGCCACAUCACUGCGUACGUGCUACAAGUAAAUAUAGCAUAAACAGUCUUCUCAGAAAUAGAACACUUCAUAAUUUGAACCCAGGAAAUCUACUCCACUUGUAUGGAGAACCAGAAACAAACAUCAUUUCUUUUAGUAGAAAUUGAAAUCUUCCACAAACAAAGUUCUAAAAAUUGGGAUGAAUUGGAUUUCCCUAUUCCAAAAGAAAUCCAAAUUUCGGUCUUGUAUUCCAUAUUCUUUUCACUUUAUUCUUUUCCAAUUCAAAGAAAUAAAUCCAAACUUGAAAGACAAUAAACUACAAUGUGCACGUGGUAACUCGCCAAAAAGAAAUGAAUAAAUCCCAAUUUCUAGAUACAAAUUCAAAUUUCAAACAAUAAACAAUACAUGAUCUCACCAAAAAAAUAUAUUUAUUUGAAGAUAACUAGAUUAAAUUUCAAAAGAUCGAAGAAUUACAGCAGACGCACACUAAGCAAGAUCUCUCAUAACAGUAUUACCAUAAUAGGAGUCAUGCAUCUCAUGCCGCAGGAAAUGAAACAUAGGUACAUACUUAGAUUGCCAAGGUUAUCAACUUGUUUGAUGACUUCUCUAAAAACGCAGUUGAUCCAUCUGCCAAUUCUAUUUAAGCAUACUAUUCAUUUGAUUGAUCAAUUGUGAAGUAUUUGGAUUACACAUAUCUUUUUCACUUCAAAGGAUUAAAAUCAAGGGCAUCAGAAUCAAGCACAAGUUGGACUCCCUUAGAAACCAAGAUCCCAAAACAAGUGGACCUUCCCCAAGUAUCCAUUCUUUAGCCAUCAGAUUUAGAGAAUUAAUAGUAGCCACCAAUCUACAUGUAAAACAAAUCAUCCACUGCCCAAAGCAAUCUCUGUACAAGCAACAAUACAAGAUUUGCAGCCACCAUAAGAAUCAAUUGGGACCUGACAUUCUUUCACCAUAUUUUAACCUUGAUUUUUCUUAUUUUCUGAGUUUGCAUUACAAAAGUAUUCGCAUGAUAAGAACUUAUUCAAUAAGCGCUUAAUCAAGCCUUUUUUUGAAACACACCUUAAGUCAUCUAUGGAUUCCACUUGAGGAGAGAACGGCCUGACAACACAUGCAUUUUCAUCACUGCUGGAAACAAUUGCAUUCUUAUUUGAUGCAUGACAAUGCUCCAAUAUGUCAUUUGUUGGCUUAUAUAUGGAUUCUACUUGAAGAGAGAUGGUCCCAACAACACAUUCAUUUUCAUCACCACUAGAAUCCAUUACAUUCUUAUUUAGUGCACGGGAAUGCUCUAUUUUUUCAUUCAUUGGUUCAUAUAUGAGAUAAAUUGUGGUCUUGUCAACAGUUAAUUUGCUCCAGAAGACAACAACAAUUUGCACUUUGUUUCCAGGCUCUAUUUUUUAUAGUACCCCCUGCCACUCCUCAUCUUCAAAGGAGACUAAUGCAUUUCUCUUAUAAAGUUGAAUGAUGGCCUUUGUGUGAUUUAUCACCAACAAAUGUUUCAAACCAUCUGAAGUUAUAUUUUCCGGGGAAGAAUAAUGGACAUGGCACAUCAUUUUCUUCAAGUUACGCCCAUUCACUUGAGGGAUUUCAAAAGUCAGGGAUGAACCUUCGAUGUUGAAGGUUAACCAAUCUGGAUAGCUAUCACCGGGGAGCAAACAACCACCACCACCAUCACUAGUUGUCAUAUUCUGUAAAAAUGAAGAUAUAUGCUCAAAAGUUUAUCAUUCAAUGUAUUAGUACCACCAUAUAAUUAAUUCAACAAUUUAAGAUAUAACAAGAUAAUAACUCAUUUUCUCAUCAUUUAAAAUUAUGAUCUUGAUUACCCAAAAACUACUCAGAACAAUCAUAAAUGUGAAAAGUAAAUUGUUAAAUUAUGCAUAAAUAUAUUUGCUUGGAUAAUUUAAACAAAAUCCAUUGGUCCAAGUAAGAGUUCCAUACCCGUAACAAAAUAAACAUAAAAUGAAUAAAAAAUAGUUCUAUACCAACCGAAAAAACAAUGAAAAGUGAGAGAACAUUUUCAAUUUAAUAUUGAAUUUUAUAUCGUGACAAUAAUAAAUUGUACCUCGCAUUAAAGUAUAUGUAUUUUUUUAAAUUACGUAGCAUUAAAUUAAAUAUGCACUUUGAAUGUGAUAGCAGUUAUUGAUGAAAUAAAGUAUAUACAAAAAAAGAUGUUACUAGUACCUCACAUAAAGUAUAUAUAUUUUUUAAAUUACCUCGCAUUAAAAUAUGCACUUUGAAUAUGAUAGCAGUUAAUGAUGAAAUAACGUACAUAUAAAAAUGAUGUUACUAGUACUACACUUAACUAAUGUAAAAUUUAGAUUUAUGUUGGAUUUCGUGCUCUUACCGCAAUGACAGAUUGACUAACACAUGAUUAGAAGAUAGUUUUAAUUACUAUAUACUCGUAUCGUAACUUUCUUUCUUAAUUGGGUAUUACUAACAAAGUUUUCCUUUCAGCAAGACUAUAUUUUUUAAUUUUUCCUUUCAGGUAUAACUAAUUCCUAAACACAAUUACAAAAGUAAUUAAAGCCAAGACAACUACUAAUAGCAAAAUAUAUGAUGACUGUGUCAAAAAAAUCUAUGUUGGUGUAUGACCAUUUUAAAAUGACAUGUUUAUAUAUAUAUAUAUAUAUAUAUAUAUAUAUAUAUAUAUAUAUAUAUAUAUAUAUAUAACGUAUAAUAAUAUACACUUCCACAUAUAAUCGAUAUAUUAAAAAUAGUUCUAUUGUCAAAAGAUAAGGAAAUUAGAUACAUAAGAGAGAAAUUAAGGGUAAAACCUGUAAAAUUCUCUGUUUCAGAAUAUUGGUGACUUGACAACUCGUUCCCAUUUGAAUUAAAAGUGAUCUCCUGAAAUUUUUUGAUCCUAAGUUGUGUACUUGAUUGUUGCAUUCAAUUAAUGUUAAAACAUUCAUAUUAUGCAUUUGCGAUGUGGCUGCAGUUGAUUCUAAUUCUUCAAAAUUUGUGGCAUAUAAAGCAUCCAAAAUAUUUGCAGCAUCUAGAGAAAGUUGAAGUUCUGAGCCACACUCUAUACAAAGACUUUGAAGCAGUGGAAGGUCCUUAGAAAUAUAUGAUAGAUGAUUGGAACUACUAUUUGGCACGUCUAAAGAAACGAGAGAUGACACAUCUAGAAAUGUUUGAACGCGGGAUGAGAGACUAUUUGUUGGUGACAUCCAAGACCAAAUGAUUGAAGGAAACACAUCACGUGAGAAUCCUUCAUAGCCGCACAAAGAGAUAUAUCCAAUUCUUUUUGAUCUAACUAUUGAAAAUGGCACUCUUGUUAUUGCAGUCUUAUCCGCAAUAAGGGUUGUCAAAGACUCCAUUUGUUCCAAAUCCUCUUCUAACUUGUCAAUCUUUAAACAUCCUGAAAGAAUGAGUGCUUUAAGAGAUUUCAACUUAUAGAUACUUCUUGGAAGCUUACGAAGGCUAAUACAAUUUUGAAAAUUUAAUAGAAGAACUUUAUUGAGAUGUCCAAUGGUAUAGGAAAUCUCGGACAACCUUGGACAAUCUACGAGUAAUAGCUUUUCAAGAUUAGGCAAAUUUGAAAAGUCUGGAGUCUGAGUUAAAUAAUGAGAAUGACUGAGAUUAAGAAUUUUCAACUUCUCCAUUACCUACAAGAAAAAAACAAGCAUACAAUAGAGAAAAUUAAAGUUAGAGGUAAAACUCAAAACAUAAAUAGAAGCAAUUACAUUGUGUUAUGAGCAUCUCAAGUAGAAAGUGAAAUAUUUAUACUUGUGUAAUGCCAUUUCUUAGUGCCAAUAUAUUUUAUAUUUUGAUAAAGGUUUAUUUUUCUUUUGAAGUCUUCCAUCCCAAGGAUAUAUAUUUAAUGUACACACUUCUAUUUUUUUUAAUAUAAGUGAGUUAACAAACUAUAACUAGUGAAUGUGUCUUAAAAUACAUCAAUAAUGUAACUUGUUAACAUACUCAUACUAAUAAAAAACAAGACAUCAAUUCCACAACUAUUUACUAACACACAUCUUUAUUUUUUAAUAUAAUCAUUAGAUUUUUAAAAAAUACAUCAAACAAAUUACAUCCUAAAAUAUCUUAAUUAUCAUUAACAAUAAUUGAAAUAUCGUAGGAUGUGAUUUAUUUGAUAAUUCUUGUAAAAAUGUAACGAUUAUAUCAUUUUAAUUUUAAUUUUUAUAUAUUUUUACAUAUUUUAAUCUCAAUCAUCUAUUAUUUUUAAUCAUAUUUUAAUAAUUAUUCUUACGUAAAAAAUUAUUCUAAGAGGAGCUGUGCUCUCUCUAUAUAUAAGUUGUUUAUGAGCAUUUUAUGGCUUUUUUUAUCAGUUAGUAAAAAUUGCAACUCCUACCUUACCUCUCCUUUGUUUUUAUCAUAUUUAAUUAUUUGAAGAGGAAGUCAUAAGCUCCGUCUCUUAUGUUUUAACAAAAAACUAUAAUGUAAGUUCAUAAUAAACAUACAAAAUCUAUUUGAUUAGAUAAUAGAUAAUCUUUAAAAAAUUGAAUUUUGAAUUACAUUGAGUGUAAAACUUUUAAUUUAAUGUAUCGAGGUUUUACUCUUAUGUAAUGAAAAAAGACUUUAUUGUUGUUAUACCAAAGUUUCAUACAUACAAUCAUUAGGAAGAAUUUUGAAUUUUUAUAUGAUGUGGCAAUGCAAUUUUUUUUAAUUGCUUAUGCAUGUUGAGGAUAUCACUACAAGAGGAAAAUAUUCGUAAACUUUAGCAUUGGAAUUAAAGUUCUGAUGCAUCAUUAAAUGGUGGUAUCACAAGUAAAGAAUAAAAUAGCCAUAAAAUUUAACACCAACACUACAAUGCCUACACUAUCUAUUAUAGCAUAGCAUUGACUUAAUUCAGGUCAAAUAAUCGCUAUAGAUUGCAUAUAAAUUUAUUUUUGUCAGCUAUGCCAACACAAAAAUGGGGAUGAUUCAAGGUUUAGAUUUGUGCUUGCAUGGUCUAACCUUACACUAUUAGCACCAAUUAAGUCAACACUAAAAUUAACAUAAUCUAAUUUGACACUAAUAAAUGUCGUCUAGUAAAUACCACAAAUACAAAUAGACUCUUAAUAGUGUCUGAAGUCAACUUAGUUGACACUAUUUAGUGUUGGCUCAAGCACAAUUUUUUUUUUACUAAAUGUUCAUUUAGCCUCAAUUUUUGUGGUUUAUCAUCAUUUUUUUUUGCUAAAUGUUCAUUUAGAUAUUUUAGGAUAUGAAAAAAAAAUAAAUGUUGGUAUCUUGAUCAUUUCCUUUUUUAGGCUUACUGGUUUACGGUAUAAAAGGGAGGCUAAAGCUUGUAUUAGAAUAUGAAUAUACAAACGUUUAUUUUAUUUAAAUUUAAUUAUUAAUUCGAUCUCUUUAUUUAUUUAGAAUAUUCAAUUAGGUCUUUUUAUUUUUAAAAUUUUCAAUCAAAUCCUUUUUUUUUAAACUGUCUCAAUGUGAUUCUUUUCAAAGAAUUUGCAACUUAACGUCGUUGUCAGUCUCAAUUGGACAAAAAAAAAUCACAUUCAGACAUUUAAAAAAAUAAAAGACUUGAUUGAAACUUUCAGAAAUAAAAUGACCUAAUUAAAUAUUCUAAAUAAAUAAAAGGAGCAUAUUGAUAAUUAAAUCUUUUAUUUAAACUUAAACUUUUACAGAAAGUACUAGCAAUAUAAGAGAGGCUGAGAAAAACAUAGAUGAAAUUUGUCUAAAAGUACUAUAUAGUGAAAUAGUAUUCAUAUUUGAGACAAUUUAAAUUACAUCGAUAAAGAAGAAAGAAAGAAAUACUCAUGAAUUGCAAAAAACUAAAUUAAUACCUGGGCUUCUUUCCACAAAAGAUUAACACUGCUGUUUUGUAGCUCAAUGGAAACUAGACUUCCUUGAUAAAGGUUUGUUGGUAUGCAUGCUAAAGGAAAUCCAUGCCAACAAAGCCAUCUAAGAUCUUUGGAAAGAUACUUGAAAUCUCCAACCAGUUGUACACCAGCAAGUUGAAGCAACCUGAGUUUUUUCAUCUCCUUAAAAGCUUUAGUGCUCAAACAUUUUGUAUUAUUUCUUGGUAACUUCAAAGCCAGACCCUCAAUAGCUUUUGUUCCCUAUGAUAGAAAAAACGAAAGGGUAAAACAUGCGUAGCUAAAAAGAUAUAUGGUAGUUAAAACUCUUGUGAGAAAACCCAUCAUUUGUUUUAGGAGCUAAGAAGCAAAAACCAAUUCACAACCAAACCAAUUUUCAAAAUUCUUGUGACAAUCAAUCGCACAAAUGAAUAUUAAGAACUGACUCAUAAAUGUGUUAGUUGUAUCCAUUAGCUUUGGAUGGAUAUUUUAAAUAAAAAAAUAAUAGAUGGAAGUCUUACAGUUUCUUUUGAUAAUACAUCAAGUGCAUCUUCAUGAAAACAUAACCUACUACGCUCCUCAAGCUCCAUUGGUGUUUCUGAACGAAUGAUUUCUCUUCCCAUGUCUCGCAGCAAAUCAUGCAUUCCAAGCUUGUUCUUAUAAUCUACAGUUACAAGGCUUCUUUCUACCAAGACACGUAUUCCAUUUUCUGCACAAAGCCCACAACCAUUUAAGAUAUGUAUAACAUCAUUCCGGUCCAUUCCGAUAAAGAAACAAGCUAUAUCAAGGAAUAUUCCUUUCUCUGUAUCAUCAGUUAAACCAUCAUAGCUUAUUUUUAAUUUCUCUUGUACUUCAUCAUUAGGAAUUUUCUUGAGUUUCUCCAAUACAUUCUUCCACUCUGUUACCUCCAUAUCAAACAAAUAGGACCUAAGGACUUCAAGAGCUAGUGGCAAUCCCGCAGAAUAAGCAACUAAAUUUCUAGAAAGUUCAAUAAAAUCUUCUCUUGGACUUGCUUGCUUAAAUGCAUGCCAACUAAAAAGCUCAAUAGAUUCAUCUUCAUCCAGUCCUUUCAUUCUGAACACUUUGUCAACUCUUCUCCCUCUAAGUAUAUGCAUAUCUCUAGUUGUGAUGAUUAUUCUACUCCCUGAACCAAACCAUUCACGACUUCCACACAAAACAUUCAAUUGAUGCAAUUUAUUUACAUCAUCAAGUAUAAGAAGUACCUUUUUAUGGCGAAGUCGUUCUUUUAACAUAACUUUUCCUGAUUCAACAUUACGUAUCUUUGUGUUUGUUUCUUUUUCGAUAUCAAAUAGAAGUUGUUCUUGUAGAUAUACUUGACCAGCAUCUUGCUCCCAAAUUCCCCUAAUAUGUGCGAGGAAGCUUUUUCCCUCAAAAUUGCGGCCAAUCUUAUUGUAAAUGGCUUUUUCAAUAGUUGUUUUACCAAUGCCUCCCAUCCCCCACAUCCCGAGUAGUAGAACAUCGUUUGAUUGUUUUUGGCCUAAUAGUUCAAUCAUUUCCUGGACUCGUGGUUCUACGCCGACUGGAUUAUCAGCAACGAACAACUCUGUCUUGUCUAACAAACGCUUAACAUUUUCAACAAUAGUUUUGAUAGCCUCACUUUCAUUCCUAUAAUAAAAAACAUAAUAAAAACAAAGAAAAGGUGUGUCCAUACAUGCAUCAAAAUUUAAGAGAAAUUUGAGUAAAAAUUUAUAAUUGUACAAACGUCUGUUCUCCAUUAGGUUCAUCCAUUGCAUGGUACUUACUAACAUUUCUAUAAUAGUUCUUAGAGUGUGUCUUAUUCUAAUUUUAUUUUUUGGUUUUGAAAACUUUUUUUGCCGAACAUUUGUCAAUACCUAAUGCUUAGAAUGGGGGAAAAUAAAGUUACCGAAGGAAGAAGAUGAAGCAACAAAAAUAAGAAAUGCUUAAAUAUAAUUUUAGUCCACCUGCAAUUUUGGUCCUCCUAUAUUAAAAUAAAAAUAUUUGGUCUCUUAUUUUUAAAAAAAAUCCACAAUUUCUGUAUAUCUUUGAAUUUUGCCUACAUUUAUUUCAUUCACUUUAAUUAAUUAAAACAUUUUUAUGGUACCAUAAAGGAAGACGUUAGCUCGAGGAUUUCAUUGAGGACUUUUUAAAAUAGAUGAACGAAAUAUCUUUAUUUUAAAAUAGAUAAACCAAAAUUACAGAUUCAAAAAAAUAAGUGGACCAAAAUUGUAUAAACCAAGAAUACAAGUCAUUAACUAAAGAGAAAAAUCAUAAAUUGUUCGCUUUCAAUUUUAAAAACUAAAACCAAGAUUAUUUUUGAAAAUAUUCCAAAUUACUUUUAUCAAACAUUUUUUUUUUGUUAUUAAAAAACAAAAAAUAAAUGUACAAUAAACAAACAAGCUCUUGUUUUUGUACUACUUUAAACAAUGUUUGCUUGAUGAUUUCCUAAAAAUACAGUUAACCAUCAUUAUUGAUAUCUAAUUAAUUAUAAAUAUUAGUUAAUUUGAAAUUUAUGUUUAUAGUGUUUUAAUCUCCCUUUGAAGGCUUUGCUAGAGUUUCUCUAGUUGUGAGCAGUAAGGCUUUUCUCAAAUCUCAAGACAACUGUUCUUGUCUUUUCUCAGGUCUGCCUACUUGAAUUUCACAAAAUGAUGAAAGAUGUUGAUUUCGAGGAGGAGGGGGAGAUAGUCACAAUACCUGAAGUGGGAGAAAGGAUUAAAGAUGAGGGUUUUUGGUUGGUGGGAAAGAUUCAUACGAAAGAAUCUUCCAAUGUGAUGAAGGAGUUCAAAACUACAAUUGCCCAAGCAUUGAAGAAGAAAAAGGGGGUGGAGAUAAGGAAUUUGGAGAGAAACCUUUUAGCGUUCAGGUUUCUAUCAGUAAACGAUAAAGAGGCAGUGAUAAAGGGUUGCCCACGAAAUUUUGAUAGAAGAUUGAUUGUGCUGAAUGAUCUGAUGCAUAAUCGGAACCCUAACAAAGUAGACCUACCAUGAACUCAAUUCUGGGUGCCUGUCUAUGAAAUCCCAUUAGGGUUCUGUACUAAAGAAAUAGAAGAAACCAUUGGAAACACUUUGGGAUCCUUUAUCAAAUGGGAUCAGUCGGAGGAAUAUCGAGUGGGAAAGUCCAUGAGGGUUAGGAUUUUGAUGGAUAUUACUAAGCCACUCCGAAGAGGAGUGAUGAUGAAAAUAGGAGUUAAGGAGGCAAGGGAGAUUAUUUUCAAAUAUGAAAGGCUUGGUAAUAUUUGCUACAUGUGCGGAUUUCUGGAUCAUCUUUUGAAGGAAUGUGAGGAUGAUGAAGGCGUUGAUAUCGAUAACCUUUUGUACGAACCAUGGCUGAGGGCGUCUCCUGUACAUCAAAACGAGGCUGCAGGAGUCUGAUAUGAAGAAAUUUUUGGGAAGGUAAAACGUGUUAUUGUGUUUGAAAAUGAGGUAAAGAAGAGGGGCUAUAGUGGAGAAGGAAGCAAAAGCGAUGGAGGAAAGUGGGUCUGCACGUGAGGAGGAGGCAUAAAUGUGGCAGAUGUAACUAGAAUUUUGAGCCAGUGUCAUCUAUCAUUAGGAGAGGAGGACCAACAUUGUCAAGGGGCACCAAACCCGAGGUAUGCAAGGAGGACGUAGAAGAGACAUAUCGUGAAAAGCAUGAAGUGGAAAAGGAUGAAGAAGGUCAUAGCGAAGUGAGAAGCAGUGGACAUGCCACAACUGCUGUUAUCUGAACCACCACAAAAAAAAAAAAAAAAAAAACAAAGUGGAAAAGGAUGGCUCGUGAAGGGGAGACUGUUGUUACCUCUGGAUUGCAUCCAACAGAGAAGAGACACAUUGAUGAUAGGUUGAUGAAGAGGGGGACAAGGAGGGACCAAGGGUCUAUUACAAACAAUCAAAAAAGGAAAUGGUGGGCACUGCUGACCAGCCCCGCCAAGAAUCUUGAGAACCUUAAGCUGGAACUGCCAUUGGCUUGGGAACCCAUGGGCAGUGAGAGCUCUUCGUAAGCUCUUAUCCAUUGAAGUUCCCACCAUAGCUUUCUUGAUGGAAACAAGGAAAAAAACUGCAGAAUACAUUUUUUAAAGGGUAUGACAAGGAUGGAAAACUUCCAUGGUGUUGAUUGUGAGGAAUUGCGGAUCUAGAGGUUUGGCCAGGACAAUUCAUAAGCUUAUACAACCACGUUUUUGUAUGGAUUCCCAGAAUAAAACAAGAAGCAUCAAAUGUGGGAUAUUAUGAAGAUUCAGAAACCUCAUGAUGAUAGCCCUUGGAUGUGUGUGGGGGAUAUGAACCAAAUCUUUCAUGUUGAUGAGAAGAAGGGGGAAAUGCUCCAAAUAUUCGAAGUAUUCAACAAUUUCAAGAUACGGUGGAUUAUUGUGGUUUGGUGGAGCUGCAAGUGGAGGGCCAAUGCUUUACGUGGACAAACCAGAGAUAGGGGGAUGAUUUAAGAGAAGAAAAGCUUGAUAGGAUUUUGGUUAACCGUUCUAGGCAUGAUAACUAGAGGGAUAGUUGGGCAUCAUCGGUAGUACGCUUCAUCUCAAACCUUAAUCCUAUUAUUCUGCUUGCAUCAAAAUCGAAAUUUGAUAUAGGUUUGAAGCAUUUUGGCUUGAUGAUGUGGAGGAAGGUGAGGAGGCAAUAAAUGGGAUCUAGAGAAGAAGGGGUGAUGUUACACAAAAUAUUACCUAGCUAGGGGCAAAUUUAGAUGAGUGUGGGUCACAAAGGUUUGGAAAUUUGACUCAAAAAAUCAAAAGGUUUUGAAAGAAACUGUAUAAGAUUCAACGCAACCCCUGGGUCAGUUUCUUAACAAACACAAAAGUUGAGAUUGAAGGUGAGUUGGAGGAGCUUUUAAGGCUUGAGGAGGUCCUUUGGAAGCAGAGGUUGAAGGUGGAGUGGUUGAUGUAUGUGGAUAGGAACACAACUUUCUUUAAUAGAAAAAUAUCCCACCGAAAGCAAGUCAAUACCAUAAAGAAGAUUCAGGAUGAUGAUGGAAAUGUGUAUAGGAAUGUAGAGGACAUUGGUGAGGUAUUAACAAAGUAUUUCUCUGAUCUUUUUACCUCAUCUCCACCUCAUGACAUGACAGAAAUUGCAAGCCUUGUGGAGGGGAGAAAUUAUGGAGAGAUGUGAUCCUUUGUGGAUGUGGAGUUUUCAAGAGAGAAGAUUUAUGAAACCUUAGAGUAGAUGCACCCCACCAAAGCUCCUGGGGAAGAUGGCAAUCCAGCUUUAUUUCUAUCAGAAGUUUUGGCAUAUAUUAUUAGAGAGGACGUCACAAACAUGACCCUGAAUAUUUUGAAUGGUGAUCGACCAACACCCUUGUGUGAUAAAUAAGACUCUUAUUGUCUAGAUUCAAAAGGUGAAAAAUCCCUCUCAUGGUGUUUAGAGAAGGAGGAAACAACGAUUCAUGCUUUGAUUGGCUGUGAGGGUGUCAAGAGAAUAUGGUUUGCAUCAAAUGUGGGGGUAUAUCCUGUUGGUAAAUAUUUGUGUUUUAAUUUAAAAUUUAUAAAUAUAUAUUAAUUCUAUUUUAUAAAAUAAAAUAUUUAUUUUAGAUUUUCUUAAGAUUUUGUUUUAAUGAGUCAACUAGUUUGUUAUGUUUGUUGUGACAACUGUAAGUUAGUUUUCAAACGGUCAUAUUUCCAACGGUCAUAUUUUGUUGUUGCAAAAUGCCUAUAUAUAUCUCUUUCCUCUUUUCUAAAAAAAGAAUACAGAGCAACAUCUGGUUUCUUUCUCCCAAAAAAUUAUGUCUUUCUUUUUCCUAUAAAAAACUUAUUUUUGUGACAGUAAGAGCAUUGGUGUUCAGAAGGUUCGGGGAUCCUUUCGCUGCACACGAUCGGAACCAACGGGUUGUCAUAUCUUGGGAGAGGAGCGCAAUUAAAUUUUCCUGCCAGUGCAGUGGGGCGAUUUUGUUAGAAAUGAUAGUAAUUCUGACUUUGCUUGUUAAGCCUUUCUAAUAUAGGAAGUUAGUUGGUUAGUUAAUAAUGAUUUGUUAGUGAGGGACCAAAAUGCAAAAUACAAUUCAGUCCUUGUCCUUCUUGUAUAAAUACUGUUUCAUUGUUCUUUCAAUAAUAAUUUUUCAGAUUCUUUCAUUUUCCUUAUUUGUUAGUUUUGCUUCUCUCUAAACCUCUCUUACUUUUCUCCAUCCUCAAGUUACCUCUUUUGAUUGUGUGUGUGAACAAGAACAGCAAGUUCUAACAGUGGUAUUUCAGAGCUAGGUUCGAAAAAGGGACCAAUUCUCCAAUCAUGGCUUCCAAUAGUCAUUUUCCCUCAAAUCUUCCAAUUCUAACCGGCAAGAACUUCAACAGAUGGAGUGUGCAAAUGAAAGCCUUGCUUGGAUUUCAAGAUUUGAUCGAUGUGAUUGAGAAUGGAAUAGAAAUUCCAAAAGAAGGAGCCUCAGAUUCACAGAAGAAUGAAUUCAAGGAUAUGAAGAAGAAAGACUGCAAAGCCUUGAUGAUCUUGCAUCAAUGUGUCGAUGAUUCUCACUUUGAGAAAAUCGCAAAUGCUAAAUCCGCAAAGGAAGCAUGGGACAUUCUGAACAAGGCUUAUGCAGGAGCUGAUAAGAUCAAGAAAGUGAGACUUCAGACUCUUCAAAGGCAAUUUGAAUUGCUGUAGAUGGAAGAGACUAAGAGCAUUGGAGAUUACUUUGGAAGAUUGCAGGUUCUUGCAAAUUCAAUCACUAGUUGUGGUGAUACAAUUACUAAUCUGACGUUAGUUGAGAAAGUUCUAAGAACCCUGAAUCCAAGAUUCGAUCACAUUGUGGUUGCAAUUGAGGAAUCAAAGGAUUUGGAAUCAUUAUCUGUUGAUGAAUUACAAGGAUCACUUGAGGCACAUGAACAAAGAUUGCAAGAAAGAUUGCAAGAAAGAGCAAAUGAUAAGGCUACAGAACAAGCCCUGCAAGCACACCAUCAGUCAAGAAAUGGUGGUUCUGAUAAUCGCAGAGGCAAGAAAGGAAGAGGGAGAUUCCAGAACACAAGAGGUAGAGGAGGUUACUCCAAAGAUAAAGGUAAACCUCAACCUGAUCAAAGAAGUGGAGAUAACUGCAGUAAAAGAAGUGGUGGUUCUAGUACUCGUGGAAGAGGAGGCAAAAAGAAAUGGGAUAAAAGAAAUGUUGAAUGCUUCAAUUGUGGAAAAAAAGGUCACUAUGCAGAAGAAUGCUGGUAUAGGGAGAAAAAUGUUGUUGAUGAUGCACAAUUAGCCACAGGAGCUGUUUCUGACACUGAACUAGUGUUGUUGAUGGUCACAACAAAGACUGGAGCUGAUGCAGAAGAUCAAUGGUACUUGGACACAGGAUGUUCAACACAUAUGACUGGUCACAAGGACUGGUUUGUUAGCCUUGAUGAGUCAGUAAAUCACAAGGUCAGAUUUGCAGAUGACAACACUAUAAGAGUUGAAGGUCAUGGCAAGGUUGUGAUUAAAAGAAAGGAUGGUAUAGUGUCAUACAUUGAGGAUGUGCUCUAUGUUCCAAACAUGAGAUGCAAUCUUCUGAGUCUUGGCCAACUACUUGAAAAGAAAUACAGAAUGGUGAUGGAGGACAAAGAAAUGAAGAUCUAUGACAAGGACAGAAGGUUGAUCAUCAAAGCUCCAUUGAACAGGAAUAGAACUUUUAAGGUUGGUAUUCAAGUCAUGAAACUCAAUUGCUUGCAGGCUGAGACAUGUAGAGAGGAAUGGUUGUGGCACUACAGAUUUAGGCACUUGAAUUUCAAGGAUUUAAGUCAACUGCACAGAAUGGCUCAAGGAAUACCUCAGCUGAGAUAGAUGACAGAAAAUUGCAGAGAAUGCCUGGAGUGCAAGCAACCAAGGAAUGCAUUUCAGAAAUUUGUACCAAUAAAGUCAACACAGAAAUUGGAGGUGAUCUAUUUAGAUGUCUGUGGUCCUCUUCAGGUUGAAUCCCUAAGAGGAAACAGGUACUUUGUAACAUUCAUAGAUGACUUGACUAGAAUGACUUGGAUUUAUAUAAUCAAGAAGAAAAAUGAGGUGCUUAGAAUUUUUAAAAAAUAUAAAGCCUCAGUAGAAAAAUGUAGUGGCCACUGUAUAAAAACAUUAAGAACUAACGGAGGUGGUGAAUACACCUCCAAGGAAUUUGCUGAGUUUUGUGAUGAGGCAGGUAUCACUCACGAGUUCACUCCACCUUAUACACCACAACACAAUGGUGCUGCUGAAAGAAGAAACAGGACUAUCCUGAAUAUGGUGAGGAGCAUGUUGAAGACUAAGAAGCUACCUCAUUUCCUAUGGAGUGAAGCAGCUGCAACAGCAGUCUAUAUACUUAACAAAUACCCUACCAAGAGACUGAAAGGAGUGACACCUGAAGUGUGUCCCUGAGCAGCUGAGGCAAAAACUGGAUGAUAAAGGUGAACAAAUGAUCCUUAUAGGCUAUCAUGCAACUGGAGGUUACAAGCUACUUGAUCCAAGGUCAAAGCAGGUCUCUGUGAGUAGAGAUGUGAUAUUUGAUGAACUAAAGGAAUAUGAGUGGAAGAAGGACCCUCCUCCACAAUACAGCCAAGAUUAUGCCCCCUUCAUUCAUUCCAGAAGAAUUGAGUGACACUACUGAUGAACUGCCUACAAGGAACACUGAAGGAGGAACCAUGAGGUCUCAAAGGGUUAUGCAACCCUCACAAAUGUUGAAAGAUUAUGAAGUCAUGAAAGACAGCCAAAUUACAUAUGAAGGUGAUAUUGUACACUUUGCCCUUUAUGCAGAUGAUGAACCUAUGAGUUUCGAAGAAGCCUUGAAGAAUGACAAGUGGGUCAAUGCUAUGAAAGAGGAGCUGAAAUUAAUUGAGACAAAUCAUACCUGGCAGCUAAUGGAGUUACCUAAACUUAAAAGACCUAUUGCUGUAAAAUGGGUUUUUAAAGUGAAGAGAAAUCCUGCUGGUGAAGUAGUUAAACACAAAGCCAGAUUGGUGGCAAAAGGAUUCCUACAAAAAAAAGGUGUAGACUAUGGUGAGAUCUUUGCCCCUGUGGCAAGGAUUGAAACAGUGAGACUUGUAGUUGCAAUAGCAAGCAUGAAAGGCUGGUCAAUGUAUCAGCUUGAUGUAAAAUCCGCAUUUCUGAAUGGUCCUCUUGAAGAAGAAGUGCUUGUCAAACAAACACCUGGAUUUGAAGUUGUUGGACAUGAAGGAAAGGUAUACAAACUGAAGAAAGCAUUAUAUGGCCUGAAGCAAGCUCCAAGAGCUUGGAAUAAGAAGAUUGAUAGUGUCCUAAUUCAAAUUGGCUUUAGCAAGUGCAUAUCUGAACAUGGAGUAUAUGUAAAAGGAGAAUAUGAGUCAGACUUAGUAAUACUGUGCCUCUAUGUUGAUGAUUUACUCAUCACAGGAAACAACAAAAUAGAGAUUGACAAGAUUAAGCAACUGCUGAAGAAUCAGUUUGAAAUGACUGACUUAGGAUCUCUUUCAUACUUCCUUGGAAUUGAGUUCAAGGAAACUGAAGCUGGAAUUGUGAUGCAUCAAAGCAAAUAUGCUACAGACCUGUUGAAGAAGUUUCGAAUGACUAACUGUAAUGCAACAGCCACCCCAACUGAAACAGGAUUGGCAUUGAGUUUGAGAGAUGAAGGAGAACCUGUUGAUGAAACUCAGUACAGACAGAUUGUGGGUUCAUUAAGGUACUUGUGCAAUACAAGACCUGAUUUGGCAUUCAGUGUUGGACUGAUCAGUAGGUUUAUGCAAGCUCCAAAAACUCCUCACAUGAUGGCAGCAAAGAGAAUUCUAAGGUAUAUUAGAGGUACAAUUAACUAUGGUAUUCUACUUCCAAAUACCAUCACAAAUUCAAACAUGGAACUGGUUGGCUAUACUGACUCAGACUGGAGAAGAGAUAAUGAUGAUAGAAAGAGCACUGCUGGAUAUAUUUUCCUACUUGGAGAUGCACUGGUGUCAUGGAGUUCAAAGAAGCAAGAUCCGGUUGCCUUAUCAACUUAUGAAGUUGAAUACAUAGCAGCAUCAAUGUGCUCGUGUCAAGGCUUAUGGCUAAGAAAACUAUUGAAAGAAAUGAAGAUCCAGAAGACUGAAGCUAUAAACAUACUGGUGGACAACAAAUCUGCAAUCAGCUUUGCUAAAAAUCCAAUUGAUCAUGGUGGAAGCAAACACAUAGAAACAAGGUACCAUUUUAUUCGGGACAAGGUGAGCAAAGGGAAGGUAAAACUGCUAUACUGCAAGUUAGAAGAUAAUCUUGCAGACUUACUGACCAAACCUUUGAAGAAGAACAAAUUUGAAGACUUGAGAAACAAGAUGAUGAUCAUGAUUGAAUAAGAGUCAGAAUUAUGGGGGAGUGUUAGAAAUGAUAGUAAUUUUGACUUUGCUUGUUAAGCCUUUCUAAUAUAGGAAGUUAGUUGGUUAGUUAAUAAUGAUUUGUUAGUGAGGGACCAAAAUGCAAAAUACAAUCCUCUUGUAUAAAUACUGUUUCAUUGUUCUUUCAAUAAUAAUUUUUCAAAUUCUUUCAUUUUCCUUAUUUGUUAGUUUUGCUUCUCUCUAAACCUCUCUCACUUUUCUCCUUCCUCAAGUUACCUCUUUUGAUUGUGUGUGUGAGCAAGAACAGCAAGUUCUAACAGUUUUCUCUCUAAGGAUAGCGUUUACGUGCUUCAACCCAGGCUAUAUCUUUUUUCCCCUAAUUUAUUUUUUCCUUGUGUUUAUUGUAUGUUAUAAUGCAUUAUUCAUGUGCUGUCAAUUAAAUUUAUUUUGCUACUGUUAUUUUGUUAUUUAAUUUAAGACUGUGCAUCUCGUAUUUAUUUUCUUUCAUUUUUUAUUUUAUUUUUCUAACAGUCUUAGAGAGAAAAGUUAGUUAUCACUUUCUUCUUGCAUAGUCUUUUCUACAGUAGCAUUGUUUUAUCAAAAAUUUAUGUCGUCAAUAUGAUUGAGUUCCUUUCUAGUAAGCAUGAAAAAUUAAUGGAUGAAAAUGCAAUGCAUUAUGUUCCAUUAAAAAUGUUUUUAUUAUAUUAUUUUAUUUCCUGAAAUUUUAAAUUAGUAUGAGAUUGUUGAAAAAUAUUUUCCUUGUCAAUUGUAUUUUUGUUUAAGAUAAAAUCUUUUAGAAUUAGUUUAUGUGAAAAACUAAAAAUAUCUCACUACUUUCAUUCUUGCCUUAGAAAGUUAUAUUUUACUUGGUCAAAUGAUCAUGUGAACACAAGUCUUUAAAAUUAUGACAUUUGUUGUUUGGUUUUUUAAUUUCUGUUGUUUAAUGUUAUUAUUAUUACUGCAAAUAUUUUGUUGCUACAUGUUGACUGAUUAUCUCUUUAUAUAUAACUCACUGAUAAAAAGAUAAGCCUGUGAAACUUUAUAUUCUGCAUGUUGUAUUCUUAAUAGAGUACCUUAUAAAAAAAAUUAUGAGUUAUGGAAAAAAAGAGAACCAAAUCUGAAAUAUCUUAAAGUGUGGGGGUGUCUAGUAAAGGUUAACAUCCUUAUUAAUAAGAAAAGGAAAAUUAAAAAAAAUGUUAAUUGUAUUUUGUUGGAUAUUUUUUACAUAAUACUACUUAUAGAUUCUUAGUUGUUAAUUCAAAAUUAAUUGAAAUUUCUAAUGUUAUUAUUAUGCAAUCUAGAGAUGUCACUUUCUUUGAAAAUCUUUUUCCUUAAAAAAUAAAUUGUUAAAUCUUUGUAUGGUUUGAAACAAGCUCCAAAGCAUUGACACAAAAGUUUGAUUAAGUUAUUCUUUUGUAUGAUUUUCGAAUUAAUGAUAGUGAUAAAUGUGUGUAUGUGAAACAAUUUGAUGAUAAUGGAUGUGUCAUUUUAUGUUUGUAUCUGGAUGACAUAUUGAUAUUUGGUAGUAAUAUGCAUUUCAUAAAUGAUGUGAAGUCCUUAUUGUUUAGAAACUUUGACAUAAAAGACCUUGGUCAAGUAGAUGUGAUUUUGGGAAUUAAGCUUAUAAAGAAAAAUGAUGGCAUGACUUUUACCCAAUCUUAUUAUGUUGAAAAGCUAUUGAAGAAGUUUAAUUAUUUUGAUGCGAAACAUGCUUUUACUCCUUUUGACUCAUCCAUCAAGUUAAAGAAAAAUUUGAGUAAAUAAUUUUCUUCACAUAAAUAUUCUCAAAGUAUCGAUUCUUUGUUGCAUUUGACAAACUUUUCUAGGCAUCUCUGAUAUUGCACAUGUAGUUGGUAGAUUGGAAAGUAAUUGAGGAAUUUAGUGAUACAAAAUUGAAGUUCUGAUUUUGAUGAAAUAAAAUUGACAAGUGGUCAUGUCUUUGCUUUAGCUGGUUGUGCAGUAUCAUGAAAAUAUACUAGACAAAUUAUUAUUUCACAUGAAAGCAAAAUUUAUUGCUUUAAAUACUGCUACUAGUGAGGCUAAAUUUCUUAAAAAUAUAUUAUGCAAUUUGUCAUUGUUGAAUAAGCGUUUACCUCCAAUUCCAAUGCAUUGUGAUAGUCAAAUUGUUAUAUCUAAAGUGACUAGCAAAAUUUUAAUGAAAAAAGAAAACACUUAAGAGUGAGACAUAAGUCUAUAAGAAAUUUGAUUUCUCAUGAUGUCAUUUCUCUUGACUUUGUCAGGUCAAAAAAAUAAUAUUGCGGAUCCGCAUACAAAAAGGUUGACAUGUCAACAAGUAUUUGAGUCAUCGAGGGGAAUGAGAUUAAAGCUCAUUAUUUAGUUACAAUAAUGGACACCCGUCUCCGUGUGAUAGGUGAUCCCAUGAAUGGAGUUCAACGGGUAACAACGAAAUUGUUUGUUGACUAAAGUACACCAAAAUAAAAUUUGGCAGAGUUGUUCUGUUUCUCAUUCCUAUGACGAGGAGUAUUAUAAAUUGUGGCAAUAUUAAGGUUGAGGUAUUUAUAUAUGUGUAUUUUUGGUUUUAAAAAAAUACCUCUUAAUGAGUCCGAUGACAAUUAUUGUAGGGGUGGGGGUCACAACUCACUCUUUGAGGAUUCACCUAGUGAGUGGUGGUGGGGCCGCCACUGUGAGAUAUGGACUAAUCUCUAAGUGACACUCACGAAACAAGAUACAAGCACAAGGCCGUGUAACGCGCUACCACUGAUUAGAACCUAAUUGAACGCCAAUAUUGUAGGGGUUGUGUACUAAAGUCCGGUUAAAGAAUAUGUAGUUCAAGACAAUCAAGUCACUACAUUUUUCUCGGAUGGAAGUUCAUAAACACUAGGUAUAAGGCUCAAACCCGGAAGGUUCCUUAUACCGAAAUACAAUAUCACAUGCUCUUUCUCUUAUGUUUUUAUACAAAUUAUCUUUUAGAAAAUAUAUUUUAAAAUUUUAAAUUAUGUGGGGGAAUGUUGGUAAAUAUUUGUGUUUUAAUUUAAAAUUUAUAAAUAUAUAUUAAUUCUAUUUUAUAAAAUAAAAUAUUUAUUUUAGAUUUCUUAAGAUUUUGUUUUAAUGAGUCAACUAGUUUGUUAUGUUUGUUGUGACAACUGUAGGUUGGUUUUCCAACGGUCAUAUUUUGUUGUUGCAAAAUGCCUAUAUAUAUCUCUUUCCUCUUUUCUAAAAGAAGAAUACAAAGCAACAUCUGGUUUCUUUCUCCCAAAAAAUUAUCUCUUUCUUUUUCCUAUAAAAAACUUAUUUUUGUGAGAGUAAGAGCAUUGGUAUUCAGAAGGUUCGGGGAUCCUUUCGUUGCACACGAUCGGAACCAACGGGUUAUCGUAUCUUGGGAGAGGAGCGCAAUUAAAUUUUCCUGUCAGUGCAGUGGGGCGUUUUCUCUCUAAGGAUAGCGUUUACGCGCUUCAACCCAGGCUAUAUCUUUUUUCCCCUAAUUUAUUUUUUUCCUUGUACUUAUUGUAUGUUAUAAUGCAUUAUUCAUGUGCUGUCAAUUAAAUUUAUUUUGCUACUGUUAUUUUGUUAUUUAAUUCAAGACUAUGCAUCUUCUUCGUAUUUAUUUUCUUUCAUUUUUUAUUUUAUUUUUCUAACAUAUCCAAGCUCUGCCAUUUCAAAUUUCGAGGCUUGGAUAAGUGAAAUUAUAGCUUUAAGCAACCCAGACUUCACAGCAAGGGUCUUAGAAUUGAUUUGGGUAAUGUGGAAGAGAAGAACCCUUUGGGUUUUCUCAUAGAAGGAAUUGCAGCCAAGACAAGUUAUAGAUAUAACGGUCUCGUUGGCAUAACAUAAAAAAUAGAUGCAUAGCAGGCAACAAAACCAGAACAUCAGUUGGAAUCCUACCACAGGAAAUCAGACCAAGGUAAAUUUUGAUGCAUCUAUAAGAUUAGGAGUUGGUACAGGUUUGGGAGCUAUGUUCAGGGACAAUGCUUGUAACCAUUUGGCUUCAGCCUGCCUCUUUAUUACGUAUUGCUACGAUCCUCUUAUUGAAGAAGUGAUAACAUUCAGGUGGGAUAUUAAGACGUUGGGGCACAUGUGGUUUUCAAACACCACAUUUGAGACUAAUAGUUAACUUCUGCAAAUGGCAUGGAAGAAUCAUAGAAGACAAGAUUUUGUUGGUUUUUUAUAUUACCUUUGUAACCGCUCUUUUAAUGGCUAAUAAUCAUAUCUAUUAUUAGAAUAUAUGUUACAACUAUUGGAUUUCUCCCUUUUAUGAUAAUUUGAUGUAAUGUUUGCCUAUAAAAGGCCUCAUAUUAUUCAGAAUAAAAUUAUCCACUCUUCAUAUCUCUACUUUCUCUUUAUUCUACAGUGGUAUCAAGAGCUAGGUUAAGAGAAAGGCAGCAGUCCAAGGGAAUGAGAGUAGUCCAAAAGUGUGAGAAAAAAAAGGGAGAGAAAGAGAGAAGAAAAUAAUUGUCCCACCAAUGUCUUUUGAAAAUUUUGUUCAACCGACCAUUCCACGUUUUGAUGGUCAUUAUGAUCAUUGGAGCAUGUUGAUGGAGAAUCUCUAGCGAUCCAAAGAGUUCUGGCAGGUUGUUGCAGAUGGUGUGGCAACACCAAGUGAUGACGUAGCUCUUAUAGAGGCACAACAAAAAGAGUAUGAGUGAUGAAAUUGAAAGACUUAAAAGCCAAAAAUUAUUUGUUUCAAGCCAUUGAUCGUUCUAUCCUUGAAACUAUUCUUUGGGAUUCAAUGAAGAAAAAAUAUCAAGGCUCCUCACGAGUGAAACGUGCUCAACUUCAAGCAUUGAGAAGAGACUUUGAAGUCCUUCAAAUGAAAAAAGGUGAGUCAGUAACUGAUUAUUUUUCAAGAACCAUGGGUAUGCUAACAACAUGCGAUUUCAUGGUGAGGAAAUGACUGACACAACCAUUGUAGAAAAAAUUCUAUGCUCAUUAACACCAAAAUUUGAUUAUGUUGUAUGCUCAAUUGAAGAGUCAAAUGAUAUUAAUGAUCUUUCUCUUGAUGAGCUUCAAAGUUCUUUAUUAGUGCAUGAACAAAAGAUCAACAAAAAAUCAACAAUGGAGAAGCACGCAUUAAAGGCUUCUACCAAUAGUACUCAUUCCAACAACUCUAGAGGAAGGGGUAGAGGUAGAGGUAGAGGAAGAGGGAGUGGAGAACGAGGAAAUAGAGAUUUCAACAAUAAUUUUAAAGACAAUAAUGAUCAAUCUCAAGGCAAUGGUAGAGGAAGAGAUCAUUAUAAAUCAAAGGUACAAUGUUAUAGAUGUCAUAAAUUUGGUCAUUAUGCCUCUAAUUGUUAUACAAGAUUGCCUAAUCUUAAGGAAAAGGGGAAAGCUCAAAUUUUAUCAAGGAGAAAGAAGUGGAAACCUUAUUAAUGGCUGUUGAAGAUGCAAAAGACAGUGAGGUAGAAAUCUGGUAUGUAGACACUGGUUGUAGUAAUCACAUGAGUGGAAGUAAGUCCUCUUUCUCAUAUUUAAAUAAAGAUUUUCAUUCCACUGUUAACUUUGGUGAUUGUUCUAUCAUAAAAGUGAUGGGAAAAGGUGAUAUUAAGAUGAAAACCAAGAAUGGUUUUGUAGAAACAAUUUCUAAUGUGCUCUAUGUCCCUAACUUGAAAAACAACUUGUUAAGUGCUGGUCAAUUGCAAGAAAAAGGUUAUGAUAUUUUUAUUAGCAAAGGUACUUGUGAAAUUUUUGAUCCUGUUCGAGUUGCCAUUGCAGUUAUAAAAAAGAAUUCAAACAGGUUAUUCCCACUAAAAAUUGAAGGCAUUCUAGUUUAAUGGCCAAAGAUAUUGUUUCUACUUGGUUGUGGCAUUAUCGUUAUGGUCAUUUGAGUUUUAGUGGAUUGAAUACCCUUGAACAAAAAAACAUGGUGAUAGGCCUUCCUCAAAUUACUGGUCCCUCUCAAGUUUGAGAAGAAUGUGUUGUUAGAAAACAACAUCGUUCUCAAUUCCCCAAUGGAAAGUCAUGGAGAGCAAAAUGUGUUUUGGAAUUGAUUCAUUCAGAUAUAUGUGGUCCAAUAAAUCAUUCUUCCAAUGGAGGUAAAAAAUACUUCAUUACUUUCACAGAUGAUUUAUCUAGAAAAACUUGGAUCUAUUUUUGGCAGGAAAAAUCUGAAGCUCUCUCUUCAUUUAAAAGCUUUAACGCUCGAGUUGAAACAGAAUCCAAAAAGACUAUUAAGUCUCUUCGAACAGACCGUGGUGGAGAGUAUUGCUCAGAUGAAUUUUCUACUUUCUGUGUAAAUCAUGUUAUCCGGAAGGAGUUGACCACAGCAUAUACACCACAACAAAAUGGUGUCUCAAAGAGGAAAAAUAGAGUCAUUCUCAACAUGGUACGAUACCUCUUGACUAAGAGUAACAUUUCAAAAGAAUUUUGGCCUGAAGCUGUUAAUUGGAGCAUACACAUUCUAAAUAGAAGUCCUACAUUUUCUAUGAAAAAUAUGACACUAGAAGAGGCAUGGAGCGAAAGAAAACCAAUAGUGGACCACUUAAGGAUAUUUGGAUGCAUUGCUUAUGCCCAUAAUCCAGAUAAGAAAAGAUAAAACCUUGAUUAUAAAGGUGAAAAAUGUAUCUUUCUUGGUGUUAGUGAUCAGUCACAAGCAUAUAAAUUGUAUAAUCCUACCACUAAAAAGAUCAUUAUUAGUUGUGAUGUUGUUUUUGAUGAAGAAAUAUUUUUUGAAAAUAACAUAGAUGAAACAAAGCAAAUUCUUGCAAACUUUGAUGAAGAUAAUGAAGAUGAAGAGUUGCAGACAAGGGAGCUAGAAGAACAACAAAUUCCAGCAAUCACAGUUGAAGAUGAAAGACCUCAACGAGCAAGAAGAAGGCCUGCAUGGAUGUCUGAUUAUGAAGUAACAGAAAUUGAAGAUCCGAUUACUCAUUUUGCUUUGUUUUCAGAUUGUGACCCUACGACCUUUGAAAGUGUUGUCAAAGAAGAAAAAUGGAGAAAAGCGAUGGAUGAUGAAAUUGAUUCCAUUGAAAGAAAUAAUACUUGGGAGUUGUGUGAUCUUCCAAAUGGACAUAAUACCAUAGGAGUGAAAUGGGUUUUCAAAACAAAAUUGAAAAGAAAUGGUGAAGUGGAUAAAUAUAAGGCAUGCUUGGUGGCCAAGGGUUACAAGCAACAGUAUGGGGUUGAUUACACGAAAGUGUUUUCACCAGUUGGAAGACAUGAUACAAUCAGGUUAGUAGUUGCACUAGCAGCACAAAAUGUGUGGCCUAUAUUUCAACUUGAUGUAAAGUCAGCAUUCUUACAUGGUUAUUUGGAGGAACAAGUAUUUAUUGAUCAACCCCCUGCUUAUGUGAAAAUUGGAAAUGAGCACAAAGUUUACAAAUUAAAAAAGGCUCUUUAUGGACUAAAACAAGCCCCUCGAGCUUGCUAUAGUCGCAUUGAGUCUUAUUUCAUAAAAGUUGGUUUUACAAAAUGCCCCUAUGAGCAUUCAUUGUUUAUUAAAUUUGAUGAAAAAGGAAAAAUGCUCAUAGUAUGCUUAUAUGUUGAUGAUCUUAUAUUUACUGGAUGUUGUUCUCUCAUGUUUGAUGAAUUCAAGAAGUUUAUGAUGAAUGAGUUUGAAAUGACUGAUUUUGGCAUGAUGCAUUACUUUCUGGGUAUAGAAAUAGUGCAAUCAGAUGUUGGAAUUUUUCUUUCUCAAAAGAAAUAUGUGAGAGAUAUUUUGGACAGAUUUCAUAUGCAUGAUUGCAAUUCUGUAAACACUCCAGUUGAGUGUGGUUUGAAGUUUCACAAAGAUCCUAAAGGAAAGAAAAUAAACAGUACACUUUAUAAACAGAUUGUGGAAAGCUUAAUGUAUCUAACCGCAACUAGGCCUGAUAUAAUGUAUUCUAUAAAUUUGAUUAUCAGGUACAUGGAGAAUCCUACAAAAAUCUAUUUGCUUGUUGCUAAAAGAAUCCUUCGCUACUUGCAAGGAACAAGAGAAUUUGAGUUGUUUUAUAAAAGAGGUGAAAAGUUUAAUCUAUUGGGAUUCACUGAUAGUGAUUAUGCUGAAGAUUCAGAUGAUAGAAAAAGUACUUUUGGAUAUGUUUUUAUGAUGGCGUCAACAACGAUCUGUUUGUCAUCACGGAAGCAACCUAUUAUCACUAUCCACAACAGAAGCAGAAUUUGUAGCAACCUCAACAUGUGCUUGCCAAGAAAUUUGGCUAAGGAAUAUUCUUGAAGAAGUUCACUUCAAGCAACAAGGUCCAACUCUCAUCUAUUGUGAUAAUAGUUCCACCAUAAAGUUGUCAAAGAAUCCUAUUAUGCAUGGAAGAAGCAAGCACAUAGAUGUGAGAUUUCAUUUUUUAAGGGACCUAUCAAAUGAAGGAAUUAUUGAUCUUAUCUACUGCAAGAGUGAAGAGCAAAUUGUUGACAUCAUGACCAAACCAUUGAAGUUGUCUGCAUUUCAGAAGCUAAGGAAUUUGCUUGGAGUCUGCAUGCUUAAUGAAUCUCAUUAAACUGAUAGUUUGCAAACUUUCAGUUUAAGGGAGGGUUUGUUGGCUUUUUAUAUUCUAUAACCUUUGUAAUCACUCUUUUAAUGGCUAAUAAUCAUAUUUAUUAUUAGAAUAUAUGUUACAACUGUUGGGUUUCUCUCUUUUAUGACAAUUUGAUAUAAUGUUUGCCUAUAAAAGGCCUCAUAUUAUUCGGAAUAAAAUUAUCCACUCUUCAUAUCUCUACUUUCUCUUUAUUCUACAGAUUUGUCUUACCAGGCAGAAAUUCUAAAGGAUUGUGAAGCUCUUACGAACAGAAGGAGAAAUAUUCCUUUAGUUUCACAAAGAGAAAAGGGAAUUUAGUGACUGAUAAAUUAGCUAUGUUAGCUUUUAAUUUUCUUGAAAUGUACUGGCUCGAGGACGCUCCUCACCAGAUUUUGGCUCUUUUAGAAUCAGAUGUUAUUGCCUUUGGCAACCUUGCUUUAGUUCAAUAAUAGGAAAUAUUUAUUUAACCUAAAUUUUUUUUAUAUUGUUUUAUAAACACUAAAUUGCCAUAAUUAGUCUUACUCUGCUAAUCUGCCAUGUAUAUUAACUCUCUUUCCAUCUUCUAAAUAUUUCCCUUUCUAUAAAAUGCUUUAAACAUGACCUCUGAAUAAUAAAAGUAACGAGGAAAAAAAAAUUAGAAAUGACGGUUGAUUAAUUUGGUUGAUAGCCAAUUUAAAAUUUGUACAAUUACGGUACUAGCUCGUACAUAAACAUUUGAAGUAUUAAAAAAUGUUGAGUGUUAGAUAAAGAAAUGUGAGAAGGCAGAAGUGUUUCAUUACCUGGAAUUUAGGACUACAAUCCCUGAGAUACUAGCAGCCUCACGAAGUGCCUCUGCCCAACGUUUCACGAGGAUGUUUAUCUCUUUAUCAACAAUCUUCACUUUUCCCCUUCAUAGAUGUUAUUUUUUAAGAGACAAUUAAAACGAUUAAAGAAUAACAAAUGGAUAAUUCAUACAAAGUUGCUUUAUACAGUGGCCUAUCUAAAUCGGCUAUAGCAGGUUAUAGCAAACAAAUAAAUCCGUUGAACCAGUAACCAACUAAUAUAUGUGUAAUAUCCCCCCUCGUCCCGUGGGUUGGAAAAUAGCAAUCAAUCCCAGCUUGAAAACAAAUUUCUGAAAAUGCUUGGGAUGUAAACUUUUGGUGUAGAGGUCUUCAGUUUGGUCAGUGGUGUAUAAGGGUAGCAGUGGCAUUAAUCCAGCCAUACAUUUCUCACGGAUAACAUGAAAAUAAUCUCGAGAUGCUUGGUCCUCUCUUGAAAAAUGGGUUUGGUUGUGAUGUGCAAGGCACUUUGGUUAUUGCAUCAGAUCACUGACUGUUUCAAAAAGUGAUGGAGAGAUCUUGAAGAAGAAAAAGCAACAAUUGCAGCUCACAAGUAGCUGAGCUAAGGCUCAAUAUUGUGCCUCGGAUGAGGACUUUGCCACUGUUGGCUGCUUCUUGGAUUUCCAACAAACCAAUGACCGAGUCUCCCAAAAAGAAACAAUAACCAAUAUAGAACAAAUAGUAUCGAGACAUUCACCCCAAUCUGUGUGUGUCACUGAAAUCAGGGAGUUGUAUUAUAGAUGACAAGGGAAAUUAAGAAAAGUCCUUUCGCUGGGAUUCCCUUUCAAAUACCAAAGUACGCUUGGGCUGCUUGAUAAUGACUCACUGUUGGGAGGGCUGAAAAUUGACUAAGUUGUUGGUCAGCAUGGGAUAUAUCUGGGCGUGUGAAAGUCAGGUAUAGGAGGCGACAUUUUGGCGAAGUCUCAAGGUAGGUUCAGAAGGGGUGCUUUCAGGUUUGGCACUGAGAACACCAGCAUCAAUUAAGAGAUCGAGACAAUAUUGGCCUUGGCAUAAAGAGACACCUCUUGGUGAGUGAGAAACUUCAAAACCAAGAAGGAACUUAAGAAUGCCCAAAUUGAUUAUCUAAAACCUGCUUGAACGAAGUUAUAUCCAUAGAGUUUCUAACAAUGACUAUGUCAUCUACAUACACGAGUAGUAAGGGAAUCAAGUGUGUGAUGGAUAAAAAAUGAGUGAUCAACUAUAGAAUGUUGAAAUCCAAGUUGGAGAAGCAAGAAAUUCAACUUCUCAUACCAUUUGCAGCUAGCUAGUUUAAGUCCAUAGUGUUCUUAACAAGCUUGCAAACCUCUUAUUCUUUCCUGACACUUGAGGCACUUGCACAUACACAUCUUCUUUUAGAUCCCCAUGGAGAAAUGCGUUAUUGACAUCCAAUUGGUGAAUGAACCAGUUGUUGAUAGAUGCCAAAGCCAAAAGGUCAAACUCGGAUUAUGGUUAACUUUGCCAUUGGAGAGAAAGUAUUAAAGUAAUCACACCCUUAAUUUGGUUGUAAUUAACCUUUGGCCACCAACCGAGCCUUUAACCUAGCUCUCAAUAGAUCCAUCCGUUUUCCUCUUAAUUUUGUACAUCCGUUGGCAGUCAAUGGGCACAACAUUGGCAGGGAUGGAUCCAGGAAUGCAUUAAAGGGGGUGGGGGUUCAAUUUUUUUUACAUAAUUAUUUAACUUUUAAUAAAUAAUUAACUAAUAAAUAAAAGGCUUAAAUAUGUUUUUGGUCCCUGAUAAAUACCCUUUUUUCAUUUGGUCCUUAAUAAAUUUUUCCUUUGGAUCAAGUCCUUAAUAUUUGAAAAAUUUUGUUUCAAGUCCUUACCGUUAGUCCGAAAUCGUUAUCUGCAUAUGUGGUCGUUAACCGACCACGCAAGCAUGUCAUGCAUGGAAUCAUGUGUGAUUUUUGUCUGAUUGGGAUUACAUGUGGAAAAAAAAGUAAAAAAACAACAUCAUUUUGCAUGUUAUACAAUUUUCUUUUUUUUCUUUCUUUUCCCAAUCUGCUACCCCUAUCUCUGUUGAGCCUAAACCCUAAUAUGCUCCUACUCAUCGCCACCCUUUUGGUCCUCUUCACCUUCACAAUCGCUUCUACCAUCACAAUCGCCACUAGCCACAAAAACUUUCACCAUGACACAACCACCACCACAAUAGUAUGCAAACACCCCAAACCCCAACAACUUCCAAUAUCAACCAGAGCGACAAUCUGCAAAUAUUCCGUUCAAAAUGCUUGCUUCUAAUUCACAACUUUCAUUUGACUAAAUCUCAACCAUCUAUCAACAAUCUUCAAAAUCAAUAAAUUUCGUAUGUCUCAAAUGGAUGUUCAAUUCCAAUGACCACUCACUAAAUUGCAACAAGCAAUGAAAAAAUUGGGUAAAUAAUUUGUGAAUGGGAAUAAAAUUCAGAAACUCAACCCAACAAGGGGGAGGGUGGAGGUAGCGCAACAGUUCACAGAUCUGGUUUAUUGUAGUCGCACGCAUGCCCUGAGGUUAUAGGGUGGGUCACACACGUAUUCAGGCGAGGGAUAGAGAGCGACACAGGGUGUUGGGAGCAGAGUUUGUGCACGACACAGAGGUAUUGGUUGGAUUGUGCAAGUCUAGAUAGAGAGAACAUCGCACGUAUUUGGUCUCGGAUCCUGAUUCAGUAUCAGAAUCUUUCUCGCAAGUUCCUCCUAGCAUCAAAGAUCAUAAUCCAGGAAAGUACCAAACUGUUGUUGCAUCUUUCCCAUGUUUUGUAAAUCUAUCGGAUCACACCGACCAGGUUUUCCGAUGCUUCCAUCAACAAAUUUCUUCUUGUUCUUUGUAAUCAACGCUUACUGCAUCGCUUGAGCCCAUUUGUGGUGAUUCGUACCAAUCAAUGGAGAAGAAACGAUUGAUGUUGUGGGAUUUUCAUUUGGAUUGGCAUAGAAAAGGCUCAUAGGAUCUUGUACAGGAUUCAGAGUAGAAGGGGGAUUAUUCACAUUCAGAUUGUUGCAAGAAGGCAUUUUGGAAGAUUAUGCACCACAGAGUUCAAAAAGGAGCUCUGACAGUGAUAGUGUGAUACCAUGAAACGAUUCAAGAAUAAGAAAUGGCUAAUUCUUUUAUUGAUCAACACAGCAAAGUGGAUACAAUUGCUUUGUAUAAUAGGUUUAUAGGUUAUAACAAACAAAUAAACCCAUGAACCAGUAACAAACUAAUAUAUAUGUAAUAACGAUGUUUGGUAAAAAUACAGAGAAAGCGUAAAGCGUUUCAAUUAAGUUGGAUUUAGGACUACAAACCUCAAGAUGCUAGCAGCCUUAUGAAGUGCUUCCUUCCAAUGAAUUAGAAGGACCUCAAAAUCUUUUCUGAUCUCCUCUUCAACACUUGAUACAUGUUAUGAAUUUCAUAAGCGUGAUUUCUAGAGACAUAGUUCAGUAAGAAAUGAAAGCAGAAAGUUUCUAAAUUACAUGGAAUUUAAGACUACACCCCCUGAGAUGCCAGGAACCUCACAAUGUGCCUCCCUCCAAUGCUUCACGAGGAGGUUUAUCUCAUAGGCAAGCUUCAUUUCCCCUCUUCAUACAUGAUAUGAAUUUCAUAAAUGUUAGUUUUAGAAACAAUGUUCGGUAAAAGCCUAAAGGCUUAUAUAUGUUUUUGAUCCCUAAUAAAUAUCAAAUUUUUGUCUUUCCUCCCUACUAAAUUUUUACUUAACAUUGAGCCCCUAAUAAAACGACACUUUUGUUUUUUGUUCUUGAUAUUUUGUUUUAAUCCCUGAUAAAUUAGCGAAUUGUGUUUGCUCCCUAAUUAAUUAGCAAAUUUUGUUUUAAUCCCGACUAAUAUCAAAUAGAAAAAAUUUAUCAAAGACCAAAUACAAAAUUCACUAAUUUAUCAGGGACUUAAAAUUAAGUAUCAAGAACCAAAAAUAAAAUAGUUGUUUAAUAAGGAAUUAACGCAAAACAGAAAAUUUAUUAGGAAUCAAACACGAAAUUUAAAUAUUUAUUAUGAAUAAAAAACAUAUUAAGCUAAAUCUAAAAACAGAAAUUGUCUCAAUUACUUGGAAUUUAGGUGUGCACCCCCCGAGAUGCCAACCGCCUCGCAAAUUGCCUCACUCCAAUGCUCCACAAGCAGUUCUAUUUUAAAACCGAUCUCAAAUUCUCUACUUGAUACACGUUAUGAAUUUCAUAUAAGUUAGUAUUUUCAGAGACCAUUCAGUAAAAAUCUUAAAGUUGGAAGUGUCUCAACUACCUGGAAUAUAAGUAUGCACCAUCUGAGAAACUAACAGCCUCACAAAGUGCCUCACACAGUGUUUCCCUCCAAUGCUUCACUAGGAGAUCUAUUAACUUUUCAGCAAUCAACAUUCCUCUCCUUCAUACAUGUUAUGAAUUUCACAAAUGUUAUUUUUAGGUAUGGUUUAAUUACUUAUUUUGUCUUUAUAGAUGCAAAAACUUUACAUUUUAGUCUCUACUUGAAAUCAUCUCAUUUUAGUCCUUACACAUGUAAUUUUUAAUCCUUUGACAAAGACUAAAAUGGAUUAAAAAUGGUAUGUACAACGACUAGAAUGUGAUAUUUUUAAGUAUAAAAGCUAAAAGGUAACGUUUUUAUAACUAUACACACCAAAUGAGGACCAACUGAGGAAUUAAAUCUUGAGACAAUGUUCAGUAAAAAAUAUGAGUCUAAAUACCACGGGAUGCGAGUGGCAACACAAAGUCCGUCCUUCCAACGCUCCACAAACUUGUCUAUUUUAUUAGCAAUGUCCCUUUUUCUACGUCUUACAUGUCAUGAAUUUCAUAAAUGUUAUUUUCAGAGAGAAUGUUCAAUAAAAAUCUGAAAGCAUAAAGUGUCUCAAUUACCCCAAGAUGCCAGCAGCCUCACAAAGUGUCUCCCUCCAAUGCUCCACGAGGAGAUCUAUCUUAUCCAAAAUCUCACUUUGACCACUUCAUACAUGUACAUGUUAUGAAUUUCAUAAACUAAAAUUCCAGAGACAAUGUUCAGUAAAAAUACGAGAAAGCUGGAAGUGUUUUUAUUACAGAAAGCCCUGAGAUGCCAGCGGCCUCAGCAAGCGUCUUCCACCAUCGUUGUAGCUUUUCCUCUUCCUUUUCCUCUACCACUUUUAAAAGUCUGUUCUCAAGGUUUCGAAAUGCUUUUCCAAAGUGGCCUGUUUGAUGACGUACUUCAGAGGGAUCUACAUCAUAGAACACUGGCACUACCACUUGCCCUGUUGUUCUGUGACACUCCAUUAUUUUCUCCAACUCUUUCAAACACCACCGCGACUCUGCAUAGUUUCUAGAGAAAAUAACAACAGAAAGUCUAGACUCUUCAAUUGCUAACCGCAGCGAGGGUGAAAUUUUAUUUCCCCUUGGAAGUGUCUCAUCAUCCUUGAAAACAAAGAUUCCCAAGUUGUGAAGAGCCGUAUAGAGAUGUGAAGUGAAAGAAGCACGCGUGUCUUCCCCUCUGAAACUCAAAAACACAUCAUAGUUUAUGUUGUCCUCCUUGUACCGAUCACGCAGAAAGUCCAUCUCGUCAUCAUCAUGGAGAUCGUAGUCAUAACUAGAGGAAGAAGACAUGGAAGAGAUGAAAGGAUAUUAUUGUCUAAGAAGAAUAAUGGAGCUUCAGACAAAUGUUAUGCGGCAUAAAUAACCAUUCUUUUCUUUUCGGAUUCCCAUGGAGAUCCCCUGGAUGGAAAUUCAGUCAAGAAACCAUGGAGAUUGUUGUUCCAAGAUAUGUCAAUAACCGACAAUGUUCCAAUGUUGAAGAUCUUAUGUGGAAAUGUUCCAGUCAACCCGCAAUUAUUAAGACUAAGGAUGGUGAGAUUUUUGUAAUGGGAAAAUGUUUCGGGCACUGGGAUGAUAAUUUGUUCCAAUCAAGAACAAUGAUUGAUAUAUUAUCAACUCUUUUCAAGGAAGGAUCCAAGGGUCAUGAGAGACCGCACCAUGACAUGCUCAAUUCUUACAGGUUAAGCAGUGGCAUCAGCACACUACACCAUUAAUCUAGAUACAGUUGCCUAAUACUGGUGAGAUUCUGGCCAGAAAAGGGUCUAGUUCAACAUGGGUUUUCACCAGGAGACCCAAAAACUUGAGAUUAAAAACUUUCAGCUUCUUAGGAUGGAAGUGAUGAGACAAGCUACAUUUUCAUUGUAUAGAUAAUUACUAUUGUGACAACUGCAAUUACAAGUACAAGUUUAAAUGGUAGGAAAACUAAAAUAAAAAUGGUUGUUUUUUGAAAGAUAUAGUUAACAACACUCAAUUUAUAAGAAAAAAGUCUUUCUUCAAUGUUGGCUUUCACCACUCGGCGUUGGAAACGUAGAAGUUUUACUUUUAUGCUUUCUUAGUUAUUUCACUUAUUUGGUGUAAUUAUAUUUUACUGCUAUUAACUUUUUAUUUUUGUUAGCUGUUUUAUUCUUGUAAACAAAUUUAUGUGCUUAAUAUCAUUUAAAUUUUAUGUAGAGAAAAAAAUGCAUGUUAUGAUGACAAAUACUUUUGCCAAUGAAUUAAAUAUCGUUUUCCGUCUUGAGUUUAGCUUUUUUGCUUUGAGCUUUUGUCUUUAAUUUGGCUGUCAUUGUUCUUUUUUAAGGGUGUUUUUUCUUUUUUCUUUUUCGAGUUACCAUUGUUAGAAUUGUUUCAGAAUCAUGUAUUAGAUGGAAUUGUUUUAAUCAAGGGACAUAAAAGUCAGUAAAACAUAACAGUGCACAAUUAUAAUACCAAGGUGAUUUAGUCUUUGCACUUUUAACAGAGGUCGUAAAGGUAGCUCAGGAAAGAUUCAUAUGUUUUUUUUUUUUUUUCAUGAAACCGUUUGCUAGAAAAUUCCAUUUUAUUGUGCAGUUGCUAUGAAUAGACAGCCAGAGAAGACAGCUUGGGAAUGGUGACUAAUAAGAAGUUAGUUCAUUACUACAAAAAUGAUAUUCUACGGUUUACGAUAAUUUCAUAAAAAUCAAUGUCAUUUAAAAUAUGGUGAUAUUUUUUUGUAAAUAAUUAAGACACAGAUGAUGAAGACCAUUUUGCGAUGACGGCACCACCAUGGACACCAACGAUGCCGUGAUGGCCAGAACCCAAAUUUCUCGAAGAGGAUUAAGGAUUGGAUGUCAAUGGUUAUGGUAAUGGUUUUGAUCUCCACAGGGGGACACCAGGAGGAGGACAACGACAACGGUUAAGACACAAAUAACGAAGACCAUUUUUGCUCAUCAUAUCUUCCACGGUUUGGUCUUUCUUUUUUUGUUGCCUUUUUUGGUUGUUUUAUUAUGCUUUGUUUUGUUUUUCCCCUUUUUUCUUUAUCGCAUAAUUCCUCCAUUUUUUCAGUUACCUACAUUGACUCAGUUUUGAACCCUGAACUCAAUUGCCAUCAACAGCUGUUUUCCGCCACUUCAACCUUCUCCGCCCACUUUAGGUACCUAUAUGUGUGAUUUACGGUUUUAUUCAAAGUUUAUUUUCUGUAUUUUUUACUUGAAUGACAUUAAUCUUUUUCGUUUCGUGCAUUUGAAAAUAUUCAGAUUACUUAUGCAAAGCUAUUAGAAUUCUCAGAUUCGUAUUUCAGAUUCUUAAAUUAUUUAGUUGUUAAUUUAGUUUACAUAAUUAACAAAGGGAGAAACAUUGUUUAUGCCCUGGCUGGCAUAUGCUGCAGGAUUUUAGCGCUAAUUAGGACUGCUAUUAGGGUUUCUAUGUGGUGACUUGGUUUCUUGUUCGUGUGUUUUGAAAAUGUCCUCUCGUGUUUUUUUAUCAGAAUCAUUGUGUCCAGCAGAAAAAGUAGUUCUAUAAUUACUUUGUUUAAAUAAAUUUUUCAAACGUGUUUAACACAUUACACUACAAUUUAACACUUCAGGUCCGCAUAAACAAUUUUCUCAAGGUAAACAUCAGUCGAGUUAUUAUAUAAUUCAUAACUCACAACACAAGUAAUAUCACAUCAAAUAUUAAUCACACACUUAUUCACAAUCACAUCCUAUGUCCACAAUUUAACAUCUCACAGAUUAAUUAUCUAUAAAAUAUACUUAACAAAACUAUAUUUCUUGCAGCUUAAAGAGCUAAAUAACAACAAUUAUGAGGUUAUAUUGGUGACUAGCUUCUACAAGGAUUGAGGUCUGUGCCAUUGACUUGAAUAAUCAUGUUAAUGUAUCAUUUGAGCAAAUAAUUAUAACUUCUUGAAUUUGGAAAUGCAGGGUUUGUGAGCUUUCCUACCCAGAGCCGAGCUUAUCAAAAGAGUAAAUAACUUUUUUGAGUUGAAAGAAAAUGUGAGCUCCAGCCCUAUAAUUUUCCUCCAACAAAAAAGGUAUAUACACAAUACAAUCUUAUUUUGGGACAGCUAAUUUACUUAUAUGCUUCCAUUGGAUUUUGGUACUCUAUUAUUGUAUGAUAUACUAUUGAGUGGAUUAGCAUAUCACAAUAUUUAUAGAUUAAUUGAUGUGGAUGGCGUUAUUAGGCUCAAUUAAAAUCUUCUGUAGAUUCGAUUUCCUUGAAUGUGAUUGGCAGAAGCCUCUAUGAGCUAUCCUGAUAAUUCACUGUUGGUUUUCAACUGAAGCAAUUAUCUUUUCAAGCUUUAGGCAUAUCUGAGCCUUAAGAAAGUAGCCAGAGAUUUCAAUAACUAAUUAAAUAGAAAACUUAGUUUUGACAUGUAUUCAAAAUAUAUUCCCUAAUACUUCAUUAAGAUCACAAUGUUUUUCCACAAACUUAAUUUAUUUUAUUUUAUGUUUUCUUAAAUGUAUAGAUUCAUGUAGUGCAUCUACUUGACUAUUUGGUAAGUCAUAACGUUAUUUAACAUAUUCAUGUAGGUGCAAUUCUUAUUUCCAAGGAAAUAAUUCCAUCUUAGGGUAUCACUUAGAUGCUUGAAUGCUUCCAAUUUCCCUUCUUUAAUGUUGAAAAUUGUGAAGAAAAGAAAUGUUAAUGCAAGUUUAUCCUAUUUAUGGCUUACAGAAAACAUAGAAACCAAACUAGAUAAUUCAUGUACAACAACAUGAGUGCUUUUUUAGGUAAAACAUACUUAGUAGAUUGCCACUUUGUUUCCUGUUCACUUUUAUAUUUUCCUCAUUUUCUGUAGUAACAGUAUUUACCACUGUUGAAUUGAGUGGAGUACUAUCAUUAAAGAAUUAAAUUGAAUGUUUAAGUGUUUUUCAUUUUUCUUUGCCAACAUAUUCUGUCAUUACCUUGUGGUUGUAUUAUGAAACUUGCUUAUUGAACUCUAGAUGUCAUUUAUUGCCUUAAUAAAUAAGUCGCCAUAUCAGUUUUCUGAUUACAAAGAAGAAAUAUACCUUAAAUUCUUAUGACCAAAAAGAAAAAGGGGGGAAAGGACUAAACAAGUAUGUUUUUCCUGUUUAUCUGCAGGAAGUUGGGGAUCACUCAUUUGAAAGGAAACCAUGUCUUGGUGGACCACUGUUAAAGGAAAAUAUCGCAACCACGAUACUUGAGAGAUCAAGGUCAAAUUCUAUUUAUUCUUAUUCUAAAACCAAAAACAAUUCCUUCUAUGGACAAAGACGUCCAAUGCUGAAGUUUGGGGCAAAACUUUUGUGUGUUAAUGACUUGCUUCUAUUAGGAAGAGCAACCAUUGAAAAGUAUUUAUCCAUAUAAUGAAAAUAUCUAGUGUAUAAUGUAAAUAUUUACUUAGAUAAUUUAAAUAUUAAUAAGAUACUUUUAAUUCUUCAUAUUUCAUUUAUUUAUUUUGUGACAGUUUAUUAUUAAUGGUGUACUUACUUUUUUCUAAUAAAUUAAAAUUUAAUUUGUAUAUAUUUAUAACCUUUUAAUUAUAUUUAAAUAAAAAUGAAAUAAUUUUAGGUCAUUGAGAUCAUGUCUAUAGACAAACCAUUGAGUUCUAAAUCCUUCUAUAGUUCCUUAUCAUGUUGAUUUUUAAUUUUUGGUCAUUAAGAUUUUAAGGAUAAAUUCUUUGGACUUAUUGUACUACUGUUGGUUGUUGUUUCAAUUUUUAGUUUUAUGCAUCUAAUGUAUAUUUGCCUUUUUUUUUUUUUUGGCUAUAUUCUCUCUGUCAUGAAGUUUGUAACAUGAAAAAAAUAAAAAAAUAAAUCUUUAUGUUCGUUGGUAUUUGUCAAUUUCUAGUGCCUUAAAAUUAUUCACCGUCUCAAGCUAAUGAUUAAUUGGAAGUAUGCAUUUGUUUGCAUGAAAAAAAAAUAAUAAAAAAUAUUUAUUUUUUUAAAAAUAUAUUGUAUGACAAUUCUCUAAAAAAAUCGUUUUAUUUUUAAGAUGAUUUUUUAUAAAAAAAAAAAAAGUCUUAAAAUCCUUAAUAUUUUAAUUUUUUAAAAAAAUAUUCUAAGAUUGUGAUCUAAAAAACUAUCAUAUAAAUUUUAUUUUCUUAAACAAUUUUUGAAAAAAUCUUUUUAGAAUCUUCAAUUUUUUUAUUUUUUAAAAAAAAUAUUUUAAGAUGUUUUUACAUAAAUUAAUAUAAAAAUCAAAUUUUUAAGAUAAUUUUAAAAUAGUCGUAAAAAAUUAAUAUUUUUUAUGACGACAAUUUCAAAGAUGAUUGAAAAUCAUCAUAAAAAAUAUAAAAUUGGAAAUUAAAGUAAGCUAAAGGAGAAUGCAUUAUUUUACUUUUUCUAAUUAAUGGAAUGCUUUCCUUUUGUUUUCUAAUGGCCUUGCAAUGUGAAUCGGAAUGAAAAGAACUCAUUUCGUAGUAAUGAUUAUAGUGGAAAUUAAAGUAAGCUAAAGAAAGAAUGAUGCAUUAUUUUACUUUUUCUAAUUAAUGGAAUGCUUUCUUUUGUUUUCUAAUGAUCAUGCAAUGGGAAUCGGAAUGAAAAGAACUCAUUUCGUAGUAAUGAUUAUAGUGGAAAUUAAAGUAAGCUAAAGGAGAAUGCAUUAUUUUACCUUUUCUAAUUAAUGAAAUGCUUUCCUUUUGUUUUCUAAUGGUCUUGCAAUGGUAAUAGGAAUGAAAAUAACUCAUUUCGUUUUCUUUUGACCCAAGAAUAUAAAAGCCUCCUUAUAAUUAGCAAGUGGGGGGUGGAAGAACUAAAAAGUUUUUAGGAACUUAGGAAGAAGUGUCCUUUGAUUUUGGCAAUGCAUGAGAAAUGCCAUGUACAGUAGUUUUGUUUAGGUUAUCAUGUUAUAUUAUAAGUGUGUAAUAUUUAUUGAUUUAAUAAAUGAUUAGUUUUUAUUAGAAAUGUAACUAAUUAUUUUAGUGAUAUCUUCUCUUUUAAUGAUAUUUUAUUUGUUUAUAAUAAUAGAGUUUGAAAUCUUGCUUAAACAAUUCAUCUUACUCACACAAAUGACUUAUAAGAAUAAAAAUAAAAAUAAUGAAAGUGGGAAAGAGAAAAAAAAAAGAGAUAUAAUAUGAAAGGAAAAAACGUAGAAAGAGUAUAUAUAUAUAUAUAUAUAUAUAUAUAUAUAUAUAUAUAUAUAUAUAUAUAUAUAUAUAUAUAAAAUAUAAAAGAGGUCCCAUUUAAAUGAUUUAUUUAUUUAAUAAAUUAAUCAAUUUUUAAAUCAUAUUGAAUCUAUACAAUAAUUUUUUUUAUUUCUAAACUAUUUAAUAAAGAAUAACGUUCAAUGAUUAUACACAAAUUGUGUAAAUAUGACUAAAUCAAAGAAUAACUAUUUUUAGUCAAACAAUUUAUCAAUCACAUAUAUUCACAAUUAAAUUACUAUCCAAAUUAAUGAUUUUUUAUAAGUAAUUUCUUCAUCAUAUAUUUUGUGAUUUCCUUAAUUAAUUUCCGCUUGCAAUACCACAUUUAUUACCUCAAGUUUAUUAUUAUUAUUAUUAUUAUUAUUAUUAUCAUUAUUAUUAUUAUUAUUAUCUCUGCAUGAAAUGUGAUCACUCCACCAACAAUUAGGAUAUGUGUUGUGAUUUCAUUGUGCCUUUCAUAUUAUUUUUAAAAAUGAUCGAAUGCCUUGUUCACUUUUGAGUUAUGUUUUCUAUUAUAAUUAUGUCUCAUAUAAAAGUUUGGUUUAAAUAGUACUCUUUUUUUUAUUUAUCCUUUUUAUAAGACUUUUUUACGUCAUUUUUUGUUUUAAUUAUAUUUUGAAUUAAAUAUCCUUAGCUAUUUUAUAAUAAAUAUUUUGUAUUAAAAAUAUAAAUGUAUUAUCUUUGGUAGGAUUAGAUAAAAAAAAAAAAGACUGACACACAUUAAUUAAUUAAAUAAAUAAGAAAGUAAUUAAGAGAAAAAGAGAUUAUGAGUUCAGAAUAAUUUUAAGGAUAAUUUUAAUAAAAAAAACACAAAUAAUUAAUAAAUUUAAUACUACUCAUUAUAUUAAUUAAUUUUUUUAAAAAAAUAUGAAUUAGUUAAGAAAAUCAUUAUAAAAGGUGUGAAUUUUGAUUUUGGUACUUAUAAAACUUUUUCUUUAAUUUCAUUCUUCAAAAAUAUAAAAUCAUUGAUGGUAUCAAAUCAACAUGUGAUUUUAGAUUUUUUUUUAAAUUUCUAAAAGGCUAAAAUAUAUUUUUUAUUUUUAUAAAUAUUAAUGAUUGAAAUAUUCAGAAUUUAUCUGUAUAAAAAUUUUGGCCUAGCAAAAUUUAAAUGUAUUUCUUUUUGUCCUCGGUUAGCUUCAAAUAUGUGUGAACCUGCAUGUCUGGUGAUCUAAGCUAGUCCAUUGGUCAAUUGGAUGGUGACAUGUGUUCAAACUCUAACCUAUCUCUCUCACUUGAAACCAUAGAUAUAUAGACGCCGUCGAGAAAGCCAAAAUCCCAUUCUUCCCGGCGUUGGCAACGCCUCUAUCUGUUAGCGAAGGUGAAGGCAUCAACGGGGAUUGUGGGGCUGAAGGUGGUUCAGAACGGGGUAGGUGCUGAUUGGGCUAUAUGCUGAAGUGUAUCCAGAAGGGUCCCAAAGACGAAGGGUACUGCAUAUGGAAGCAUCUCAUUUCUACCAAUGCGAAGCUGCAAAAGGAUUAUGAAGAUUGAAAAAAGUAUGAAUUGAAUUAAAUAAAGAGAUAAAAGGGAAAAGUGAGUGCAGAUUGGGAAUUUUUUUGUUCACAAUUAUUCUUAAUACCUUUCAGCUUGACCUUUGUUAGGGGGGCAAAAAUAUUCGUUAGGCAUUUACAAAACAUUUGCAUAAAGUCUUCUUCAGAAAACAAAAAAUGAUUUUUGGACACCAAAAUGCUAUUUGACACUUAAGAGAGAAAGAUAAACAAGACAAAUAUAUAUAUAAUAUAAUUGAUAAUCUAGUCUGAGGAAGUUCAAAAUAGGUUUUUAUUGUAAUAUUGGUGAGGUUUUUACACUUGUUGUCAAUUUAGUCGUUUUUAAUUGUUAGUAUAAGAACAUAUUUAUUAUAUAAUAUUUUUUUACUUUUUCUUUUCCUAAUCUACAAAUACAUCUCUAAAAGAUAAAAAUAUAAAAUUUAGUCUCUGAAAGAAUAAAAAUACGACAGAUAUAUCCGGAUGUUACUAAUAAAUUAUGAUAAAAUUCUUGUAAAACUAGUCUGAACGAGUAUUUAAUUGUUUUUUAAAAAAAAUCAUAAAAUAUGAAUGUCUAUUAGUAUAUGUAAUGAUAUCAAAUUUCAAAUUAUAAUAAUAAAAGUUUAUUGAUUUUUAAAUUAUUUUUUUAAAUCAUACAAAAUUAUUUUUUUAUUAACUAAUCAUUUAAAAAAUCAUAACCUAAAAAAAAUCAUUCCAAAGGAGGUGAGCGUCUUUCACAAACUAAAAGUAUCAUUGCAAUUUUUUCUAAAAAUUAUUUAUGAUCUAAUUUAACCAUAAUGUUUUACCAUAAGCAUUUUUUACUUGAACCUUUCAUCAAACUUGAGAGUGUAAAAAAAUUAUUUAUAAUUUAUAAAGCGAGUAUUCUUUUUUCUUUUAGACUCAAUUUAAUUUACGAAUUUGUUAAAAAAAAUUAUCGCAAUCAUUAUAAAUUUUUUCAAAUUAUAAUAAUUAGUCAUAAUUUAUUAUUAACGUUCAGAUAUAUUUUUUGUAUGUGUUAUACGUUCAUGACUGAAUUUGAUAGUUUCUUCUGUUAGAGAUACAUUUGUGAUCGGAGUGGGAAAGGUAAGGUUAAAAAAAUAGUAUAUGACAAAUAUGUCUCCGUGUUGACAUUAGAUAUGAUUUCAGUGACAAAUUUGUCACUCUGUGUCACAUAGACUAUUUUAUUAAUGGUGACAGACGGAUAAAAAGUUAACGACAAAAGUUAACGACAAAAUAUAUUAGUCACACUUUUUAUAUAUUUGAGAGACUAAAUUUUGUAUUUUUAUUUUUAAGAUAUAUUUAUCGGUGAAUGGCACAUUUAGGAACAAAAUUGACUAUUUACCAAAAAACUUAUUCAUAGAAAUUCGGAUUACAAUUAUCAUAUUCCAAUAUUUUUUUAAAAAUCAUUUCUUUCAUUUCACUUAUAAUUUUGUUAACGACAAUUUUACAAAGUUGAUCAAACCAUGACUUUAUAAACUAAUUGAAAUUAAAUCCAGCAAUAAUGGUUGACUCAAUUCAAGUGGUUGGGGCUUUCACUCCUUAAUGCAAUCAUAUGCACAGCCAAAAAAGUUGAAAUUAAAUCCUAACAAUGUUUUUCUAUCUAUAAAUGCAACGUAAAUAAUCACAAUUGUAAAAAUAAAUAUAAUACUAAUAUUGAUAAGUCAAUGUAGUUCAGUUUUUGUCGUGUAUAUAUAUAUAUAUAUAUAUAACAAAGCCAUUUCCAUUCUUUCAUUUCUCACAUCAGAUUUAGCAAUACUGAAUGAGUACAAAAUAUAAAACAAACAAACUGCAUAGUUGAAACAUAUUGAUACAGAAAGAGUUAUUACUCCACAUAUGACCUUGAACAAAUUACGACAAUGUUACCGAGCAGAAACUGUUUCCACCGGCACUUAUCUUAUUUGUUAAUCCUGGAAUACAAAACACAAGAACAGAGAAUGAGAUUGAAACUAUAUAUGGAGAAAAUAUAAUUAUAAUCAUUGGCAGUCAUGUACUCAUUGAUUUUAGUUACCCAAAAUAAAUGUAAUUGAACAUCACAAAAAAAGAUAGUUCAAGGACAAUGCGACUAAUAUUGUAACUUUAUAUUCAUAAAAGCUCUCUCAAAUAUGCAUUAAACAUUUGAUAAAGUGGAUGAGAAAGAAAAGAGUUUUUGGAGAACUUAACAAAUUACCAAUAUCAAUGAUAGAAUAAUGGAAUUUUUUUAUGUUGUUGAUAUGUCUCAUUGUACUACAUUUGCUAACUUUAUAUACUACAGAUAGAUAAAUAUUUAUUUUACAAGAAAAUUUAACAAGUAUAUCAUAAACUACUCAUUUAAUCAUAUCAAUUAAUAGCUAUUAUUUAUGAAGAGACAAAAUUACUUUAUCAUAGUAGUGACUAAAAUGUAGCAUAUAUAAUAUAUUUUCAAGCUUCCGAUACAUAUUCCUUGCAAAUUUAUCUUUUAGGCAUCAAGGCAUAGAACCAAAUCAACUAUCAAAUUCGGAAAACGAAACAUUUAGAAAGAAUAUUGUAUCUAGAUUUCACUUACUUGCAAACUUGAUAUAAAUUACUAAUGCCUCCACCUUAAAGCUUCGUAUGUUUGUCCUCUCCAAGUUACAUAUUCAAGAUACACCUGAGGGAAGAUCUGACAAAGAAUUUUGUGCACAAGUUGCCAAUACCAUAGCCUCCAUUGCUUCCAAAUUAAGAGUGGACCAAAAAUAACUCCGUGGCCUAAAAUCAAUCCCAAUUCAACACUAAUAAAAUUCCAAUCAAUAGUACACGCUAACCUUCCACAUUCUUGUUGUGGCAGCACCUCUUGCUCUUUAUGAUCUGGAUUUUUAGUCAAUGGAGGACCGUAUAGUCCAUCAUUGCCUUCAAAAGAAGAAGUUGGAUGUUGGACAUUUUAGUGUAAUUGAUCUUUUUAUUAUGUUAAAAUAAGAGUGCACGCUUAUUUUAAUGUAAUAACGAGAUGUUCGAUUUAGGCAAAUUUUGGAAAUUACAUGGAACUGACUUUCAAGAAAAGGCAGUUUUAAAAAAAAAAAAGAUAAAACUUCCAUCAACCGCCAAAAAUCACAUGUUCUUUGAUCAUAAAUAAUCAUUCUGGUUCAGAAAGCAUUACCGGUGACAAAACAUACAAGACCAAUACAAAACUCUUGAAUUAUAAUCUUCUGAUUUUAUCCGAUUGAACAAUUUUGGUUGAACCCCGAAAUUUGAUUCAAUCUGAAAGUGUUAUACACGACUUCAGAUUUAUCCAGUAUUAUCUCGAUUUUCAAAUUAACCAAUAAAAGAUUGAAUCAACAUUUUUUCGAGAUGACAAACGAUAGUUCGAAGAUGACAAACAAGUUUGCGAAGUUGGACAAGUUUGAAGGGCAUGAUUUCAAAAGAUGGCAGAAGAAGAUGCACUUUCUCUUGACAACAUUGAAGGUGGUGUAUGUGCUGAGUACACCAAUGUCGGUGUUUAUGGAAGACGAAACUCUGGAUCAAACAAGGAAGCGCUCGAAAUGGGAGAACGACGAUUACAUUUGUCAUGGACACAUUCUGAACGGUAUGUCUGACUCUCUCUUUGAUAUUUAUCAAAAUGUUGAGUCUACUAAGGAAUUAUGGGACUCUCUUGAAUCCAAGUAUAUGGCAGAAGAUGCCUCAAGUAACAAAUUCUUAAUUAGUAGUUUCUUUAAUUACAAAAUGAUUGAUUCGAGGCCUGUUAUGGAACAAUAUAAUGAACUGCUGCGAAUUUUGGGUCAGUUUACUCAACAUGAUUUGAAAAUGGAUGAAUCCAUUGCAGUUUCAUCUAUAAUUAAUAAACUGUCUUCUUCUUGGAAAGACUUCAAGCAUACCUUGAAACAUAAGAAGGAAGAGUUGACUCUGGUUCAACUCGGUAGUCAUUUCAUGAUUGAGGAGUCGCUGAGGGCUUAGAAAAUUGACAAAGUCAAUGAUAAAAACGUAGCAGGUUCCUCUUCCGUUAAUAUGGUAGAGGAAAGUGGAACAAUUAAGCAAAAUUACAAUGCUAAAGGUAACAAACAAAAAUUUCAAGGAAAUAAGAACAAAGGUCCAAACAAACAGACAAAAUUGUCAUGUUGGAAGUGUGGGAAACCUGGUCAUUUAAAGAGGGAUUGUCGGGUGUUCAAAGGAAAGAACAAGGCUGGUCCAAGUGGGUCUAAUGAUCCUAAAAAGCGACAAGGUCAGAUUGUAGUGAAUAAUUUUAAUUCGAAUACGAAUUCAAAUUAUGUAUCACUAAUAUCUGAUGCAUUGUAUGUGUAGGAUGAUGACGUUGCUUGGUGGUUUGAUUCGGGAGCAACAAGCCAUGUGUGCAAAGAUCGUCGUUGGUUCAAGGAAUUUAGACCAAUCGAUGAUGGCUCUAUUGUGAAGAUGGGCAAUGUUGCAACUGAACCAAUCCUAGGAUUAGGUUGUGUGAAUUUAGUUUUUACUUCCGGAAAAAGUUUGUAUUUGGAUAAUGUCUUAUUUGUACCUGGUAUUCGUAAGAACUUAUUGUCUGGUAUGGUUUUAAAUAAUUGUGGUUUCAAGCAAGUACUUGAAAGUGACAAGUACAUCUUGUCAAGACAUGGUUCGUUUGUUGGAUUUGGUUAUCGUUGUAAUGGAAUGUUUAAAUUAAACAUUGAUGUUCUUUUUGUUCAUGAAUCUGUUUGUAUGGCCUCUUGUAGUUCUAUAACUAAUAUGACAAAAUCAGAAAUUUGGCAUGCUAGAUUAGGACAUGUUCAUUACAAAAGAUUAAAAGAUAUGUCAAAAACAAGUAUGAUUCCUCCUUUUGAUAUGAACAUUGAAAAAUGCAAAACUUGCAUGUUGACCAAGAUCACUAGGAAACCUUUUAAGGAUGUUAAAAGUGAGACUAAAGUCUUAGACCUUAUUCAUAGUGAUUUGUGUGAUUCGCAUGCUACUCCAUCAUUAGGUCAUAAAAAAUAUCUUGUUACUUUUAUUGAUGAUGCAUCAAGGUAUUAUUAUGUAUAUUUAUUAAAUACAAAAGAUGAAGCUCUUGAUAAAUUUAAAAUUUAUAAGAAAGAGGUAGAACUUCGUCAAAAUGGGCUAAUCAAAACUCUUCGUACGGAUAGGGGAGGUGAGUAUUAUGAUCCGGUUUAUUUUCAAUCUACUGGAAUAAUACAUCAAACUACAGCUCCCUAUACACCACAACAAAAUGGUGUAGCCGAAAGGAAGAAUAGAACCUUGAAAGAAAUGGUGAAUUCCAUGUUAUCCUAUUCGGGUUUAAGUGAAGGAUUUUGGGGUGAGGCUAUGUUGAUAGCCUGUUACUUGUUGAACCGAAAUCCUAACAAAAGGAAUAAGGUUACCCCAUAUGAACUUUGGCACAAAAAGACACCAAAUUUGAGUUAUCUCAAAAUUUAGGGAUGUAGGGCUGUAGUCAGGCUUACAGAACCUAAAAGGAAAACCAUAGGUGAAAGAGGUAUAGAAUGCAUAUUUAUUGCUGAACAUUCUAAAGCAUAUAGAUUCUAUGUGCUAGAAUCUAAUGAUUCUGUUGUUGUGAACUCGGUUAUAGAGUCACGGGAUGCUAUCUUUGAUGAACAAAGUUUUACAUCUAUACCUAGGCCAAAGGACAUGAAUUCCAUGUCGAAAGUCUCAGUUAAUAUUGAGGAUAUACCUUCAACUAGUACUGAAACUAGAAAGAGUACGAGAGUAAGAAAGGCUAAGUCAUUUGGUGAUGACUUUCAACUCUAUUUGGUUGAAGGGUCAAGGAAUGAUAUUGAAUUUCAAUAUCAAUAUUGCCUUAAUGUUGAGGAAGACCCAAAGACUUUUAGUGAAGCAAUGGCUUCAAGGGAUGUUGUAUUCUGGAAAGAAGCAAUCCAAAGUGAGAUGGAUUCCAUCAUGCAAAAUAAUACCUAGAAAUUGGUUGACUUACCUCCUGGAUGUAAGCCAUUAGGAUGUAAGAUGAUCUUUAGGAGAAAGAUGAAAGUGGAUGGUACUGUUGACAAGUACAAAGCCAGAUUGGUUAUCCAAGGCUUUAGGCAAAAUGAGGGUAUUGAUUUUUUCGAUACAUAUGCUCCUAUUGCUAGGAUAUCCACUAUUAGACUGUUGUUGGCACUUGUUGUUAUCCACAAUCUGGUGAUUCACCAAAUGGAUGUGAAAACUGCAUUCUUAAAUGGUGAAUUGGAUGAAGGGAUAUACAUGAAACAACCUGAAGGGUUUGUUAUGCCAGGAAAUGAAAAUAAGGUGUGUAAACUGAUGAAAUCUCUUUAUGGCUUGAAACAAGCGCCUAAACAAUGGCAUCAAAAAUUUGAUGAGGUUGUGUUGUCUAGUGGUUUUGUUCUAAACCAAGCAGAUAAAUGUCUAUACAACAAGUUUGAUACUCAUGGCAGAGGAGUUAUCAUUUGUCUGUAUGUAGACGACAUGUUGAUCUUUGGUACCGACCAAGAUCAAGUUGAUGAAACUAAGGCAUUUUUGUCUUCUAAGUUUGAUAUGAAAGAUAUGGGGGAGGCGGAUGUGAUCUUAGGAAUAAAGAUCAAACGUGGAAACAAUGGCAUUUCCAUCUCUCAAUCAUUAUAUUGAGAAGAUAUUGGAGAAAUUUAAUUUUAAAGAUUGUUCUCCGGUAAGUACUCCCAUUGAUCCUAACCUGAAGCUAUUACCUAAUAAAGGUGUAGCAGUGUCUCAACUUGAAUACUCAAGGGUGAUAGGAUCACUCAUGUAUGCAAUGAUUAGUACUAGGCCUGCUAUAGCUUAUGUUGUUGCUAAACUUAGUAGGCUUACAAGUGAUCACAGUUCUCAUCAUUGGCAAGCUAUGAAUAGAGUAUUCAAGUACUUAAAGGGAACCAUUGACUAUGGUUUGACAUAUACUGGAUUUCCUUCAGUUAUUGAAGGUUACUCUGAUGCAAGUUGGAUAACCAAUAUGGAAGAUUAUUCAUCCACAAGUGGUUGAGUAUUCCUCCUUGGAGGAGGUGCUAUCUCUUGGGCAUCCAAGAAACAGACCUGCAUUACAAAUUCAACAAUGGAAUCUGAAUUUGUAGCUUUAGCAGCAGCUGGUAAAGAAGCUGAGUGGCUAAGAAAUCUUAUCUAUGAGAUUCCAUUGUGGCCCAAACCUAUACCUCCCAUGUCUAUCAGGUGCAAUAGUCAGGCUACUUUGGCUAAGGCAUGUAGUCAAGUGUAUAAUGGGAAGUCUAGACACUUGGGUGUUAGACACAACAUGGUUCAGGAGUUAAUCAUGCAUGGUGUGAUAUCAGUGGAGUUUGUGAGAACUCAGCAUAAUUUGGCCGAUCAUUUAACCGAAGGGUUAAGUAGAGAUCUCGUGAAAAGGUCGGCUGUGGGAUUAGGAUUAAAGUCCAUCUGAAAUCUCUUAUGUUAAGAUACCCAAUUCCCAUCUAAUAUGACAUUUGGUGCUGAAUUCAAUGUGGAAAGCUUAACAUGUAGAGAUUGGAACACAUAAUCAAAAGUAUCCCAAAAGGUAUGUGUUCAGUUCUGUAAGUUAGGGAGGUUGAAGUAUAACUCCUCAAUGGUUCUUUUGAAAAAUUGCAUUUGCAGGUGCAAGAAAGAAAAUGACUACCUAUAUAAGCAUGAAGUUUAGCCGCUUCAAGAAGCUGGGACUUGGCUUUGAUAUGCUUAUGAAGGAUAGGGACACAGGCUAGUAAACUAGUGUCGAGCAAGAGUAAUGUUAUAAACUAUUGUGCAGAUUAUCUUCAUGUAUUCAUUAUGAAUAGAAAGGGUUCAAUCCUUAGUGACACCCUGAUAUUCGAAUAUUUGAAACGUGUAAUUUGCUAAGAUGAAAUUCAAUCGUCACGAUAUUUCAUCUAUGCAGUAGUUUGUGGUAUGUUAUGACUUUGGUGAUUUGAUCGGUAAUUACACUAAAAUGGGGGAGGUUUGUUGGAUAUUUUAGUGUAAUUGAUCUCUUUAUUAUGUUAAAAUAAGAGUGCACACUUGUUUUAAUGUAAUAACGAGAUGUUCGGUUUAGGCAAAUUUUGGAAAUUACAUGGAAGUGACUUUCAGGAAAAGGCAGUUUAAAAAAAAAAGAUAAAACUUCCAUCAACCGUCAAAAACCACCUAUUCAUCAACCGCCAAAAACCACCUAUUCUUUGAUCAUAAAUAAUCAUUCUGGUUCAGAAAGCAUUACGGGUGACAAAACAUACAAGACCAAUACAAAACUCUUGAAUUAUAAUCUUCUGAUUUUAUCCGAUUGAACAAUUUUGGUUGAACCCCGAAAUUUGAUUCAAUCUGAAAGUGUUAUACACGACUUCAGAUUUAUCCAGUAUUAUCUCGAUUUUCAAAUUAACCAACACUCGAAAUGAUUGAAGUUGGGUACUUGUUGGGAUCUUCCCCAUCAAAUGGUUGAAGGAGAGAUUUAAAUAUGAAAGGAAUGACAAACUUGCAAGCUGAACUGGAAUUUCUCCACCAAGAGAGUUUUGUGAAAGGUCCAAGGACUCUAGUUGUCUCAUGUUACCUAUGGAUGAUGGGAUUUUACCAGACAAAGCAUUGUUUGACAAAUUAAGGACAUGGAGUUCUUUCCAAUCCAUUAACUCCUAUGGUAUAGGUCCAUCAAAAUGGUUAGACGAGAAAUCACUGGAUGUGAAAAUUGGCAAAAUUUUAACCAACUCCAUUUUUUUACCUUUACUGAUAACUGUGAUGUUAUCUGCAUAAUAUAAAUCACCACCAAAGGAUAUAAUUUGUUUCUUUAUGAACUUUAACCCAGCUUCCUCUUUGUUACCCUUUAUAUUUCUUUUCCAGGUUGUAAAAUAUUCUCUUGGCAGUUCGCCACUAAAAUUGUUAAAAGCAAUGUCUACAAUUUGAAGCAUCUCCCAAGUCAUAUUGACUUUCAAACAUUUUGGGGAACCUUGAAAUUUGUUGUUCCUCAAAACCAAGACACGAAGCGUGGGUAUUUCUUUUAAGAAGCAUGGAAAGCCACCUGUGAUUUAAUUUGAUCCAAGGUCCAAUACCUCUAACUUUGAGCAAUAAGCAAGACACUUUGGAAUUGGCCCAUCUAAUUGAUUUCCACGAAGAUUUAAAGUCCACAGACCACAAGAAACUUUGACUGUAUUAGGAAUAGGGCUUGAGAUAUUGUUGUUCUUCAGAUUUAACACCCCAAGGUUCUCACUCACUGUCAUUAAACAUGAGGGAAUUGUUCCAGAAAUGUUAUUAUUGGAAAGAUCCAGCACUUCAAGAUAUAAAGCAUUGCAGAGGGAGUCAGGGAUGCUGCCACUCAAAGUAUUGUUUGAGAGAGAGAGAAAAAAUGGGAAAGACAUGUAAUUACCAAUGUCUCGUGGGAUAAUAGAGCUAAAAUUGUUGCUUGAAAAAUCCAAAUACAACGUAUUUCCAGAAAAAGUAGGUAUUGGCCCCUGAAGUUUAUUCUGAUGAAGGUCAAGGUAAAUCAAAUGGGAAGAAAGAUUCUGCAAAGGUCCUUCCAAAUGAGUCAACAAAUUAUGAGAAAUAUCAAGGCUUGUUAAAUCCAGAUGGGAUGACAGAAUUAAAAUUAUUAGAAGCCAAAUUCAAUUCCUGGAGAUGUUGAAGACUGAAAAUAACACUUGAAUCAUCAAAUCCACCACUGAUGAAUUCUCCACCCAGGUCAAGGCCAAUGACACGUCCCUCAUCAUCACAGCUUACACCGCUCCAAUCACAGCACUCAACGCUUUGAUUCCACAACCUGAGUUUGUUGGAAUUUUCAGGGUUGAAUGUGAGGUUGCUCUUCAGUUGAAACAGCAAUAAUUGUUGAUCCUCGAGACAUUUCCCAGCAGUGACAGAAAUGUAGAUACUAAGAUAUAUCAAGUGACAGAGAAAGAAGGAAAGCACUGAAACUAAUGUAAUUCUCAUUGGUGUCUACUCGUAGUGACAACCACACAACACAACACUAAAAUAGCCAAGGAACAAAUGGUGGCCAAAAAGACUCAUGAACAAGACCCUUAUGGCCCGUGUUCUUCACUCUUUAUCUUCUUAAACUCUCCUAAAUUUUGCAAGGGAUGGUGGUCAAAAGUGUAGAAGUUGUGUUGAAGAAGUGUAGAGUACAGAAGAAGGUUAAGAGAAUUAGCUUAGAAUGGGAUAUUUUGAAAAUAGAAUGCAGACAAUAGAUUGGUCAGAGACACAACCAACUCAGAGUUACUACACCGUUCAGAGUAAACUGUGACACCCUCUACCCCUCACAUAUAUACUAAUAAGGAAAAAAAAUUCAAAUAUUAAUUAAAAGUAUUUUUAAAACAUUUUUUUUACAAGUCUUUCAAAGGGGAAAAAGGCUCACAUUCAUUUUCUUCUACAUCAUAUUCAAACUUGUCCAAAUAAAUAAUAAAGUAUUCUCGACUCAAACAAGUUUGUCUAAGCUUCAUACAAUUAAUAUAGAACCUAUAUCCUAAUGUCACAUCCUAUCAGAGCGUUGUGUUCCCGUGUCCUCUAGCAUGAGGUUCUUCAUAGUCAUCCACCUAUUCAUCUGCUCCCCCGAACACAAGUUCAAGAUCAUCACAGGAUCCAAACACAACAACACACAGGGAGUGAGUUAUCACAUUCCUAGCUAAUAGAGAAACAAGACAAUUAAAUAUACAUAUUAUAUAAAUGAGAUACCACUUGCUUAAACAUAGUUCACGUAACUUCACCACUUCGUCAUUCAAAAUUCACUUUUUAAUCAUCAAUCACAUUACACAAGAAUCCCACACUUCGAUCAAGAUAUAAUAACACAUCAAUUAGCAAGCAUAUGCAACAGUUAUGCUAAGACUCAAUCCUAUAUGCAAUGUGGUACCAUGUCAGUGAAAAAUCACCCUGGGGCGCUUAGGAGUACAUAACAAGACACACCACACCAUGGGUUUGUCAGGUCACUCCCACUAAGUAAGAUCAUAGGGAGACCAGUCAGGGUCACGAUGCUUUGCAAGAAUACUCCAACCAUAUGGGAUCAACAUAGGCUUAAAGGAGUACUCAAACCCGGUGACCCCCAAGGCCUACACUCCGAAGAGUCCGUCAGGGCCUCUCCCUCUUGAUUCAGGUCCAACCCCUAAAACAAUUUUGCAUGCAGACACUGCUCAUGAAUUAUACAAUACCCACGACCUCACGCUCGUGUUUUAAACACGUUCAACACAAUUGUACUACGAUUUAACACUGGUUCCUAAAUAGGAAACCUACACUUUCUCUUUAACACUGGUUCCUAAUUAGGAACCUACACUUUCUCUUUAACACUGCGCAUCAACGCUUUUCUCAAGAUAACACUGGUCGGGUUAUUGUACAAUUCAUAGCUUACAACACAAGUAAUGUCACAUCAAGUGUUAACUACACACUUAUCCACAACCAAAACUCAUUCACAAUUUCACAUCUCAUAAUGUCACAAUCCACCAUCACAUGUUUACACGUAUCUCACAAAUUAACACAUGUUCAACUUUACACUUAUACUCAAUCUCAAUAACAAUAUUAUAAUCUCAAAGCAACAUGUUAUUUCACAAUUUAUCACAUAUUCCAUUUAUAAACACUGCUAGUGAAUUACACAAUACCAUGACCUUACACUCAUGUUUCAACACAUUUAACACAUUACGCUACAAUUUAACACUGGUUCCUAAAUAGGAGACCUACACAUUCUCUUUAACAUUGUGCAUAAACAAUUUUCUCAAUAUCAACAUUGGUCGGGUUAUUGUAUAAUUCACAGCUCAUAACUCAAUACACACAUCUCAAUACACAUGUAUCUCAAAUCUAAACAUAGUAUUCUCGAACUCCAACAUUUGAAUAAUUUUUGGAAUCACACAAUAACAACACUACAAUAUUAUUUACAUAAACUAUUAAUAUAAAUAAAUAUAUAACUAUAUAUAUAUAUAUAUAUAUAUAUAUAUAAAUCCAACAACGUAUAUCAUAUUUGAUCAUGAAUUUAAAGAAAGUUUUCAAUGUACCAAUUUUAAAUAAUUAUAUAAACAUUUUCUCAUAUAUAUAAGUAUACAUGAAUUCAUAUAUAUAUUAUCUAAGAAUACAACACAUAGUCUAUUAGAAUUCUUUUCUCAAUUUCAAAUAUAAUAUCAAUUUUAAACUAUAAAAAAAACUAAACAGCAUGAAAAGGAGAAAAUACAAACUCAAUAUCUCCUUACUUAAUUUCAUCAAUUCAUACUACGGUUCACACUCAAUACAAGAGCACAUUAAUUUCACAAAAAUUUCUCAUUGGGACAUCAAAUGAUUCAUCAAACAUAUAUAAUUUAUAUAUAACUCAUAGUUAUAAUUAUAAGGAUAAAGUAAAAAUUGUAGAAACACCUUAAAACUCAUCCCAAUUGAUACUCUAAGGAUCCCUACACAUGUUCUCACUAAUCCCCAAUCGUGAAUAACUCAUCCCUUACCUCUGAGCGGACUCACGUGUCUUCAGCCAAAUAGCAACAUCUCUAGUGGUUCCCGGAAAUUCUUUCAUUAUUCCUUCGACUGUUCCGAUAGAAUUCUCAAACGUCAGAGACGGAGAAGAGAUUGAAACCUCCAUUUGUACUGUCUUCAUGCGAUUCCUUUUUCUCCCUCCACGAAUAUUAUCUCGAAAAUCCCAACGGUGAAAGCGUGUGGAAUUGAAUUUCGAACAACAUAUCCAAAUUUCAUGAAAAUCCAACGGCUAACGAAACCGGGAUUGUAGUUUUACCGAGACAGUUUUGGGUUUCUGCGGGAAAUUAAAAUUCUACAAUGCGAAGGGUUUUCCUCUAAGCUCACAUAUGAUUUUGAAAUUCCCAACGGUGAGAAUGUUCGGAAUUGGGUUGCGAACAUAAUACUCAAAUUUCACGACGAUCCAACGGUGAACGGGUUCGAGAUCGUCUUUUUUCUGAGACUGGUUUGAUGGACUGCGGGAAAAAGAAAGAGUUUUGAGGAGAGAAGGGGAAAAACGAAAAUGAGGCAAAAAGGAGGCAGCUGACUUAACAUAACUAUUUAUACCUAGAGUACUCAGCCUAUUAUUUUCUCUAUAUUUAUUUAUUUAUACUAAAAAGCUUUUUAAAUUUAUUGACGAAAAAAUUGGAAUGUUACAUAAACCAUGGAAUAAACCAUGGAAUAAGUCAACUGGAUUUUGUGAAAUGGUGGUGGUUUACCAGAAAGGACGAAAAAUUAGGCUACCUUAGUUUGAAGAACAAGAAUUUUUUUAUUGCAUUCUACGCGUUUGGAUGCUGACCCGUCUAAUUAUUUAUUCACUUUUUUGGUAGCUUCCCAUAUGGGACUCUUAGCAAUUUUGGAUUAUUCAAAACAAUGGACCCAACCUUACAUAGAAUACUAGUAUAAUUUUUAUUUUUAUAACUAGUUGGUAUUUGAUGUUUUCACUUAGCACCUAACUAAUCUCUCUUUUACAAGGUUGGGCCAUUAUAGAAGUAAAGUAGUCUUUUUAGUCGCAAAUUUAUUUCCGAAGGAUAUCAAAUUUUAAUGUUUGAUUACGAGAUAUAAUUCUCGAAUCACUUGUCUCAAUGACUUUUUGGCACAGAAUAUUGUUAUGAAUGAUUAUACUUUUGUCAGCAGCAUGAUAACGAAGAUUUUCAUUUCAGUGGAUCGACCUAAACGGUAGGUAUCAUUCAAUUAUGCAUAAUCUUACCGUUGAGUGUCAUAAAAAUAAAAUAAAAAGAAAAAACUUAAAGUUGAGGUUGCUUUUCAUUUAUAAUUAUUCUUUUUCGAGAAUGACAUUUUGAUUUAUAAAAUGUAUUUUUUUCUUUUAAAAGUAAUAUAUUUCCCAUCAAUUAUUAUGAAAAGCUUGGAAUGAUACAUACAGUCAUUUAGUCGUUUAUCACGAGAAAUUCUAUUUCUACUUUUGAAGAUAAGAAAAUUUUAUUUUUAUUUAGAUUAAAUUACUCAUGUAGUUCUUAUAAUUUCACGAUUCUUAUUUUUUUGUCCCUAUAGUUUGAAAGUAGUUUUUUUAGUUUCUAUAGUUUAUAUUUUAAUUCUCUUUUAAUUCUCAUAGUUUUGAAAUUUAGUCAUUAUAGUUUUGAAAGUGAUUUUUUUAGUUCUUAUAAUUUGUAUUUUAAUUUUUUUUAGUCUCUAUAGUUUGAAAAUGAUAUUUUUAGUCCCUAUACUUUAUACUUUAAUUUCAUUUUAGUCCUUACCAUCAAAAUAUGAGUAAUAUUAUCAAUUACAAUUAAAUAAAAAAUAUUAACAAGUAAUUCAUAAAUAAUUUAUUGUAAGAUAAUUUGUAAUAAAAAAUAAUUAAUAAUUUAUAACUAAUUUGUAGCUAAUUAUUUUUAUAUUUUUUGUAACAAGGACUAAAAGAUAAUUAAAAUAUAAAUUUUAAGGACUAAAAAUAUCACUUUCAAAUGGACUAAAAGAGAAUUAAAAUAUAAACUAAUAAGUAUACUCUUAAAUUAAAGGACUAAAAGAGAAUUAAAAUAUAAACUAUAGAGAUUAAAACUACCACAUUCGGACUAAAAAGGUAAGAAUGUGAAACUAUAGAAAAGUAACUUUACCUUCUAUUUAUUUGUCUAUUAAUAUUAUUGAGAAUAAUUUAUGAGUAAAUGACUCCUUUAGUCACCGAAGGGUAAAGCAGUAACAGUUUAAUUGUUAAAAGAAUAAAUUUUUUUAUUUCGUCCAGAUUGCAUAAAAAAUGCAACAAUUAUAUUAUGUUCUUUCUUGAGAUUAGUUUACCUGAAAUUUUUAAGGAUUAAUUUAAUUUUAAAUUAUAAAGUUGGAAAGAAAUUUGUCCUUAAAUUAUACAACAAAAUAUAAUUGUUUUACUCUUUACGCAUUCAAUUACCAAAUAAAAAAAUUUGUUUUCUUUUGAGAAACUAAAUUGUUACUGAUUUUCACAUCCAUAAACCAAAAUGGUAAUUACCCAAUCUUUUAUUCUUAAAAAUAUUAUUAUUCUCUUUUAUCAAACAUAGAUGCUUUAUUUCCAAUUCAUUUUUACAAAAAUAUUUAAACAUUUCUUAUACCAAACCUUACCUAAAAGAUGACAAAAUAUAUGGAAAGACAAAUAUUUCCUUGCUUUAUUCUAUGUUUGCUUUGUCUUUUAUUGUUCAACUAACAACGAUGUUUGUAAUGCUAUACUUGCUAACCCAAAUUGUCGUUGGAACUUGGAUUAUAAGAUAAAUAGUGUGUUUGUCUUACCAUAAACGGACGUUAAAAAAAUGUUGCUUCUCAUGAAAUGAUACUUUAGAACGAUGUUAGCUUUUUUAUUUUAGAGGGAAUUGAACGAUGUUAGCUAACGAGUAAAACAUGUAUACAAACAUGCUUUAAGCGAAUAUUUGGAUUUAUAUAUGUUGGGUAAUCUAAAAUUUUGUCGAAAUAACAGCUAAUAUAAUUUUAAGUAAAUAUUUCUAUAUUUGGAUUUACUUUCGAUAAUUUUAUAUUCGAUAAAGAAUUUCAUAUAGAGAUUAAGAGAUUUAUCACUGACUUGAUUUACUUUUAAAAUAAAACAUUUAAAUAUAAAUUAUUUUAUUUUAAAAUCAAUUAUUCAUAAUCAGUUUUAUUUAAAAAUGUUCUCUCGUUCAAACACACACAAUUGCACAUAUAUGGAUGAAGGGAUAGAUUGAGAUUUAUCACUGACUUGAUUUACUUUUAAAAUAAAACAUUUAAAUAUAAAUUAUUUUAUUUCAAAAUCAAUUAUUCAUAAUCAGUUUUAUUUAAAAAUGUUCUCUCGUCCAAACACACACAAUUGCACAUAUAUGGAUGAAGAGAUAGAUUGAUCUCUAUCGGUUUUCUUUUUUAUGAAUGCAUGUAAGCCAAAGUCAAAAUACCUUAUUUACUGGAGUCGAACUCAACACAUGAUGCAUGGGAGUCAUGUGAAUUUAUUUAUUGUAAAAUUAGUACUACACCUAGGAGUGGAAAUGAGCCGAGCAGCUUAUCGAGGGCCUUUGGCUCAGCCUAUGUAAGGCUCGGCUCGGCUUGUUUACUAUAAAAGUCAAGCUCAAGCUUUUUAAAAAACCUUUUUAGAUAAAAAGGUCAAGCUCAAACUAUAAAAAAAAAGCUUAUUAAGUUUGAUAAGCUGGCUUGUUUAACUAAUAAUAAUAAUAAUAAUAAUAAUAAUAGCUUUAUUUUAUCAAAUCUUAUCUUAUCCAAAUUUUAUUCUAUCUAGAUUUUAUUCCAUCUAGAUUUUAUUUCGUUCAGAUUUUAUUUCAUCCAAUCUCAUUUUAUCUUGUCCAAAUUUUAUUUUAUUUCAUUUAUGGGCUUGGACUUAAAAUAAAUUUAUGAGCUUUGGGGCUGAGAACCUAUAUAACAGCACCAAGGUUUUAGUUUAGGGAGUUUUUUUUCGAAGAGGAGAAUAAUUCUAAGAUUUUAGAAUUCCAGUUUUUAUUAUUGUUCAUCCACACUAUUCACGUAGAUUAAAAUUCGUUUUCUACAAUAUUGUUUCGGCUUCAAUCUACAGUUUCGUUUCGACUUCAAUCUACAGUUUCGUUUCUACUGAUUAAUGGAAGGCUAAGUCUCCAGCAUUGUUUUCUCUUGAGGAUCAAACACAACUCUCUUUGAGAUUUUGUUAUUACUAUACUGAUCAGUUUUUCCUCUUCACCAAUUACUUUGUAUUUGUUGCUAUUAAUCCAUGCAUGCUUAGUGCUUGAUUAAUUGUCUCUGUGCUUAAUUUGCGUUCAUGCUUAAUGAUUAGUUUCGUUCAUGAUUAAUUAGUGUAUGUGUUGAUUAAUCACAUAACGGCAGUCUUAUGUUAAUUUUCGCUUAGUAAUUUAAUUUAGGGUUAGAUUAAGUGGUUGAACUGAUUAAGGAUAAAUUCUCGUAACCUAGGAUACGAGACUUGCUUGUGAAUCAAGGGGAAAUAUGUUUUAAUUUUGUUAUUUUCUAAUUCAAAUUUGCUUGCUGUUUAAUUUACAAAAAUAAACAACCCCUCAAUUCGUUACUGUUCUAUUACUAUUUGUUAUGAACGUUUGGUUGAUCAUUGCUCGUUGGGAGACGAUCUAGGAUCAUUUCCUAGAUAUUGCAUUUUUAAUAUUUAUUUGAUUCGGGUACGACCUCGAUCAAUAGUAUAUAAGAUAUGGCUUGAGUAGACUAAGAUGAAAUUAUUGUAGAUAUCUUUUUUUAAAAAAUAUUUCAUAUAAUUAUAUAUUCAAAAAAUUGUAUUAAAAAUUGUUAAUUUAACUAAUAAUAGUUUUUGUUUGGCUAUCUAUAUUAGUGUAAAUCAUCUCUAAUCCAUACAUUUUUUAAUAUUAUGUUUUUUUUAUUUUCUUUUGAUAUACUUUGUGCUUUAACGACUUGAAUUCAAUAUGAUUUUGUUUAUCAAUUAUUUUUGGAUUUGUACAUUACUUAUACGAAAUUUUAUAAGUUUCUUUUUUUAGUUAGUAUUUCACUAGGUUUUAAAAUAAUUAAUUAAUCAAAGACGUCUUUAAGCAAGCUUUUAAAUAGGUUCGUGGGCCAAGUCAGACUUUUAUGUAAGCCGAGCCGAGCCUUAAAAAAAAGCUUAUGACAAGCAAUGAGCCAAGCUCAAGCCUUACGUAUUCAACUCAAGCCGAGCUCAAGUCUAGUAAAGCUUAGCUUGACUUGACUCAUUUUCACCUCUAACUACACCUACGCAAUAGGCCCACAAGGAGGGACCGAUUCAGAAGUCUAUUUAAGGAGUUGAAUUUUUUUUUGUCAUUUUAUAAUUAUUUAAAUAUUGUUCAUUAAAGAUUCUACUCAUUUUCUUGUUUCAAACUUUGGAAGACUAUGAUUUUAUGAACAUAAUAACAAUCAAUUUUUUUAUUCUUGAAAAUGAAACUGAAGUAUUAUUAAAUUUAUGAUUUAGGUAUAUUAUUUAACUAAUUGAAUUAGUCUCUCUUAUACAUAAUAACAAUAAAUAAGACUCACAUUAAUAUGAUCUCACAAUCUAAAAAAAGAAUAAAGUUAUUUUAUAUAUUAAUAAUUGAAAGUCAUCAAAUCUUAUCAUAAUGAUAGAUAAUAAUAAUAUGAUAUCUAUAUAAAAUAUAUUUAUUUAUAUAUAUAGGAAAUAUAACUUAUGUUCACCAUGACAAAAAUGAAAAAGUUUUAGCUUGCAAGCUAAAUUUUAGGAUAUUAAUUUUCUUUGCAAGCUAAAUUUUAGGAUAUUAAUUUUCUUUGCAAGCUCAAUUGAGAGUUUUAAAUCCUAAACAUUUCCAUGUAAGAAAAAAAAUACAUUAGGAUAUUAAUUUCUGUUCUAAAUUUUAUGGCUGCUAUAUUGUUUCAUGGUUAAUAUUCUUUGUAAUAAUUUCUAAGUUAUUGUAGGCAAUUGAUCGAGAUCCAAAAUUUCUAGGAAUGUCGCAAGACAAUAUGUAAUUGUUAGAACUAUUGUGUAAGACUAUAUCAAGUUACACAAUUAUAUUUCAUACUUAACAACUAAAUGAACCAUCUUUUGGGGGGUUGAGGCCCUGCUUUUCAUAUUUGAACAUUAGCCUGAAAUAUAUAAUAGUGAACACCCCUCCACCUCUUAGAUUUUUCAUAUAUUUAAUUGAAUGUUCAACAGUGUAUAUCGUUCGAUCUAGUUGGCAUAUGAAAAAAAAUGCCCAUAUGAGCAUGCCUUGGAAGAAAGAAAUUGUCUUGCGAACACAUUUGUUUGUUUUUUUAUUUAUUCCUAUUGUUUAAGUUUCUUCCCUUAUUUUAUUGAUUUAUUUAAGUCAGACGAUUGUUAGUAUUCGUACGAUGAAGAAUGACUAGAAUACAAUGUAUUUAAACACUAUUGUUGAUUAUUUUUAAGAAUUUAAUUUCAUAAAAUAUUUAGAAACUACUUUUGAAUAAUCAUUUUAAAAAAAGUUUCAAGAAAAUGACAAAAAAAUAAUUAUUUUUUCAAAAUAACUUGAACAAAAUUUUGUUUGGAUGAUGUAUGAUUUUAGUUUUCUAAUUUUUUUACGAGUCAAUUAAAAUUCUUUACUUUCAAAAUUAAGCAAAUUUGAUUUGUCUGUUAAUUUUGUUCCUCUUAAAACUUUCAAAUUCUAUUUUUUACUUAAAAUAUUUACAAAUUGAAUCCAUUAAACUUUUUUAAACAUUUUUUUUUAAUUAGAUCUCAUCAAUUAACACUAUAAGAAAAUUGUGAUUUAGUGUCGACCAUAUUAGCCAACAGGAAAUUGCGAAAGCCGAUGCUAAAUUAACGUUGACUUUGCAUCAGUUUUUCAAUAGAAUCAAUGAAGCUCAAAGCAAAAUAUUUGUGUUUGCAUUGGGGCCAACAAUAGCUUUGAAACUCAAUUAAAAAAAUGCAGUCAACGCUACAUGGCAAAAUCUAAAUCAACGCAGCCAACAUCGACUUAUAUGCUAACGUUAGUUGCAUCUGCCUGUUGGUCGACACUAUCUAGCUACAUUGGUAUUUAUCGUCGACACAAAUAACGUUGGUCAUGGUCGACGCUAAAUAAUGGAAACCACUAAAACCACCCACCAAACUCAAAUCUUCAUCCCAGCUUGAUUCUCCACCCUCAUUGACCAUUCUUGAAUAGCCUUUAUUGGAAUUCAAAGUUGUUCAGAUAAACGACAUAUUCCUGGUUGCCGAAAAAAAGAGAUGAAAAUAAUCGACCUCUUGAAUUUUGAAGUUAAGAUAAUACACACAGACAUGCAAAUUUUGUUUCUGAUCAUAACUUGUUAAAUCAUUCAAUUGUUCUUAAAGUAUAAGAGGAUAUAUCAUAUGCAUAUUAAGAGUGCGUUUAAAUUUUGAAGAUCAAAUAUAUACAUUUGAAAUUGAUUUUUGCCUUUUUGUUAUAACUUGUUUAACCAUUUAAUUAACCAUAUAAAAAAACAUGAGAGGAUAUAUCUGAUGCAUAUUAGGGGAUAACUUUAUGAAAUGAGAGUAUUUAAAAGAAGGUGAAUGUAAGGAAGCAGGGAAGAAACCAGGAAAUUUUAUUACGGUGAAAAUUUAACACAUGAAUUAUGAUUUAUAAUUAAAAUUAUUUUUUAUUAAAUUAAUUUAUCUAUCAAGUAAAAGUAUUGCAAAACCUUACAUAUAAAUGAGAAAAUCUAUUUGAAAGCAAUUAAUAUAAUUGAAAUUGUGUUACACAGUUAAAAUAUUUAAUGUAGUUUUUUUAGAAUAAAAGCUUCUAAUGUAUAAUUACUAAAAUUAUAUAAAAAAUGAAAUAAUUAGUGUUGUUAUAAUUAAUAUUAAAAAAAUAAUCACUGUGCUCGAGUAAUUGAUUCGGUUUAAUGUCAGCGCUAGUUGAUAGUAUAGUAGCAUCCAAAACCAGGGUGGAAUUUGUAAUGAAUUCCUAUUCCUAUUAUUGUACCUUUGAAACGCAAGAAAAUCGAGUUUCUAUCGUUCAAUGAUAAUAAUAUCAAUAUGCAAAAUAUCGUUAAGACUCUAUCUAAUGAAAAUAAAUUGCCAGUUCGAAAACCAUUUGAAGUUUUGCUAUCGUUCAAAGCCUCUUUCUUUCUGUCUUCCAUUUUUAACUCUAAAAAACAUUACCUCUGAAAAUGCAUGGAAUCAUAUAUGGUUCUAUGGCUUUCUUCCUCCUUACUACUUUUUACUUGUUUCUAUUGGCAUUAGCUCCACAAUUUUAUCCUUCAUUUCCCACGGUUUAUCUAAUAUGUGCAGGUUGAGGAGCGAUUAGUGUCAGUGGAUGAAUUGCUAGAUGCUAAUGAGGGCACGGGAACAAAUGUGGUUGCAUCACCGGUUGACAGUAUUACUUAUCUUGACAAGAGGUAGGUUGUAGUAAUUGCUAAUGAUAAUUUACAUUUUCUACAUUAACAAAUAUGUUGACUGAGAGCAAAGCAAGACUAAUUAAUAAUUUAGAUGCGGUAAUUGUGUACCUUGAAAGUGUACAAAAGUAUGCUCUUCAUCAUUGUAGGAAAUGGAAUUUGGUUUGGAGGGAAAGGAAUAAGGUUGCUCCAUUAGAGCUUGAUGAAGUAGAAACAUUUUUGGGCUUUCCAAGGAACCACAUGUAAAAAUAUACAUAUACUGAUCUAAACAUGCAAAUCAAUUAAAAUGACAUAUUUAGAUCAAACAGCGGAAAUUAAAAAUAUUACUUGCGUACCUCCAGCCAUUGCAAAUUGAAUGGGAAGCGGCGCACACACGAACCUGAAAGAUAGUUUUGUUCUUCCAGACCCUUACUCACUCUGAAUAGAUGGUGUAUUUUUUCUGAAUAGAGAAGUGGGUUUGGUGAUACAAAACUGAGAGCACCCCAUCCUAUUUAUAGAGUCUGUCCAUCACAGAGCUCUCAACUUGUUAUCAGAACGUGAGAUAGGAAGUUAUUAGUACGUGAGAUAAAUGAUGGGUACGUGAUUUGUUACUGAAGGUGGUUGCAAAUAUAUUUGCAAAGAUAUGGGUUGAAUGUGGAUGAAAAAUGGACCAGAUUCAGAAAUAACUAAAUUUUCCAAAAUAAUAAAAUGUAGAAAGAACGUGCAACGUGAACGUAACGUGCACUUCCAACAUUCUCCCACUUGGUCCAUUUAACCCAACAUCAACCAUAACAAGAAACAUAAUAUAUGAGUCAUGGCGAUAUGUCCUCUGAUGAUGAGUAGUAUCUUCCAUGUACCACAAUAUAUAAAGUCUCUCAACACUAGCUCUCAACUUAAUGAAUAAACCAUAUUUUAUUCUAUAUCUAAACCGAAUGAUUUUUCUCGAAAUAAAUAAAUAUGUGCACAAAACCAUAUGAGAAAAUAUCUAACUGAAUAAGAGUUUCAUUGAAAAUAACAAAUGUACGUACAAUGAAAUUACAUCAUGGAACCAAGUCUCAUUCGUACUACAUCAUCCUUAAAAUUCUUUGGUGGCAUGCCUUUAGUUAAAGGAUCAACAAUCAUUAACUCAGUGUUGACGUGUUCAAUGACCACUUUCUUUUCUUCAACUCGUUCUCUUAUGGCUAAGUACUUAAUGUCGAUGUGCUUACUUCGACUUCCACUUUUGUUAUUUUUAGCCAUAAACACCGCAGCAAAGUUGUCACAAUACAACUUUAAUGGCCUAGAAAUAGAGUCCACAACUCUAAGGCCAGAUAUGAAACUCUUCAACCAUACACCAUGCGAGGUAGCCUCAAAACAAGAAACGAACUCAGCCUCCAUAGUGGAAGUAGCAGUCAAGGUUUGUUUGGCACUUCUCCAAGAUACAGCUCCACUGGCUAACAUAAAAAUAUAACCAGAUGUUGAUCUUCGUGAAUCAACGCAACCAGCAAAGUCUGAGUCGGAGUAGCCAAUCACUUCCAGACAAUCAGUUUGUUUGUACAUGAGCAUGUAAUCUUUUGUUCCUUGAAAAUAUCUCAUCACUUUCUUUGCAGCUUUCCAGUGGUCAAUGCCUGGAUUACUUUGAUAUCUUCCCAAGACUCCAACAGCGAAUGCAAUAUCAGGUCUAGUGCAAACCUGAGCAUACAUAAGGCUUCCAACUGCUAAAGCAUAUGGAAUAUUUUUCAUGUGUUCCCGCUCAAAAUCAUUUUUGGGGCAUUGACUCAAAGCAAGUUUGUCACCCUUCACAAUGAGAGCUACACUUGGUGAACAAUCUUUCAUAUUAAAUCUCUCUAAAACUUUGUUGAUAUAGGUUUCUUGAGACAAGCCUAAAAUGCCUCGAGAUCUUUCUCUAUGGAUCUUUAUGCCUACGACAUAAGAUGCCUCUCCCAUAUCCUUCAUAUCAAAGUUCUUUGAGAGAAAUUGCUUCACCUCAUAUAGCAUACCCUUAUCAUUAGUCGCAAGCAGAAUAUCAUCUACGUAUAAUACAAGGAAACAAAUCUUACUCCCACUGACCUUCUGGUAUAUACAGUGAUCCAUGACAUUCUCUUCAAAGCUAAAUGAAGAAAUGACCUCAUGAAAUUUUAAAUACCAUUGGCGGGAGGCUUGUUUCAAUCCAUAGAUGGACUUAUUAAGCUUGCAGACUAAGUGCUCACCAACACUAGAUAAGAAUCCCUCAGGUUGUUUCAUGUAAACCUCUUCUUCUAGAUCACCAUUCAGGAAUGUCGUUUUCACAUCCAUUUGAUGCAACUCAAGAUCAAAAUGAGCUACUAAUGCCAAAAUUACUCGAAGAGAGUCUUUCUUAGAUACAGGGGAAAAGGUCUCUCUGUAAUCGACUCCUUCUCUUUGAGUGAAUCCUUUAGCAACAAGUCUUGCCUUUUGUCUCUCAAUGUUGCCUUCUGAGUCUUUCUUUGUUUUGAAGACCCAUCUACAUCCGAUGGCUUUUACACCAACAGGCAACUCAACGAGAUCCCAAACUUGGUUAGAUGCCAUAGAAUCCAUCUUAUCUCUCAUAGCAUUAUACCACAAAUUUGAUUCCUUAGAACUCAUGGCUUGUGAAAACGUUUCAGGAUCAUUUUCGGCUCCAAUGUUGUAGUCUGAUUCUUGUAGGUACACUACAUAAUCACUAGGAAUUGCUGUCUUUUUUACUCUAGUAGAUCUUCUUAAUGUUGUUUGGUCAUCUUGCUGAGGAACUUGUUCAACUGGUUCUUCACCAGUUUGUUCAAUAUCAUCAUGUUGUUCCUCACAAACAACUUGAUCUACAUGAUCACUUUCAACAGCUUGUGGAACUUCAAUCACUAGUUGUCCAACACCCAUUUUAACUUGAGGGUGGGAAUGACUACCAACCUAUUACUUGUCCUAGAAGGUUCAGCUUCAUAGUGAUCCCUUUCAGAAGAAAUGUUCUGAAAUUGAUCACUCCCACUGAUCAAGUCAUUUUCAAGAAACUUUGCAUUCCUUGAUUCCACAAUCCUAGUGUUGUGGGAUGGACAAUAGAACCUAUACCCUUUAGACCUUUCAGCAUAUCCAAUGAAAUACCCAGUAAUAGUCUUAGGGUCUAGUUUCUUCUCUUGUGGAUUAUAAAUUCUUACUUCAGACGGGCAUCCCCAAACGCGUAUAUGUCGCAAACUUGGUUUCCAACCCUUGAAUAACUCAAAAGUUGUCUUUGAGACAACCUUGGUUGGAACUCGGUUUAAUAAAUUCUUACUUCAGACGGGCAUCCACAAAAAUUGAGGAAGCUUUACAUUACUCCUUAUGCUUCUCACCAUGUCUAAUAAGGUUCGAUUUCUUCGUUCUGCCACACCAUUCUGAUCCGGAGAACCAGGCAUAGUGUAUUCGGCAACAAUCCCAUGUUCUUGAAGAAAUUUCGCAAAUGAACCUGGUGCUUGUCCAUCCUCUGUGUAUCUACCAUAGUACUCCCCACCUCUAUCUGAUCUCACGAUCUUAAUUUGUUUUCCACAUUGUUUCUCAACUUCAGCCUUAAAAACUUUAAAGGCAUCUAAAGCUUCAUUCUUAGAAUGAAGUAAGUAGAGAUACAUAUAUCGUGAAUAAUAAUCUAUAAAGGUUAUGAAGUAUUUCAGACUAUUUGCAUCCAUGUCUGGACAACAUAUGUUUGUAUGUAUGAUUUCUAAUAAAUUAGAACUCCUCUUUGCACCUUUUUUAGACUUGUUAGUUUGCUUACCCUUAAUGCAAUCUACACAAGUCUCAAAAUCAGCGAAAUCCAAAGUACUAAGUACUCCUUCAUUUACUAAUCGCUUGAUUCUAUCAAUAGAGAUAUGUCCUAAUCUCUGGUGCCACAACAUAGAUGAUUCUUCAUUCACAAUACAUCGUUUUAACCCAACAGAAACGUGCAUAGAAGUAGCGUCGUUUUUCAAUUCAAUCGAAUAAAGACCAUCAACCAAUUGACCACAACCAAUAAUUUCAGAUUUAUUUAGUAAAUUAUUACCAAAGUCUGUAAAAUUAAAAUAAAAUCCCAAAGGUGCAAGUUUAGAAACAUAAAUUAAGUUUUUACAAAAACUAGGAACAUAAAAAACUUUCUCCAAAUGUAAUUUAAAGCCACUAUUUAAAACUAAGACGCACGUUUCAAUGGCCUCUACAUGCGAGCUCAUCCUACUCCCUGAGUAGAUGCAUUGCUCACUUCCCACUGGCUUCCUUAGGCUUUCCAUAUCCUGCAAGGUAUUAGAAACAUGGAUUGUAGAACCAGAGUCAAUCCACCAUGUAUUAUGAUUCACAUUAAUCAUAUUAGAUUCAUAACAAACGAAAGUCAAUGGUGUACCUUUCUUCUCAAACCAACUUUUAAAUUUGGGGCAGUCCUUCUUCAUGUGUCCUUUCUUUUUACAGAAGAAACACUUUGACUCCUUUUUAAUUGUUGGUUGAGUCGGAAUCCUUCCUUUAUUGGUGCCUACAGACUUCUUCCUAUCCUUUCCAGAAGUAGAAGUAGUCAAAUUUACCUUCUCACCUUCUUCCAUUAUCAAUCGCUCCUCUUCUUGAACACACAUGGUCAUCAAUUCAUUAAUAGACCAUCUAUCCUUAUGUGUGUUGUAGGAGAUUUUGAAGGGUGUAUAUUGUUGAGGUAGGGUGCACAAAAUGAAAUGUACCAGGAAGGACUCAGACAUGGUAACUUCUAGGGUUUUAAACUGAGCCACUAUGUCCCUUAAGCGCAUGAUAUGUUCACGCACACCUCUCGUUCUAGUAAGCUUAAUGGAAGAGAAUUGCAUAAUGAGUGUGCUAGCAAGCGACUUCUCAGAGGUCGUAAACUGUUCAUUAAUGGCUUUCAACAGAUCUCUGACCUUAUCAUGCUGGUCAACUGAACCCUGGAUACUAGCGGAUAUGUUGGUUUUUAUGAACAUAACGGAGAGACGAUUAGAUCUCUCCCACUUUUCAUAAAGAUCAACAGCAUCAGGUUCGCUAGUUUCAAUAAUAGCCGGUGGCUCAUCCUUCCUUAUAGCAUAGUCAAUAUCCAUCCAGCCCAAAUGAAGGAGAACUCUUUCCUUCCAAACCUUAUAAUUAUCACCUUUCAAAGUGGGAAGGUCACGAGAAAUAUUCAUAGAUUGUGAAACUGCAAACAAACACACAUGCUCAUUAAGAAAAUUUGAGACUAAACAAAUGCCAUGUUUUGCCAAUGCAAAUCAUGUCUCAAUAUAUAUGAAUCUAGUGACACAAAACUUGCCUGUGGGCUAAAGUCCUACUCAAUUAGAUUCAUCAUGCAACUUUAUGAUAAAACUAUUAAAUCAUGUUCUUUUCCUUAAUUUCUGUGGGUAAAUUAAGAAAUAUAAUUUAAUAUUUUAUCCUAAUUAAUCAUACAAAUAUAACAAAAUUCCUGUAGGUAGAUUUCAUCACAUUACAUAUGAUUAAUCACAAUUAAUAUUUCUAAUGUGAUUAUAAAUUUAGAAUAUAAUUUUACUCAAUUAAAGAUGUUGUGGCUAUUCUCUAAUUUAAUAAAAUUAUAUUAAUCACUUAACAUUCAAAAAUAAUCCUUGCAUAAACAUACUUAAUAAUGCAAAUGUGCUCAAUAUUGAAUCAUAAAAAUUACAUGUAUACCAAUUCAAAAUAGCAUUGCACGUAUAUUCAUUCAACAUGUAAUAAACUUUAAAGGAUUAAAUCCAAUGCAUACCAUUAUUUAACAUAAUAUUGCAUGUUCAGCAUAACUUAAGAGACACACAAUUUUAAACAGUUUAUGCAUAAAUGAUUUAUCCUUCAGAAGUUAUAAAUAUACGUGAACUUCACAUAAUAAACAAUUAAAUUGCAGUAGCUUAGCGGCAAAGGGAGUCCUUUCAUGCUUGCAGGGUGAGGGUUCAAAAUCAGCCCAAAACGUUUUCGCGUUCCUUUUAAUUAAUUAAAAAACGAAAACAAGGAAGAAAAUGCUUCCACUAAGAAUCGAACCUAGAACAAAGAGAUAAUAUAUAUUACAUCUACCACUGGACCAAGUCAUGUUUUGUUUAAUAUUGUUAAUUUAAAAUGUACAUUAACAAUUACAAGACAGUAAACAAAACCCGCAAAACUUCGUCUUCAACCUCCAUAGUGGGUAAAAAAAAAAAUUAUUACCUCAAUUUCAAAAAAAACCCACAUCAUUAUAUGCAUUUUAGACACCCAAAAAUACGCUUUAAAUCAUAGAAAAAUUAGAAAACUCAUAUCAUUCCUAAUUUUGAUGUUAUUUUGAAUUAAUGAGGCUUAAAACAUAACACCCAUGUACUCAGAAAAUAAACUCCGCAUAAUAUAGGAACGACCCAAUAAGCAAGACAGAGGUACAUAUAGGCUAUGAUACCAAAUGUAAAAAUAUAUAUAUAUUGAUCUAAACAUGCAAAUAAAUUAAAAUGACAUAUUUAGAUCAAACAUCGGAAAUUAAAAAUAUUACUUGCGUACCUCCAGCCAUUGCAAAUUGAACGGGAAGCAGCGCACACACGAACCUGAAAGAUAGUUUUGUUCUUCCAGACCCUUACUCACUCUGAAUAGAUGAUGUAUUUUUUCUGAAUAGAGAAGUGGGUUUGGUGAUACAAAACUGAGAGCACCCCAUCCUAUUUAUAGAGUCUGUCCAUCACAGAGCUCUCAACUUGUUAUCAGAACGUGAGAUAGGAAGUUAUCAGUACGUGAGAUAAGAAGUUAUCAGUACGUGAGAUAAAUGAUAGGUACGUGAUUUGGUACUGAAGGUGGUUGCAAAUAUAUUUGCAAAGAUAUGGGUUGAAUGUGGAUGGAAAAUGGACCAGAUUCAGAAAUAACUAAAUUUUCCAAAAUAAUAAAAUGUAGAAAUAACGUGCAACGUGAACGUAACAUGCACUUCCAACACCACACACAAGGUGGAAUAAGUAGGACUAAUAGAUACAAGUCACUUGGUAAUUCAAUAUUUUAAUUACAUAACCUUAUAUUUAGGCUUGAUGUGUUUGAUUUUGUGUUUCGUGCAUUUGGUUUUGAGCAUUAGACAUUUAUUAGAGUUGGGAUACUUUAUAUUUACAUAUUAAACAAUUUAUAUGUUUGAUAUUCUGUAUGCUGAUGCCAUGUCUCAGUUGCAUACACUGUAGGUCCAUGUUUCUUAGGGGGGAAACUGCACCAAAAUUUAUAUAUGACAUUGAUGUUGUACAUCUUAAAAAGAUGGACUUCAUCAAAUUAUAAAGGGUUGUAGGUGUUGACUGAUGUGUACAAGAAGGCUAAUGUGUUCAUAUCUCAAGUGGACAAUACUACUUCAACAACAAUAACCAAGACUUUUUCCACUUGGUGAGAUCAAAUGACACCAUGAAGUUCUGCUGUGAAACAUCUCAAUAGACAAACUAUGGACCUUUAGAUCCUUCUUAAUCGAUUCUCAUGUACCUUUUUCUCGGUCUUCCUCUACCCCUAGCUACUGGGCUACUCUCCAUCUAAUCUACUCUCUUAAUAUGGGCUUCUAUAGGUCUUCUCCAUGACAAGUUUUCGUGUGGACAAGGUCACAACUUUAUUGUCUGAACAAACACUGGGAAAAACAAAAAAGCUAAUCAAAGAAGAACACGCGUUUUCUCCAACCGAAUUUCAACUUUCUCUCCUAAAAAAUUUAUCGAGUUUAUCACUUUGCUUAUUAAAUCCCUGUCAUAUAACUAUUUCUAACUAGUUUUCUUUUUUCUUUUUUGGUAAAUACUACAACAGAUUUUCUUGAUCCCAAGGGAAUCAUCUCAUUAAUUUUUCUUCAUCUCAUUGAAACUUCUAGUCAUAAUAAGCUAAUCUAUUUGCUCUUACUUUCUAAUCUUUCUCUUUCAUCAUGCUUCCCUCUCAUUGCAAGCAUAGCAUCGUCUAAAACUAACACAUUACUUCUCUUUAGCAAACAGUCAUGUUCACAUCUAAAUGAACUUGUUUUGAGAGACAGACACUUGCAUGAUCUAUCAAUUAUCUAGUAGUUACUCCAGUGACAUUACAAGAGACACAUUCAACAAAAAAAACUGUAACACCAAUUUAUCUCGGCAAAAACACUCAACAAAAUAGAAAGUGUUUAUAUGUAGGUAUAGAGUGGAAACCAUUAAAAGAAAAUACAGUUUCAACUUAAGGAGGAAUUUAAAAAGAAAAGAUAUAUAUAAUUAUAUCAUAUACCUGAUUAACUACAAAUCCUUUCAGCAUGUUUAAGAAGUCAGCCUGCCUCUCUUUAUCAAGCCUUUCAAGUUCAUUCCUAUUGUUUUCUUGCAUUGGCAGCAUAAUUGUCCAUUAUCCAAAAAUAUAGACAAAGUAAACUAAAAUUAAAUUUAGAAUACAGACAGCCUACAUUUUAGGAUUGGACUUAGAGAUGAUAUAUCCAAACAUAAUAAUUUUAAACGAGAUGCUAUCAGCAAAGCCAAACCAAAUUGCAUGAAAUAUAACCUAACUGAUGUUAGAUGAUGAGGAAGAAGUAAAAAUGAGACAAAAGAUCAUCCCAUAUACAAAAAUGUUGCCAACAGAUUGCUACAUAAGAAGCACAUAAUUAUUUGCAUGUAGCCUUCAUAACAUAAAAAUUGUGUACAAAUACUCACUAUGAUUCCAAAUAAUAGUGUUUUGAAUUGAUUUUUUUUACUCAAACAGAAGGGAUUGGAUAAAUAAAAAAUUCACAUAUGCUUGGUAUAAAGAAUUUUGGGUAGAGGGUUAGUGAAUAAGAAGAGAAAAAGGUGGAUAACAAUAAUAAACACAAAUAUAUGAUGAAUAUCUGUAAUAGGUUAUAGCACCCAAAUCUAAAACUCUUAUUUAUACUAAUUAGGUCAUGCACCCACUACUACAAAAAACAGAUUUAACAUCGACAGAUUAACAUCGAUUUUUGACAAAACUGAUGUUAAGAUAAAUGCGGUGGCAUAACUGUAAAUAAUAUGUAUCUGUUAACAUUGGUUAUUUUGUUAACAUCGGUUCUUGAAAAACCGAUGUUAACAUUAAUUAGUUAACAUCGGUUAUGGAAGAACCGAUAUUAACAUAAGUUCGUUAACAUCGGGUUUUCAGAAAAUCGAUGAUAACAUAAACUUGUUAACAUCAGAUUUUCAGAAAAUCGAUGUUAACGUAUGAUAAGUUAACAUCGAUUUCUUGAAGAAAACCGAUGUUGGACUUACAUUUUAAUUUAUAUCAGACGCGACCUAUUUUGCUCGCGCUCUCUUCUUCUCCGUCUAACCUCUCUUGUUCUGCGUCUAAGCUUCUUUUUCUCCAUUGCGUUGAAGAUCGUGACAAGUCUCUUUUUCUUCUCCAUCGCCACCUUACCUAGGUACAUUUCUUCUAAGCUCUGUUGUUCUAUUGAAUACCUAGGUCUAUUUGGGGAACUCGUGGUUAACCCAAGGACCUUUGUUUGUUUCUGUUGCAAGGAUUGGGAAACUCGUGGUGACCUGAGGUACGUUUCGUGUCGUGGUCACUAGUGCUCAUAGGGUCUCAUUUUGAUUGAGGUAAGUCGUGCUUACUUUGCAGUUCUUUGAAUGCUUAAUGUCUGUUGUAAAACUAGGGUAGCAUAGUGAAGUGUACUGUAGUGUAGUGUAGUGUUCUUCAUUUUGUUUGAGGUAGUGUAGUGUAGUGUUGUUCAUUUGGAUUGAACAAUUCUGGUCAUGUUUUUUUUAUGUUUUUCCCUUCUAUGCACUGAUGUCAUGUAUCCAUUGAAAGAGGCAAUACUAGGAAGGGAACAAAGUUGUUAGACACUCGUGCCAUGUAUUUGUCAACUUUGGCAGAUAUUAAUUGGUGCAUUCCUUAGCCAUUCAGGUGCGAUGUUCCUCUGCCCCUUUGGAAAUAGAAUGCCUAACUCUAGAUUUUUCACUACCAUCAACCCAUCUCUUUAGCCUUUCAAGCAACUUUGUCCUUUUAGAAUAAGCAAUGUCACUGUGAUGAUGACCACUAGCAUGCUCAUCAAAGGAAGGAUCACUGUGAUGCUCCAAAAGGGAAUUGUGUUGUUCAGGCUCCGAAUCAUAAUUGAUAACUACAUCAUUUCUUCCAAAUUCCAAUUCUAAAUGGUUUUUAUCCUUAUUUUGUUGUUGUUCAUGGUGUCUCACUAAAGAGUAAGUCCUAUUCUGAUUCUGUUUUUGUCCAUGGUGUCUCACUAAAGAGUAAGUCAUAUCCUGAUUCUGUUGUUGUUCAUGAUGCCUCACUAGAGAGUAAGUCCUAUCCUAAUUCUAAAUGCUUUUUAUCCUAAUUCUGUUGUUUUGAUUUGAAUGAAAUUUGUUGUUGAGAGUGGAUCUUUUUUUCUUGUAGCUAUGGGGUAAAGAUCUUUUGGUUGCUACAUUUGAUUCUGGGAAGUUUUUGUUGCUCACAUUUUGCAAUGAAAUGCACAGUUUUGUUGACCUUGUCUCUGUUUGUUCUCUCUCUCUUUAAAUAUUAUGGAAUAUGGAGGGAGUGUUUCUAGUUUUGGUUCAUUGAAGCAUGGCUAGAACAUAUGAUAGUUGUUGUUACAAACUACAUUUUAUGGAAAAAUAGUUAACUUGUAUGAACUUUCUUCUUUUUCUGUAUGUGUCUUUGUAGGUUUGUUCCUGUAACACAUAUUUAACUGUCUAAUUCUGGAAACCAAAUUGGUCUUCCUAGAAGAAAGUUAGCAGUUGAUUCUAGAUGAUUCUAGUCACAAAAAUUCUUUGAAAGCAUCUAUUUUGUUUAUCUCUCAGUUUUGUGUUCUAGUCCCAUUCUAUAAGCAUAUAUUAGUGGCUUCACAUAUUGCAAACAAUAGAGAAGUUAUGGUCCCAUUCUGUAAUAACAUUUAAAUACUUUUAAAAUGUGUGGGCCACCUGAGUUAAAAUGGCCCAUUUCAAGUAGCAGAACCCAACUCGAAACUCUCCUUAGUUCACUGGAUUCCUUAGAAUCUGGCAGGUAUGACCAGUUUGAUACAAAACUGAAUCCAACAGUAACAAAGAUGAAAGAAAUAUAGCAGGAAUGAAGAAGAAAGAUGAUGUAUGUAAUAUGUAUUAUUAAGACCGAGGAAAAUUCAGCAGAAUGAGGUCUAUACUACCUUGAGCUGCUCUGCUAUUAUAGAGAAAUACCGCUAAGCUAUUAUUGAGAGAUACUACUCUCUAUCCAUAACUAACAAAAUGAUAUGUUAGGAUACCCUCUUCACUCCCCUUCUCUCCUAUAUCAUAACUACACAUUCCACUAUUCAAUAAUUAGCUCCUUCCUUCCCUUUCUCUCUCACUGCCAGGUCAUCAUUCCUCUCUAGUCUCCCUCUGUCCCUUCUAGUGUAAACCUUCUAAACUUUGGGCUCAUGACUCGUGAGACAAUUGUUGAACUUGCAUUCCCUUCAGAUAUAUUUGGUGUGAUUAGCAAGAAAAUGACUUUUGGUGUAAUAAAAAUUAUGGGUCCCUGAAGCUAGAGAAAAUCCAAAUAAAGCCUUGAAAAACUACAAAAAAAAUCCACAUAUUGAAUUAUUGCUAUCUAGAUAUCAUAGUUUGAGUUGAGAACUUGAUAGUAAAGACAUAAUGAGAACAUGAUAACUUUUGUAGAGUUUUGUCUUUCAUUUAACUAGGGUACUUUAAUAAAUAAUCAAUACUAAAAAUUCAAAUCAUAUUGAAUUAUAGGCAAAAUUAAGUUAGAUUUUUAAGAUUUCCUGUUAGUGUUUUUGUAUCCUCUGCAAGUUUAAAUAUCCCAAUUUAUGAGGAUAUCUAGAACAAAACCUGGUAUGUCCUUUGAGUUAUAAUUUUUUUUUUGGGUAAGUUACUUUUUUUUGUCCUGAAAGUGUUAAAUGUGAUGACAUGGAUACUUGAAGCUAGAGAAAAUCCAAAUAAAGCCCUGAAAAACUGCUAAAUGUUUCAUAUAAGUCUCAAUUUAACCAAUUGCUAUCAUUUUGAUCCUUGAAGAUAUGCUAAAUUAACACUUAAAUCAAGUGACAGAUGGAGUAAUGUGAUUGUUUAUUUCAAACAAAUUUGAUUUUUUUAUGAUUGAUAUUAUAUUAUUAACUUAUGUUUUAUUUUAUCAUGUAGUAUUUUAAUGAUGUUAGACCAUUGAAAUCAGAGAGAUUGAAGGCGCUUUGCAUCCAGUGGACAAAGUAUUAUCUCAAAGUUAGAAAUGAAACUUAGGAUGUUAGGCAAAUUUGUAAUUUUAGUUUACAUACUUAGUUUACUAGCUUGGUUUACAUUUUUUUACAAUUGAUGUUUCCUUUUAACAUUGAAUAUUUUUUAUUCAUAGUUAUUAAUAAAUUUGUCAUGGAAUUUUUCUGCUAAAAACUAUUUCAAAACAGAAUGCAAAUGAUAUAUGCUAUGAUGUGUGAUCUGAUUUCAAAUUUGCAGGUGAAUUUUUAGGUUUAUAAAAAAACAGAUAGUAUACUAAAAAAAAUUCCUAAUAACAACAUUGAUUUUUAAAAAAAAACUAAUGUUAACCUACACAAAAAACAUCGGUUUUUUCAAAAACCGAUGUUAACUGCCAACAUUAACAUUGGUUUUUUAGAAAACCAAUGUUAACAUAUGAUAACAACAUCGGUUAUUUAGCAAAUCGAUGUUAACAUUGUCAGUUAACAUCGAUUUUAUACAAAAAUUGAUGUUAACUUCCAACGUUAACAUUAGUUUUUGUUAAAAAUCGAUGUUAACUGCCAACGUUGGUAUGAACAUAUAUACCUUUUUUGUGUAAUUCUUAUUAUAUAACAUCGGUUAUUUAAAAACUGAUGUUGUCAUUUUAUGUUAAUAUCGAUUUUCAAAAAUUGAUGUUAACUAUAAUACUUUCAAUGUCGGUACUUUCAACAUUGGUUAAUAACCGAUGUUGAAAGUCCUAAAUAACCGAUGUAAAAAACUUAUUUUCUAGUAGUGACCAAUAAACUCUUAUUUAUACUCACCUUGGAGCAAGUAAGCACUUUGUGUGAGACAUUUUCCACAAUAACAUCAUUAAAUUAAUUUUUGGUUAAAUUACUCAUUUAGUACCUAUAGUUUCAUGAUUCUUACCUUUUUUGUCCCUAUGGUUUGAAAGUUGUGUUUUUAGUCCUUAUAGUUUAUAUUUUAAUUCUCUUUUAGUCCUUAUAGUUUAAAAGUGUUCUUUUUAGUCAUUAUACUUUGUAUUUUAAUUCUCUUUUAGUUCCUAUAGUUUAAAAGUGAUAUUUUUAGUCCCUAUAAUUUGUAUUUUAAUUACCUUUUAGUCCUUAAUACAAAAAAAUAUAUAAAAAUCAUUAGCCACAAAUUAGUUAUAAAUUAUCAAUUAUUUUUAACUACAAAUUAUCUUACAAUAAAUUAGUUAUGAAUUACUUACUAAUAUUUUUGUAGUUAAUUGUAAUUGAUAAUAUUAUUUAUAUUUUGAUGGUAAGGACUAAAAGAGAAUUAAAAUAUAAAAUAUAGGAACUAAAAAGACUAGUUUUAAACUAUAGGAACUAAAAGAGAAUUAAAAUACAAAUUAUAAGGACUAAAAAAAUCACUUUCAAAACUAUAGGGAUUAAAAGAGGAUUAAAAUGUAAACUAUAAGGACUAAAAAAAUCACUUUCAAACUAUGUGGACCAAAAAGGUAAGAAUCGUGAAACUAUAGAGACCAAAUAAGUAAUUUAACCUUAAUUUUUUAUGUCAUUACAUUUGCAUCUGCAUACCGAUCUAUCGAGGUCUUGAAACCCAUUUUCGGGCCUUAAUCCCUAGUUAUUCAUCUCACCAUCAAACUCUCUCCUUCAGCAAUGUUCUAAACAAAUUCAUUAUCUCUCCUAACAAGUAACCUAAUCAGUUUUCCAAACUAGAAAAACCCUAAUAUUCUAAUUGAAUUCUUUAAUUCAUGGACUUCUCCACUCAAAAAACUAGAAAAAAUUAAAAAGAAACAAAAAAAACUAACCCUAAAAAUUUCACUAAGAAUCUUCAUUCUUUAGUAGUCCUUCUCAUUGCCCACACACAAAAACAAAGCCACGGAGACAAAAUACAAAGACACCCACCCACCGACUAACACAAUAACACAUUUAUAUACAAAUCGCGAAGAAGAACAUAAUCAAAUCCAUCAUAAUUUCAUAUCUAAACAUUCAUUCAACGUUUGAGGAAGAAAGCGUUUGAUGACUUACCUGUACGAUGACCUAACACUUGAUGGGAAAAAGGGUUUCAGGGAGAGAGUGGUUCACUUUCGAUGGGAAAAAGGGAUUCAGGGAGAGAGUACGUGGUUCACUUUUGAUGGGAAAAGGUGUUUCAGGGAUAGAGUGGUUCACGACUCGAGCUCACUUUGAGGGAGACAAUAGUUGAGGGCUAACUUCAUAAGCUAGGGCAAAGACGGAGGAGCUAGAGUUUUUGAAUAUGGUCGUUCGAAAGUAGUUCAUCGUAGGGGGGACACAAUUAAUGAAACGGGUCUACGAAGACGGUCCUACAUUAAAAACGUAUUGUCUUAAUUUAUUCUCAUUACAGGAUUGCCACAAGUUACAUUUUGAGAGGGUUCUUUUGUACCGUCUUAAAAAGGGCGAAGUAAAAAAAAUUUUUUAANNNNNNNNNNNNNNNNNNNNNNNNNNNNNNNNNNNNNNNNNNNNNNNNNNNNNNNNNNNNNNNNNNNNNNNNNNNNNNNNNNNNNNNNNNNNNNNNNNNNCCACUUCUUAUUCUAAAAUGGUUCUAAAGAAUAAUCUUAGAAUGCACAUCGUAAAUAAGUGCUUUUGUAGUAGAGUUUAGAGCAAUUUGUUGAUUGAUUAUGGUUAGUUACAUAAUUUAGACAAUUCAUGUACUGAAAAUUCUCUCUCCUGAUUCCUCUUCUUGUUGUAGCAUUUUCUCUACAAUUUUAGUCCCAUGAUUUUUGCCCAUUAGUUCUAACUCAUAAAAAAUGAUUUUGAAACUUUGAAUUCUUGUUGAAAAACCUUGUUGGGUAGGAAAAUUGGAUUUAUAUAUAAUUUCACUCCACCAAUAUAGCAAUUGUUAUUUUAAAAUUUAAAUGUAAAUUUGUAAUUUUAAUUGAUAUUUAGAAAAUUAUAUUUGUUAUCAUAGGUUCAUUGAUAUGUAGGAUAUUGUAAUUGUUAGGAUAGGUUAAUUAUGUUGACUUUGAAUUUGAUUAUAAAUGUUAGAAUGUAUCGAACUAUGUUCAUAAUAUUUAGACUAUCUUUAAAAUAUGUUGACUCUAAUUCUAAUUAUUGUACGUUCAUGUUAUCUUUUAUACAGAUAUAACACAUACAAGAGGUGGUGACCGCACCAAACCUACUACAUCUGUAUGUAGGCAUGAAAGAUGUGUAGUUGUAGAUGAGGAGCAAGAGAUUUACGAAGCUCCCGAACAUGUUGCAACUGAUGAUGUUGCACCUCAAGAUGUUGUGUUUGGUGGUGUGCUUGAGGACAAAUUAGUCCUUAUUGAAUAUGCUGAUCACGUGGCUUGUAAAUUGUGGGAUGACUUGGUAUACCAAUAACAACAAUCUAAUUUUUUUUUGGUUAAUUGAUUCAUAUUUCAUAAUGGCAUACUGAAAUAUAAAUUUUUGUAGGACCAUGAAGAGUUCAAGCUAGUAGCUCAUGGAAGGAAGUUGAGGGAUUUGGGCCCCCUCAUAAGGAGAUCAUGAGAGUGAUGCAAGAUUCAGGGUUACUUUUAUUGAUUGAAUGUGAUAUCUCACAUCCGCAAUGUUCGUUCCUUUGAGAUGUUUUCAUGGGGUCAGACAUGCAUCUACAUUUUCUUGAAAAAGUCUUGGGGGUAAUUUGGUUAUACUCAAACUACUCCUCGACACCCAUCUGCGUUUACAUCAAUACAAAUAUCCACUUAGGAUGUCAAGAGAGGUGGUUGAAUUUUGCAUACCACUUGGUCAAGCCAGAUGAGACAAUUAGUGGGCCCUCAGGUUGGGCUACAGGUUACAUUGAAUGGUAUUUUAGGAUCUUGCAUCUGUUUGUAUUCUUAGUUAAUAAAGAUGAUAUUCCUAUUGUCCCACAUUUAUAACAUAGUGACUUACAUAAAUUGAAUCAUGUUAUGUAAGUGACUAUGUUAAAAAUGUGUAUUCAACAUUUUGAUGGAAUUGUUAUAUUGAUAUAUUAAUUGUUUUUUUUUUUUUAUUAAUAGAACAUCUGUCGUAAGGUCGUUGAACCCUUGCAGGAGAUGAUUUACUUAAGGAUGGUGACUACUGAGGGCACCACGACAUAUGAUAAGGUUCAAGCGGCACUUUUGUUGUUGUUUGAAGGUACUCAUGGUAGAAAAUAUUAGUGGAGGAUGAGGUGGCAGGAGAGUUUAGUGUAGUUGGGGAGACCAUGGACAACCUUAGAUAUUACCUUUGUAAAAACUUAAUGACAUGAUAUUUGGUUUAUGUAGGAACUUAUUGAUUUUUAUGCCAUGUUUGAUACUGUGUUGAUCUUUAUUUUGCGUUUGAGACAUGAUUUAUGUUUGGUAAUAGAAGUUCAUAUUUUAAUGUGGACUAAUCAUAUUUUAGGGAAGGUUAUACCAUAAUCUUUUUUGAAAUUUGUAACAAUAUUAAAAUAAGAAAUCUCACACUUAGGGUCUCACAAGCACAAUUAUAAAAGUAUAUGUUAAAAACACAAAAAUAUCACAAUUAGUCUAAUCAAUCUUUUGCAAGGUUGACAAAACUGCGUGUAAUACCAAUUAAUUGUGAAAAUUGUUGCAUUUUGACAAUGUGGGGAGUCAUUCACGGUUUUGCUACAAGAUGACAAUGUGUAGACCAUGUCACAUUCAGAUUUGGUAUUAGACAAUGAUCCUUCAAGACCACUUGCAUAAAAUUUUAAUAGUCAAAUAAAGAUUAUAAUAAAAAAAAUAUAAUUGUGAUCGGGAAGAAUGUGAUAUACCUAAACAAAAUGGUUGUCAUUGACAUGAUUCACACAUUGUUUUACGGAAAAACAUACAAAUAUUAUAUUAUACGUAGACCUAAUAACAUAUCCCAUGUUUGGUAUUGUCAUCCAUUUAUCCAUAGAUGCCUAAUAAAGAAUGUUGUUAGUAAACAUAUUUACAUAAAAUUUAAUGCAUACAAAUAACAACUUGAAAUUAUAGACUUUACCACAAAAUACUGUCAACUAGUAAAGAUCUCUUUAUGACAUCGUAAGGCUCAUAACUACCAAAUAUAAUGGCAUACUCAUCCUGUCAUUGACCAAGUUCUUUAAUUAAAUUGUUACGCACUAUAGGCCAUGUAACGACUCGUCUCAUCGCUACGAUAUCACCACUCAAAAUCACGAAAAUUUCAAUUUUUAAAUGAAAACUCAGUUAAUUGCUUAUGAAAAAUGAAAGUAAUUUUUUCACGAUAUACAUUCACCAAACAACGCACAAUUAGUUAAAUGAAUAUAUAUAUAUAUAUAUAGUGACUUAGUACACAUCAUUCACAUAAUGGAAAGUAAAUUAGUUCAUGCAUAUAAUUAAAUUUGUGAUUUACAUCCUUAAUUAAAAAAAAGAAUUAUAGAACCAACUAUGGAAGAGUUGAUUAACAAAACAUAACUCUCUCCCAAAAUAAUCUCAACAUCAUCACGUCGACUUGACGGCUCCAUAAAAGAAUCUUACUUCACGUACUCUACUGUUGUCCUUCUGCUUCUAUGAACAAAGGUUCGUGAUCAUCACAGGUACCAACCACACGGUACAAAAAUUGCAAGGGUGAGUUUAUUAUAAAAUAACACAAAAAUCAAAUAACCAUAAUUAGUAAGAAAACAUUAAUAAAUACCAUAAGCAUACACAAACAUCCAUUAAUCCAACAUAUACUCAACAAGUAGUCAUCAUCCAUCCAUAAUUCCAAUCAAUCAUGCUCAGUAUGAUGCAUCCACCAAACCUCAACUCUCAAAUGCAAUGUGGUACCAUUCAUCAAGGAAAUAGCCUAAGUGUGUCCACAGAACACUCUCACUUAGGAAAAUUAGGCAGUAAGUAUCGAGGUCACCUUGUCGUGCACAUGCGACUCCUCUCCCAUGGUGAUCAGUCUGAGUCUCAAGGGAGUUCCAAACCAAGAUACAUGCCCCCAAGUACAAGUAUCCCCCCCAUGAGAAACUACAAGUACUUAUUGACAAAUUUUAUACUAUUUCCAUCCAAUAUAUGACCGUGGAUAAUUAAGGAUUCUAAGUCAUCCCCCUCCAGAGAUGCUCAAAACUCUUUAACCACUCUAUUUCUCCCACUAGGAAUAUCCAACAUGGUCAUAGCACCCCCCAUGUACAUACACAUCACACAUCAUCACAAUGUCAUUUUCAACAUCAACAACAUCUCAUCCUAAUGUCAUUAUGAACAUCAUCUCAUCUUAAUGACAUUCUUAACAUCAAUAUCAUCUCAUCUUAAUGUCAUUCUCAUCAACAUCAUCUCAUCUCAAUGACAUUAUCAACAACAAUAACAUUUUCUCAUAUCAACAUAAUCAUCAAUAACAACACCAUCUCAUAUCAACAUUAUCAUAAGCACCAACAUCAUCUCGUAUCAAUUAUUAUCAAUUUCAUCUUCAAUAAUAACAUCAUUCUCUAUCAACAUUAUCAUAAACAUCAACGUCACCUCAUAUCAAUUAAUAUCAUCAGUAAAUCACAUUCUACAUGUACACAUAUAUAUAGUUCAUGCUUGAGAUUCACACUCCCCAGGUCUUCAGACAACACAAGUCUAAUAAAAAUAAUAAUUUCAUUUAUCAAUUACAGACGUAUCGCAUCCCAUUAGUCAAAAAUAUCAUUUUACUUGAAAAUCAGCAUGCAACAGGGACAAGCAUACAUCCCCACAGUUAGGUUCCCUGACACCAACUUUGGUAUUAAAAGCCAUAAAUUAUAAUAAACUCCCUUCACCUAUCGAGAGCUCUACUUCAGUUCCUCUUUACGUCACUCAAAGACCUCUCUCGUUCACAUUCGCCAGUCCAAAUGCAAGGUUCUAUAUAGAAAAUUGAAGAAAAUUUAGUAUAUAUUUCAAAAACAAGGUUAAUAACAACAUUUGGGGUUAAUUACCCUUGUUAAAACAUAAAGAGCUAAGAGAUGUUUCAGAUUCUAUUAAAAGGAGACAUUAUUUUGAAAUUCUGAUCACGCCAAUGUGACCAGGGUUCAAUGCAGAUCACAAAAAUAACCUCAAUUUUAUAUAAAGAUAACUUUUACAAAGUCUCAUUUUCAAGGGUUUUUCAAAGGAACUGUAAAAACACCCUAUUAUAGUAUCCAAAACACAAAAGAUACUAAGAGAAGCUCAAACUAACUAGGAGAAAGGCUUAGAAGUCAAGAUUACCUCAGGCAAGCUAUGAAAGAAAGGAUUUGAGGGAUUGUUUUCCACCGAAUCAUUGUAGGUGGAUUAUGAGGAUUUCACUCCUAUUAAAAUGUUCCUUUUGGUGUGGUGGUUUGACGGCAAGCAACGGCGGAUGGUCGUAGGGGGGUGGAGAAGAAGGUUUUAGGGUUUGGGUGGAUGUUUGGAGAGGAGGAUAGUGAAAAAUUGUGUUUUUCACGCUAAAGAACGUAUUUAUAAUUUGCAGAUCUCGCUUAGCGAGACGAGGAGUCCACUUUUGGCGCUAAGUGCGACUUGUUGCACUUAGCGCAAUUCCUCUCGGAUUGGGAUUUGCAUUGAGCGCGAGAAUUUGCGUUGAGCACAAUUCCUCUUGCGCUAAGCCUAACUCCUUCUUGGGUUGGAAUUGUGCUUAGAGCGCUUCUUGCACUAUGCGAGAGGUCAAAACUUGUUAUUUGGAAAAUCCUAAUGGUUAGAUUGUAGGGCAUAUGUUGGGAACCUAUAGUCAAAAUUUGAAGAUGAUCCAACGGUUAACAAAUCUAGGAUCGUGGUUUUAACAGGAUAUGUCUAAGUGAAAUUUGAAAUCUCAUAACUUUAACUUAGGUCAAUAAAAUUCAACAUAACUCAACAUCCACAUUAAGCAAAUCACACAUGAGUAAUUCACACAAUACCUCAACUCAUUCAAGUCAAUCAUAUAAUCAAAUAAGAUGAUAAUUACAAUUACACAUCGAUUUAUAAUUAGCGAUAUUUCAUGGUGUUACUAGCCAAGUGUCUUCACCAAUAUCUAGUAAGGCAUCAAUUGCACGAUAUCCACAAUGGUCAUCAUCCUUUACAUCAACAAUGUCCAAAAUAUAUGGGUAAAGGAAGCAACUGCACAAUAUCCACAAAUAUUUUGUUAAUCUUUGCCAACUUCACUUUUUGACCCAAUGUCUUGGAUGACUUUCAACUCGAUGAGUUGUCAUUCACAUACUGAAGGAUCACCUUUAGUUGACCUUUCCAAUUUACUUGCAUACUCUUUUUGUGAUCCCUUAGUUUUUACCUUAUAAAAUAGUGGUCACAUGGAAGUCAUGUUAAGGUAUGCUAUUUCAUUAAGUUUUCUUGUUAUAAUAACUUUCCUAGCUAUGUCCACCUCUACAAAGUGUUUUAAUAUAACAUCAAACUCUUGUUGCACAGACAUAUCUGCAUAUGGCUCGUUUGAACCUAUAUAUGCAAAGCUUAAUCUACUCCAAAAAACAUUAAUUGCAUCAAGUGGUAUGCUACCCAUGCUAUACCUAACUAGUUCACAUGCACAAGAGAGACCUUGUGUAUAUUUUGUGAUGCAUCUACAAUGAAUGUUGUUAACACAAACAAACUUUUCUCGAUCCAAUUCCUCUUUAAUAUGAUUAAGAUCAUACCUUGAACAAAUCCAUGCAAUUUCUUAUACAAUGUUACAUUAUGAUUAUGACCCAUAAAUUGAAUACUCUUCUCAAAUGAGGCUUUAAUUUUUGUAUGCUGCAAUGUAAUCAAGUUGUUCUUGGAAUCCCAACAUUUACACAAGUCCCUCAUGCUAUUCUAAAUUAACCUCUUUAAGCUCCAAUGCACACAAUCAAUCCUGUUAAUCAACAAACUUGAUAUUAGUUUCAAUAUAUUACACUUUGUCAAAAUAAGUUAAUUACAUAAAAUACUUGUUGCUUGUUAUGUUUCCUAAGUGCAUAACUUUACUUGUCCAUGCUUUUACAAAACAUUCCUUGUGAGGGAUCAACCAUGUAUUCUUCACAUACUCGACAAAGUACUCCUAUGGUGAACAUACAAUGUCAAACAUCUUGGCAUGCCCCUCAUACUCAGAUUGAGUAAAGCAACAUAAGUCUUGCAUUUGACUUUCACAUUUUUGUCAAUGUGAAAUUGGCACAACAAACUACAAGUUUCAGGAAAUACAUAUUUCACUGCAUUCAUCACGGCUAAAUUUUCUACUGCAUUGAUCAACUCUAAAAAAAAGCCCUUUGAGCUUCUAAAGUGCCCAAACAAAGUUAUCCUUUCGUUCAACCUCCAUAUAUACAAAAGUUGUAGAAAAUUUCAUUUCAAUAUGAGUCACACCAACAACCUCAAGUAAUGAUAGUAUAUAUCUAUUAGUUUUCUUGGUAUUGUCCAUCAAGAACACUAUGUUAAAUGGAUUAAUCAUUUUCAUAGCAUCAAGAUGUGUCCAAAAAAUAUCUCACACAACUUUUGAUGUAUCAUUCAUUAUAUGUCAAUGAAUAUACAUAUCUCGUUCAAGUAAGUUCAUCAAAUGCUACAUUUCCGUUCUAAAGCCUCUUUUAGACGAACGAUACACAAUCCUUGCAUUAUAUACUUGUUUUAUUGUAGUCACAUUUCUUUCAUUGUGCUCUUUGAAUGUCAACAAGAUAUUUUUGGGCUUUACCAUACUCUUUGUGAUAUUAGUAAACAUCGUCUUAUCUUCAUUAUUUAGUUAGUCAACAUAUAGAUGACUAACCAAUGACUCAAAUAAAUCAUGAUUAUGCAUCUCGCAAAUUAAUUUCAACAUCCAUCCUUCGUAAUCCAUCAGUGGUCUACCUCUCAGCCUAAAAGAACACUCACACUUUCUAGUUUCACUUAUUGUGAUUUGUAAGUUUUUUGUUUAUUGCCUAUACUUUUCACCCCUUUCAUCGCCUAACACAACAAAUGUCUUCUGUCCAUGUUGCCUUUUUUAUGUAUAUGACCUCAAAAUGACAACAACAAAACCUAUUUCAAAUGCAACAUCCCGAACCCAUUUCAAUAAUUCAUCUUGAGUAGCAAAAAACUAUAUACAAAACAUACAACAUCAAUAUGUUAAUGUACAAUAUUUUCAAGGUAUUACAAACAAAAAAAAAACACAAAAUAAUUACCUUUGUAGUUAUGAAUGCUUUGCUACAAUCAACAAUUUUUCCAGUCUCUUGUCCAUAAUGUUUAUGAAUAGCUUCGUCUAUUCUAAUGUCAACAUACAUGUCAACUUCCAUAUCCACUUCAUUUGACAUCUUCCUCACAUAAUCGUCUUCCAUAUAAACCUUUCAAAAGCAACAAAAGUAAGUUAAUUAACAAAAAUUAUCCAACAUAUUUGAAACAAUUUAUAAUUAAUAACUAAAAUUCAUAUAAUUACCUGAAACCAACCUUCCAAAUAAGACAAUCAACAAAUGAAAAAAAAAUACAUCGGAUUGGCUAAUUUGGAACUUAAAAACAACAAUUUCAAAUUCCCUAAUCUAGAAUAUAAUAUAAUUUUUGGAUCAGGCAAUCCAUAAUUGUUGUUUUGAAGUUUCAGAUUAGUUGAUCCGGGAAAGACAAAAACUCAAUUAAGAUCAAACAAUUUGGAAUUGUUGUUGCACAAUUCUGGAUUGAUUGAUCUAAAUUAAUUAAAAAAUAAAAAUAAUUUCUGGAGCAAUAAAUUCAUACGCAUAAGAACAAAUUUGGAUUAUCAAAUCUGAAAAUAUUUUAUAUUUUUGGAUUAUUUGAUCCGGUCUAUUAUUACUCCAUUAUGGAUUCAUUGAUCCAGAUUUGUAUAACCUCAUUUUAUAGUUUUAUGUUAUUUUUACGGUUUUAAUUCCAUAUUUGUUGAUCCAAACCUAUCCUAAAACUUCAUUUUCCAAAAAACAUUUCCGGAUAAGUUAUUCUGAUUAUAAUAAACUAACACAAAAAGUAUAAACAAGACAAUUAACAACUCACCUGUGCAAGUGAACUUGAGCAACAAAAAUGCUUACUCGGAAUGAACAAGUGAAGAAGACAAUGUUUCAGGCAUGGAGAAACGAGGAAAUCAAGCUAUGGACAAGUGAGAAAGACAAGGUUACUAUGCCCAUUUUGAAAAAUUGGGAGGUGCAAGAAACAAACUGGGAGGUAUAGGAAGCAAAAGCCAAGAAAUUGACUUUGAUCAAUUGUCUUAAGGCCCAUCAACAUCUAUGAUGUAGUCGUAUAAUGAUAGUGGGCUGGUGGCCAGCCCAAUACCUAAAGUCCUGUUAUAUAUGCAUAAUUACCUUCCAUCCUAUUGAAAGCUUUUUAUUUCUUGUCUCUCUUGUUCAAGAAUUUUAUCAUUAAAUAUUUCUGAUUUUAUUUUUCUGUCUUGUGAAGUUAAAAGUUAAUCACUUCCUUCUUUCAUAUUAGUUAACUUAUCCACCUUGAUGAAAAAAAAACCCAAUUGUUUUCAUACAACAUAUGAAAACAUUGAAAUUGACUGCACAAAUUUUGAAGCUUCCUAUCACUGUUACGAAAAUCAGACCAAACUGUCUUGUUAAACUAUAAAAUCAAUGAAGCAGUUAAGUUUUUAAUUCAAAUAAACUAUUGAGCUGACCCAUGAAAAAACCCAUGAAAUAAAAAAAAAUUGGAAAAAAAAUCAGCAAAAAAAAUCAUGUUUAUAAUUUCCAAAAGAAUUUUUAGUUGAUAGUAAUAGUAGUAAUAAAUUAGAAUUCCUUUAUAUUCACCCUCUAUAUUUACAUUGGUUCAACAUAAUUCAAAUAUUUCAAUAAAACCUUUAAUUCACUUUCUGAAACUAUCAUUGAUCAAUCAUCCAUAACCAAAAACACCAAUACAACGUUUCCAGGCUUCUAGAAAAUCUAAUUUACAGCAACUAUUUCACUAUAUUUUAUUUUUAUUCAAAUUUUAUUUUUUCUUAUAUUAAUUGUGAAAAUUGUACUUAUUCUUUGAAGAUAAUUUAUUAUUAUAAAAGAUUAAUUUUUACUAAAUGAUUCAAUUAACAAAUAAAUAUUUAAAAAUAAGAUAUAUAAUCCAUUUUUUUAUUGUGAGUUCUUUUUAAUUAAUUAAACAAACAAUUUUAUAGUUUUCAUCUUAUUAGAGAAUUGUCUAAUACUUAAUGGAUAUGGUGAUAGUAAUUUUGAUUGUGUCAUAAUGAUUUGUAAGAUAUUGUUUAAGUAGAUUUUGUAGUGUUUUCUAUAUAUAAGUCAUUUUCAAUAAUUGACUUAUAAUGAGAUUUCAUUAAAAAAAUUGAAAAAUAUAAAAUCAACAUGUUUACGUCCUUAAUUUUGUUCAAGAAAAACCGGGAGCAUCGAAUUCUUCAAGUUUCUAUUUUGCUGCUUUCACACUACCAAAAACAAAAAUCUUUAUGAUUUAUGAGCAUUUUGGGUCAGACCUAUAUUGUUACCACAGUCAUUAUUCUAUGCAAAACUAGUAAUUCCAUGCUUCCGGUUUUCCAUACAUUGCAAAAAUCACGUAACUGUUCAAAAGACAUUUCUUUCAAAUUUUCAACUUUUUAGUUUUUUUUUUUUUAAUUUGUAAGAAGGGCAAAUCAUUCAAAAGUCUUGAAAUCUGCUAGGUUUCCGGUAUUCAUUAAUUGUUAGUCAAAAGAAAAUGAGACUUAUUAAUCAACUCCUGAGAGUUCUUUUCUAUCCCAUUCGAUGGGGCAAGACCUUUAGAAGUUACAAGUCUCUAAACCUGACAAUUCACGGCAACUGCUCAAUUGAAAUAAUUAAUUGACUAGUUUUGGACGUGUGGAAUGCUCUUGGGUAGAACGUAAUUUUGUAGGGUUGAACAACUUCUAAAAUGCUUUCAUGGAAAAAUAUAAGAGUACGCACAAUUUCCUGAGCUACGUUUAUAGUCUCUGUUAAAAGUGCAAAGAGUACCAAUCUUCGUAUAUAUUUAUAACUGUGCACAGUUAUGCUUUACUAACUAGUGGAUACUUAAAACCAAUUCCAUCUAAUACAUGAUUCUUAACCAAUAUUAUAACAAUGAUAAUUCCAAAAAAGGAAAAAAUAACGCUUAGAAAGUAACCGUGAUAGCCAAAUUAAUUAAGGACAAAAGCUAAAAAAAGUUAAAAAUGCAAAGUCUAAAUGGAAAACGGGGUGUGAGGAACAACCACAUUUAAUUUAUGUCAUUCGCAAAAAAGUAUUUGUCAUUAGAAAGUAGUCCUUUUUUUUUCUUGCAUAAAUUUAAAUGCUAUUAGGUACACGGAUUUCUUUAGAAAAAUAUAAAAGUCUGUAAUAAAUAGUUAAUAGUAUUAAAACAUUGACUACAAUGUGGAAUUUUUGUCACUCAAAUAAAACGACAGAUCUGCAAAUCCAGAGUCUCGACGCGGUUGCGGUGGAAUUUUUGUUCAGUUGAGGAAUUGAAGUUUGGUUAAUGUGGAAUUUUUGUUCAGUUGAGGAAUUGAAGUUUGGUUAAUGUGGAAUUUUUGUAUGAGCAGAUUUUAUUUUUUCUUUGAGCACUUCCCAGUUUCGGUUGAAUCCCUGGAUGGUGGGGUGGGAUGAAAUGCGUUCAUUUUUUACACGCCUAUGAAUCUAAGUUUACUGUUGAAUUUGGGAGUGGGCAUUCGACACCCAAAGGGUUAAUAUGGUAUAUUCACAAUAUUUUAUAACCAUUUUUUAUGUAUAAAAUUAAUAGGAUAAAUAGUUAUUUUUAUCUUUCAAUAUGUAAUUCACUAACAAAUGCAUCAUUGAAAGAUAAAAAUACAAAAUUAGUCCGUGAAAGUGUAAAAAGUGCGACAGAUAUGUCCUACCAUUAACUUUCACCUGUCACUCCGCGGAUGAACAAAUUUAUCACUGAAAUGAUUCUUAGCGUAAAAACAUAUUUGUCAUAAUAUUUUUUUGACUUUUCGUCUUCUCAAUGCACUGACAAAUGCGUCCCUGAAAGAUGAAAAUGUAAUUUGAGUAGAAAAAACACAACCGACCAUGAGACCAAAUUUAUUUUAAAAAAGAAUUUAAUCAACUAAAAUCCCACAAAAUUUAAACUAGAUAAAAUUAAAGUGAAAUUAUAAGUCUUUUUUCUUAAUCAAUAAUAUAUAUAUAUAUAUAUAUAUAUAUAUAUAUAUAUAUAUAUAUAUAUAUAUAUAUAUAUAUAUAUAUAUAUAUAUAUAUAUAUAUAUAUAUAUAUAUAUAUAUAUAUAUAUAUAUAUAUAUAUAUAUAUAUAUAUAUACACCCACCUCAAAUAUGAAAGAAUUUCUUGGAUAAACUUUAUAUACUUCCAUUUGAGACAAUACUUAUUAUACAUAAUAUAAAUAAAAUGAAAAUAGUUACUAACAAAUAAAGAACCCAAAUAAAUUUAAAUAAAACGCUCAAACUAAUAUAGCAGUUAACUUUACAGAAAAACAAAAAAAAACUAAUACAAAUGUUUAUUCUUUACCUUUGGGACGUAGAGUUGUAUCUCUUGUUGAUUUAGGGGCUGCAACAAUCUUGUAUUCCAUUGGACAUACUUUCGCAGUAAUAAAGAUUAAUAAUUAAUUGAAAAAAAAAUCCAAGAAAUAAAAGACUUUCAUUUUUUUAAAUGGUAACUCAAUUUUUUAUAUCAUAAAACUAAAGAAUUUUAUUUUAUUUUGGAAAAUAAGUAGUUAUAUUGAUUAAUUAAAAAACUAAUUAACAAUUUGAUAGAUGGAUAAAUAGAUAGAUAAUCAAAGUAUAAAAAUUCAAAUCUUAAGCUAUAUUUUACUGUCUUUUAAUCCUUUUUCCAUAGCUUCUCUCCUAUACAAUUCAUUAUUAACGUUCAGAUAUAUUUUUCACACUUCUUAUACUUUUGGGGACUAAUUUUUGUAUUUUUAUCUUUCAGGGAUAUAUUUGUUGACAGAGUGAGAAGAUGAAAAGUAAAAAAAAUAUUAUGACAAAUAUGCCCUAUGUUGACAAUCUACGCUAGCAAUCAUUUUAGUGACAAAUUUGUCCCUCCUGUUACGUAGACUAUUUUAUUAAUGAUGACUGACAAAAGUUAACGGCAUGACAUAUUUAUCGCACUUUUUACAUUUUCUGAGACUAAAUUUUGUAUUUUCAUUUUUCAGGGAUGCAUUUGUAACGAAUCACAUGUUGAUGGACAAAAAUGACUAUUUAUCCAAAUUAAUAUCUUAGUUGCUCCUCUCAAAUCUCGACCAUCCGAUUAUUUAUUUGUAUACCCAAUGACUAUCAAUGAGGGUAAAAUUAACAUUUCCUUUUCUAAAAUUAUAAGUCUACGGGUGAACCGCCUAUCUCAUGGUUAGAACUCAUAAGUUGACUCAAAGGUCUUGGGCAAUGUCUUUUUCCAUAUUCAGCAGUGGUGGGGACUUUAAAUGUAUGGUUAAAAUUAGGGAUAUCAAUUUGAAACCACAACCCGGAUCAUUGCGGGAAUUGUAUAGUAUGGAGUUCCACCGAGGGAGCUUUUUUUUUUUUUUUUUUUUUCACGAGGACGGAAAUAAAUGAUUUCCGGUGAACAUAAUGGGAAUGGGAACGACAAUUACAUUCCAUCGAGUAGGAGGAUUAUGUGAUGAGAAAAUUACAUAAUUAUUUUUACAAUAAUUGUUAUUUAAUAUUCUAAAUAUUAAAAUAUUUUUAUACUUUAUUUGCAUUAAAAUAUAAAAUUAAUGUUUUAAAUUGUUGGUGAGAUUUUUUAAAUUUAUUUAAAUUAGAAUUUAAAAUUAAUAUUUUUUUUAACCCACGGAGGAUGGGAAUAUGGUAAAAAAAUCUCCCACCGACAGGGGGUUAGUUGGGUGCGGUCCGGUUGACAUCCCCAGUUAGAAUGGCUAUUUAUGCCCCAUAACAUUUGUCUGAAGCUCCAUUCUUCUUAUACAAUAAUAUCCUUUCAUCUCUUCCAUGUCUUCUGCCUACGGUUACGACGACUACGAUAUCCAUGAUGAUCAGAUUGAGAUGGAGAUGGACUUUCUGCAUGAACGGUAUCAGGAGGACAACAGAAACUAUGACGUGUUUUUGAGUUUCAGAGGGGAAGACACGCGUGCUUCUUUCACUUCACAUCUCUAUACCGCUCUUCGCAACGCGGGAAUCUUUGUUUUCAAGGAUGAUGAGACACUUCCAAGGGGAAAUAAAAUUUCACCCUCGCUGCAGUUAGCAAUCGAAGAGUCUCGAGUUUCUGUUGUUGUUUUCUCUAGAAAUUAUGCAGAGUCGCGGUGGUGUUUGAAAGAGUUGGAGAACAUAAUGGAGUGUCACAGAACAACAGGGCAAGUGGUAGUGCCAGUGUUCUAUGAUGUAGAUCCCUCUGAAGUACGUCAUCAAACAGGCCACUUUGGAAAAGCAUUUCGAAACCUUGAGAACAGACUUUUAAAAGUGGAAGAGGAAGAGGAAGAGGAAAAGCUACAACGAUGGUGGAAGACGCUUGCUGAGGCCGCUGGCAUCUCAGGGCUUUCUGUAGUCCGAAAUUGCAAGUAAUAAAAACACUUCCAGCUUUCUCGUAUUUUUACUGAACAUUGUCUCUGGAAUUUUAGUUUAUGAAAUUCAUAACAUGUACAUGUAUGAAGUGGUCGAAGUGAGAUUUUGGAUAAGAUAGAUCUCCUCGCGCAGCAUUGGAGGGAGGCACUUCGUGAGGCUGCUGGCAUCUCCCCCGGUUCAGUCUCAGAAUUCGGGUAAUUGAGACACUUUAUGCUUUCAGAUUUUUAUUGAACAUUGUCUCUGAAAAUAACAUUUAUGAAAUUCAUGACAUGUAUGACGAAGAAAAAUGGACAUUGCUAAUAAAAUAGACUACUUUGUGGAGCGUUGGAGGGAAGGACUUUUUGUUGCCAUUCGCAUCUCGUGGUAUUUAGACUCAAAUAUUUUUUACUGAACAUUGUCUCAAGAUUUAAUUCCUCAUUUGGUGAGUAUAGUUAUAAAAACAUUACCUUUUAGCUUUUAUACUUAAAAACAUCACAUUCUAGUCGUUGUACAUACCAUUUUUAAUCCAUUUUAGUCAAUGCCAAAGGAUUAAAAAUUACAUGUGUAAGGACUAAAAUGGGAUGAUUUCAAGUAGAGACUAAAAUGUACAGUUUUUGCAUCUAUAAGGACAAAAUAAGAAAUUAAAUCAUACCUAAAAAUAACAUUUAUGAAAUUUAUAACAUGUAUGAAGGAGAGGAAGCUUGAUUACUGAAAAGUUAACAGAUCUCCUUGUGAAGCAUUGGAGGGAAACACUGUGUGAGGCUCUUUGUGAGGCUGUUGGUUUCGAUGGUGCAGACUUAUACUACAGGUAGUUGAGACACCUCCUGCUUUAAGAUUUUUACUGAAUGGUCUCCGAAAAUACUAACUUUCAUGAAAUUCAAAACAUGUAUCAAGUAGAGAAACUGUGAUGGUUGAUAAAAUAGAACUGCUUGUGGUGAAUUGGAGUAAGGCACUUUGCGAGGCUGUUAGCAUCUUGGGGGGUGCACACCUAAAUUCCAAGUAAUUGAGACAAUUUCUGUUUUUAGAUUUAGCUUAAUAUUUUUUUUUAUUCAUAAUAAAUAUUCAAAUUUCGUGUAUGAUCCCUAAUAAAUUUUUCGUUUUGUGUUAAUUCCAUAGUAAAACAACUAUUUUAUUUUUGGUUCUUGGCACUUAGUUUUAAGUCCCUGAUAAAUUAAUGAAUUUUGUAUUCCUUGAGAAAUUUUUUCUAUUUGUUAUUAGUGAAUUAAAAUAAAAUUCGCUAAUUUAUUAGGGAGCAAACAGAAUUCGCUAAUUUAUCAGGGAUUAAAACAAGAUAUCAAGGACAAAAAAUAAAAGUGCUUUAUCAGGAAUUCAAUGUUAAGUAAAAAUUUAGUAGGGAGGAAAGACAAAAAUUUGGUAUUUAUUAGAGAUAAAAAAUAUAUAUAAAGCCUUUAGAUUUUUACUGAACAUUGUUUCUAAAAAUAAUAUUUAUGAAAUUCAUAUCAUGUAUGAAGAGGGGAAAUGAAGCUUGCCUAUGAGAUAAGCCUCCUCAUUAAGCAUUGGAGGGAGGCACUUUGUGAGCAUUGUGGCAUCUCAUGGGAUUUACUCUUAAGUUUCGGGUAAUUUAGAAACUUUCUGCUUUCAUUUCUAUUGAACUUUUUCUCUAGAAAUCAUGUUUAUGAAAUUCAUAACAUGUAUCAAGUUUUGAAGAGGUGAUCAUAAGAGAUUAUAAGGACCUUAUGAUGUCUUGGAAGGAAGCACUUUGUGAGGCUGCUGGCAUCUCGAGGGUUGUAGUCCUAAAUUCCUGGUAAUUGAAACGCUUUGAGCUUUCUUGGUAUUUUUACUAAACAUCGUUAUUACACAUAUAUUAGUUUGUUAUUGGUUCAUGGGUUUAUUUGUUUGUUAUAAACCUACUAUACAAAGCAACUCUGUAUCCACUUUGCUGUGUUGAUCAAUAAAAGAAUUAGCCAUUUCUUAUUCUUGAAUGGUUUCAUGGUAUCACACUAUCACUAUCAGAGCUCCUUUUUGGAACUCUGUUGUGCAUAGUCUUCAAAAAAUGCCUCCUUGCAACAAUCUGAAUGCAAAUAAUCACUCUUCUACUUUGAAUCCAGUACAAGAUCCUAUGAGCCUUUUCUAUGUCAAUCCAAAUGAAAAUCCUGCAGCAUCAAUCGUUUCUUCUCCAUUUUUUUUUUGCUCAGCAAAGAUAUAUAUAUAUAUAUAUAUAUAUAUAUAUAUAUAUAUAUAUGUAAAAGAGUACCAGAGGUACUAAAGUACAAAUAGAUGGUUUCUGGUGAAUUUGGUUCCGAAUCAGAUUACUGAAUCUAGAAAGGAAACAAAUUCAGGCCACUGUUACAAUAUUAUUAGCUCCUCUAAAGUACAUUUGUAUCCACUACUAAUACACAAAUCUUGCUCUAAUAUUACUAGACCAAUGGUUAAAAUGAAUGGAGAAGUCCUUCUCGAAGUUUCUCGGCCAUGUCCACAAUAAGAACGUUGCAUCGUCCAUCAAUUUAUUUCCGUUGAAACGGUCAUUGGAGAAGAUUAACUUGUUCCUAUGUUGCCAAAUAGUCCAAGUCAUGGCCAACCACCAACAUUUCCACCUAGUAGCCCUCAUCCCAUCCACCGAAAUCGAUCCAAUUUGGAGGAAAUAAUGUCUUGGAUUCUGCGGCAGAGGUGCUGCAAUGUUCAACCAAGACAAAGAUUCCCACCAAAUCGGGAUUGUUUUACUACACUGAAAAAAUAGAUGUCCCACAUCCUCCUCGACACCAUUGCAUAGUGGGCAGCUCCUAUCGAUGAUCUCCACCUGUCUCUUGUGCAAAUUGCUUUUAGUCGGCAAUAUAUCUCUGAACAAUCUCCAUGCAAAAACUAGAAUGUUGGAUGAAACCUUUAGCUUCCACAAUUCCUCAAAUGCCUUGUCCUGAAUCCCCAGUGUUGCUUCUCCCCUCAACAAGAUGUAGGCACUUUGUGCCGAGUACAACCCACUAGGAUCUGCCAACCACACCAAGUCAUCACUUUUGUGCAUCUGAAUAGGCUUGCUAUCAAUAUCUUUUAGAAAACUAUCAGCCAUUGGUAUCUCAUCAAAUAGUGACCUCCUCCAUGAUAAAUUCCACUCCCACUCUAGACCAUUAUAUCCUCCUAACUGCUGAAUAAUCUGGUUUUGUUGGCAAGAAAUUGAGUAUAGUCUGGGGUACUUUGCUGCUAGUGAUACUUCUCCAUCUAUCCAUGUAUCUUCCCAAAACUUGACCUUGUCUCCACAUCAGACUAUUCUUGAAGUCAUGUCCCUGUUGUGUAUUUUGAAACGCUACCUUUAGGUCCCUCCACCAUAUGGAUUCCUUAUUACCACGAGAUGGUAUGUCCAAACUCCUCCACCCACCAUAUUUGGAUUCCAGAACCCUAGCCCAUAGCUUGCCUUCAUGCUGAAAUAAAUCCCACUUCCAUUUGUCAAGCAAAGCGAGAUUGAAGAAAUUUAUGUCCUUGAUGCCUAGGCCCCCUUUAUCUUUGGGAAGGCAAACUGUCUCCCAUUUGAUCUAUGCAAUCUUGUUUUGUUCUGAUCCUCCACCCCAUAGGAAUUUGCGUUGAAUGCUUACUAGCUUGUCCAAUGCCUUCUUGGGAAUCCUAAAAAAAGAUAAGAAAUAAAUAGGAAUGGAGGUUAAUAUCGACUGUAUGAGAGUCACUCUCCCCCCAUGGAAAGGUUUCUUUGCUUCCACCUAGCUAGCUUUCUCUCACACUUUCUGAGAAUAGGAUCCCACAUCUGAUACCGUCUAGGGUUUGCCCCUAUAGGUAUUCAAAGGUAAGCAAACGGAAUGGAUAACAAACUACAAUUCAAACAACCAACUGCCUCGCGCUUCCACCUAUCCGGCAUUCCAAUUGCACCAAAACUACUUUUAGCAAAGUUAAUUUUAAGGCUUGAUGCAAGCUCAAAGGUCCUCAGAAUUGCUUUGAUUGUCUUGAUAUUCUCCAUUGAUGCCUCUCCAAAAAAUAUUGUAUCAUCCGCAUAUUGAAGGAUGUUAAUAUCCACAUUAUUUGAGCCCACUGAGAAACCCCUGAGUAAGUUUUUCUUCACCCCUUCUCUUACCAGCCCAGUUAAUGCCUCAACAACAAUAUUGAAAAGAAGUGGUGCUAGUAGGUCCCCUUGCCUAAGCCCUCUUUGUGGGAUAAACUUAGGCAAGGGACUGCCAUUUAUCAGUACUGAGACAGAUGCGAAUAUUAAACACCCCUUGAUCCACUGGAUCCAUUUGGAGCAGAAUCCCAGCCUGCUAAGCAUGUAGAGAAGAAAUUUCCAGCAAACUGAAUCAUACACCUUCUCAUAAUCCACUUUGAAGACAAUGCAUGGCUUCUUGCUUCUUUUAGCCUCCUCAACCACCUCAUUCGCUAUCAGUAUGCUGUGUAGCAAGUGUCUACCCCUAUGAAUGCUGAUUGCCUUUCAUAAAUGAUGAUUGGCAUAGCCUUCUUCAGUCUGUUAGCCAAUACCUUAGCCACUAUCUUGUACAUACAACCAAUGAGUGAUAUGGGUCUAUAUUCAUCCAGAGCUUGUGGAUCAGCCACCUUAGGUAUUAAAGCUAGGAAAGAGGCAUUGCAGCCCUUCGAGAACGAUUCAGUUACAUAGAAUUCGUCCAUAAACUGAAGUGUAAAUCAUGAAGAUUUUAAUGAUGUCAAGAAGAAUUUGUUUGAGAAAGGGGGAGAAAGUAAAUCAUGCAAGCUUUGAUGGUGUCGAGAAGAAAUCACAUGUUUGUCAUCAUCAAAAAGGGGGAGAAUGUGAAUGUAUGUAUACAUGAUUUUGAUGAUGCGAAAGAAAAAUCAAACAAAGUUGCUUCAAAGGAUAAGCAUGGCUUCAAGAUUAAUACAAGAUUGCUUCAACAAACAAAGCCUUGCUUAAAGAUUAACUCAAGAUCAAACCUUGCCUUAAAACAAAGUGCUUUCAAGUCAUUCAAGGCUCUGGUAAUCGAUUACCAGGCAAUGUAAUCGAUUACCAGAAGACAGGGUUGAGAAAUAACUGUUAAAAAUGGUUUUGAACUUGAAUUUUCAACAUGUAAUCGAUUACCAUAUGUCUGUAAUCGAUUACCAGCAACGAAACUUCUGAAAUUCAAAUUCAAAAGUCAUGACCCUUCAAAUUAUAACUGUGUAAUUGAUUACACAGACAUUGUAAUCGAAUACCAGUAGAGAGUUUUCAGAAAAUCUGCCAACAGUCACAUCUUUUCAUUGGAUUUGUGAAUGGCCAUCAAAGGCCUAUAUAGGUGACUUGGGAACGAAUUUUAUGAGAGAGUUUUGCUGGUCCAAAAUGUCUUAUCCUCUCAAAAGAAAAUGAGAGAGAUUCCAAGAGAACUUCAUUGUCAAAUGCUCUCUCAAGAACUCUUGGGCAAACACUUGCAAAUCCAUUAAGAGUUCAUCCAUGGAUCUUCAUUGUAAUAUUCUUCUCUUGAAGAGAGAAUUCUUCUUCCAUUCUUCUUCCAUUCUUCUUACUCAAUGAGAUUGAUUAAGGGACCGAGGGUCUCUUGAGUUGUAAGGAUUCCUGAACACAAGGGAUGGGUUGUCCCUGUGUGGUUCAGACUUUGUAAACGGAUUUUUACAAAGAUAAUGGAAAUCUCAAGUGGGUUGCUUGAGUAUUGGACGUAGGCACAAAAUUUGCCGAACCAGUAUAAAACUGUGUUUGCAUUCUCUCUUCCCUUAUCUCAUUUAUUUUGUUGCAAUCAAUCUUGUCUUUUAUAUUUGAAGAACAUUAUCAAAUUGAUUGUUGCUUCUUCUGCAUGCUAAGCCUAUCCCUCUUAAGUUAUUGAGGCCACAAGGUCCAACAUGAAGGACAUCAGGUUUGAUUACAUGCCAAAAGCUCUUAAUGAAUUUGAAAUUGAGUCCGUUUGGGCCGGGGCUUUUCUCACUACCACACUCCCAAACAGCAUGUUUAAUCUCAUCCUCGUGGAAGCGCCCCACUAGCAUGCUAUUUUCUUGUUGGCCAAUGUUCUGAAAGCUGAUUCCAUCCAGACGGGGUCUAUCAUGGUCAAAUUCUUGGAAUCGAUGCAAAAAGAAAAGCCUGACUGCUUCUUUUACUCUUGCCGGUUCUUCAGUCCAUGAGCAAUCAAUCCACACUCCAUUGAGAGAGUUGCAUCUUCAACUAUCAUUUACCAUCAGAUGAAAAUAGCGGGAGUUGCAAUCCCCUUCUUUAAUCCAUCGAGAUCUCGCCUUCUACCUCAUCAAUGAUUCGUGAGAUUGAGCGGCUACCCACAACUCUUCCUGGAGUUGUUUCAUGGUCAUGGCUUCCUGAGGAGAAAGGUGUCUGUCGGUUGUUCUCUCUUCCAACUUGUUCAUCUCUUCUUCAAUCUUCUUGAAUUUCUUAAAAGUAUCCACAAAAUGGUCCUUGUUCCAUAUCUUCAGGCUUGCUUUCAACCUCUUUAUUUUUUCUUUGAGCACGUAACCUCCCCAACCCCUUAUUUGGUGAGAUGUCCAACAUUCAUGUACAAGUGUCCUGAACGAAUUGUCCAUCAGCCAACAAUCAAGGAUCCUGAAUGGCUUUGGGCCCCAAUCUACUGACUUAGAUCUGAGCAACACUGGGCAAUGAUUAGAAAAGUUCCUGUCUAGUGGGUGCUGGGAACUCCCCAGCCAUUUGGCUAGCCAAUCUGAAGAUACCAUGAAUCUAUCAAGUUUGCUCUUGGCAGCUCCAUUGGGCCUAAACCACGUGAACNNNNNNNNNNNNNNNNNNNNNNNNNNNNNNNNNNNNNNNNNNNNNNNNNNNNNNNNNNNNNNNNNNNNNNNNNNNNNNNNNNNNNNNNNNNNNNNNNNNNUUUCUUCCCACCCAUGGUACGUCCUCUACUUCCAGCUGCUCAAUCCACUCAUUAAACUCGUUUAUACUGCUGUCCUCCAUCCUUCUCUGACAGACUCCCAACCUUUCUGAGGAUUUCUGAUGUUGUGAAGUCCCCCAUUAUACACCAUAAUCCCCCCUGAUUCAAAGAAUUUCAGCUGUUUGAUGUUGUCCCAAGGGUAGUCGUUUGGACUGGAUAUCACAUGGCGAAUACACACUUACAAUAUGAACCAGUUGUGCCUCCUUAAUCCACUGACCAAUUAACAGGAUAAAGCCUGUUCCAAUAACUUUCCUCUCUAAUAUGAAGGUCUUAUCACUCCACAAGCAUAAGAUCUUUCCUGCAGUAUUAACUGCUGGUUGCAUUUCCCAAGAAACCUGCGGGUCUCCCCAUAAUGCCUGGCACAAGGAAUUGUCAAUUGUCUCCUUCUUUGUUUCCUGGAUACAGAUCAUAUCAGCGUUCUCUUUUUUAACCAAUCUCCGUAUGGCUGGCAAUUUCACCCCCCUCCCUAACCCUCUGACAUUAUAUGUAAUAAUGUUCAUAGAUUAACACUUGUGUUUCCUAGUCUCUCCGCCUCUUUUCUAUCUCUUUCUUCUAGUGUCAUAAUUUCUGAACUAGCCUCUCUUGGUCUACUACUGAUGUUGCUCCCAAUUGUUUUGCUAUACUCCACAUCUCUGUUGCAUCUUGCUUCAAUUUUCCUUCUUGGUCUACAUUCUCCACUGCAUCCCGAGAUGAGAAUAUCUCCGGUUGGCCAGAAAUGUCAUUAAGCCCCUUAGUAUCUUUCCCUGCUUCUUCUACGGGUUGAUGCUAUUCGGUGAGUUCAUUUAGUUGUGGUUGUGUUCCAUGGACUUCAAUAUUUGCACAACCCAGCCCCUUAGUAUCUUUCCCUGCUUCCUCUACGGGCUGAUGGUGUUCAGUGAGUUCCUUUAAUUGUGGUUGUGUUCCAUGGACUUCAGUAUUUGCACUGCCCAUCUGUGGUUGUUUUUUGAACCUCCUUGUUCUAGAAUACACAUGCCAUGAAGGGGCUGUGGCAACAAUUUCAGAUUGUGGGCUGAGGGCAAGGGGUGUAUUACCCUUGAGGGGGGUGCAGAAAGAAAAGCCCAUAUUUUUUGAAUUAUCCUGCUCCCUAGGAUGGUCACGUGACUGUUUCUGCCUCAAUAUUUGUUCAUGCACGACAUCUCUUUUAAUUUCUGGCUCAAUUUCACUAAUAUAGCAAAUUUCCUUUCCCACUUUGUCAUUUCGCUUCCCGAUAGCCUGCAAUUGAUCAUCGUCACAGGUGCCAUUCUCUGCAUUGUUGACUUCAGCCCUUGUUGGUUGGUGGACUUCCCGUUCUGCACCUUCACCCAAAAUGGGAUCUGCCAUGCUUCCUUUCCAGCUAGUCCGAGUUAUCCGCAAGUUACUGGUAUUACCCAGUGGUCCUUGCUUUACAUAUUGACCACUGGGUAAUUGCGCAAAUUGCUCCGCAUGGCCUCCGAGGUCCGUCACGUUGUCCAACGCGGUGUCGCUCAUUGCAUUUCCCCCAAACGCAGUUGCGCUGUUGGGUGCGGCCUCAAGCAUGGCAUUUAUGUCCACUUCCGUUGCAGCGCCGUGCGCAGUGAGCUCAGGCUGCGCGCCCCGAUGCGCUCCCUCAGUAGCAAUCGCGCUGUCAUUCGCGACUCCACGCAUGGCAGCUGUAGCCUCGUCCGUCAUGGCUUCAGGGGUAGCAAGGUCUUGUUGCGCUCCCUGGUUCUCCAUCUGCACCAUCUCAAUCGUGAAAGGCUAGACAUGUCUCCUUAUCGAGGUUGCGUUGAAGCCACCAUCCUCCACCAGUGUUCGACUGGCUUCCAUGAGCGGCGUCCCGACAUCGCUAACAUCUGUAGCUAUUUCUUCCGAUGACCCAUACACUCUCCUGCACCGGCAAUGGUGUGUCUCUGGGCAGCUCCCACCCUCCUCCACUAUAUGCACACCGUACACCUCUUCUCGGAUGUGUACGUUAACAGUGUGUUGUAUAAUCAGCUUCCAUGGAGUUUUGAUCAAGAUUCUUGCCCUGUCCAGCCUCUGAAGCACCUCUACGUCGUCGUCAACGUCCACUAAAUCUCCAAUACCAGACACUAUCUUCCUGAUGUGUUCUGUGUUCCAGGCCACUAAUGGGAUACCCCAGCAGUUCACCCAAGUCAGCUGGCAUCCAGGACAUAACUUCGGGUUCCACUUUUCUAGUGAGUGGAACAGGGAGAGUCCUCCUUCGGUUUCUUCUUCCAUAAUCCGUUUGGCUCUGUCAUCAGAGAGGCAUAGCAGGAGUACCAUAUCAUCUCCCAUGUAUUUUAGCGAUAUGUCAGCUCCAAUAUCCCAAAGGAAAUCAUCCUCAAGCCUAUCAAACAUAGUCAAAUUCUUUAGUCUGCCCACCCACGCGUCGUUGAGCCAUUAUGUCCCUAUUGUUGUGAAGUCAAGAUACACCGAUGACCUUGAUGUGUUAUGGAUGUCUGGGCUGCCCCUUGGGGCUGAGUGUCGUUUGUUCCCUACCACGACCUCCGCGUAAGACCCUUGAUGCACUAUCGGAAAUGAAUCUCUUCGAGAAGGUUCCCACUCUCCCUUUUACUGUUUCUGUUCUAUGUAGUUAACUUCUGGCAGUAUUUGUGCGUCCUUAGCCCUCCCAUAUCUUGGGAUGUUAACAUACAUCUUCAGUCCACCGAAAAUGCUAUUGUCUAGCUUCUUUUCUUAGCUGUGCACAUCCUCCCUCCCUUUGAAUCUUACAAAACCAUAUCUUUUACCAAUCUUGUUCCUGUGUCUGGACAAGAACACUUCCCGUAUGUCACCAUAUUAUUUGAAAUGGAGCCAUAGUGCUUUCUCUGUCGCAUCCUCAGGGAAGCGGGUGAAAUAAAAUGAUUGUAUAUCAUUCUGCCCUCUCCAGUUAGCUUGAUAGUAGCUUUGUGGUUGUCCAUUCCUGUUCCAAACCUGGUUCCGAUGAGGAUCCACUCUCUCUCUCCCUCUGUCUCUCUCUCCCUCGCCUGGUUCUCACUGUCUCCCACCCCUCUCAGUCUCUAUCUCUCUCUCGCUGUCUUUCUUCUCCGUUGACUGGUAAGAAUCACCACAAGUGGACUCGAGCGAUGCAGUAAGCGUUGAUUACGAAGAACAAGUAGAAAUUAGUUGAUGGAAGCAUCGAAAAACUUGAUCGGUGUGAUCCGAUUGACAAAACAUGGGAAAGAUGCAACAACAGUUUGGUACGUUCCUGGAUUAUGAUCUUUGAUGCUAGGAGGAACUUGCGAGAAAGAUUCUGAUUCUAGGAAAGCAUGGUUGACUCUGAACUUUCCUCUGAUGCUAGGAGGAAUUUUCGAGAAAAAGAUUCUCACAGACAGAUCUGGUAAGAAUUUCCAAAAUUCAGGAAGGCUUCUAUUCCUUCAAACAGAAUUCACUUUCUAUCACUCAAUUUGUUAAUGAACUCACAAUACUGGAUAAUGCUGGAUAAUGUUUUCAGUGAAAGGAAUUGGAGCCUAAAAAGGCAACGGAGCAGCCUGUUGUAACAGGCCUCAAUGGUGAAUAAUACAAGACUCUCAUUUAGCACGUGUUUGAAUAAAGUAUUUAAAGAGGGUCAUGUAAUUUUUUAGGGUAUUUCAAUUGAUACUCAGGAAAAUACAACUUUUGGAUAUCUACUUUCAGAAUUUCAUAAAUUCUCCAUUUUUUCAGUCCUUUGUUAAAAUGAGGAAUUUACAAUUCCACUAAAAUAGGUGGAAUUUCAAAUUCCACCCAUCACACACCACACGCCCUUUCCUCUUGGUUCUGUUGCCUAUUGACAACAGAAGAUUACUCCAUGAGAUCAAUUUUCAACAACCUCCUGCAACCGGACACUCAUUGGAGCUCAAUAUUCCUCAACCAAGAUGAGGGCACGAGUUGAAAACUCAACACUCAAGCAUCGUUUGCUGCAGGAUUCUGAUAGACAUGGCACAUACAUGACAUCGAUUGCUACCAACAGGCAUAUUUCUCAGUGUACACAUUCUAACAUCUUCACCACCGUCAAUGACGUCGACGCGGAUCCCUUAACGUGGUGGUUUCGUUCCUCCUCACCAUCAAUGCUAUCAGGGUUGCAAAGCUUCAAACAUGGCUAAUGCUUUGUCUUUGACCCAUCAACUAGAAUGUUGCAGUAGUAAAAAUCUUGGACCGUCACUGUUGGAGAAGUUUCUCAGGUAGAAGGAUAUAGUGGAGACAAAUCAGUUUUGAGUUUUGAAAGGAUGGCAAGCAGAUAAUAAACAAUUGAUCCAAAUUAAAUUAAUAACCCAAACAUCUGCAAUUGAAUGAAAUUUGAUAUCCUUCAUUUGAAUUACAUUGAAUUUUAAAAUCUCUGGUAUUUUAAAACUUUCUAUCCAAACAUAGAAGGUUUUUGGCUCACUGUGUCUGUUAUGUCUCUACACUUGCUGCUGCCUACAAAGGAAAAUUUGAAUGUAGAGCCCAAAAAUAUGCCUUUUGGGGGGGGGGGGGGGGUGGGGUACAAGGCAGGAGUUAAAGGAUAUUUAGCAUAUGACAUUCAUAGCAAAGAAAUUUUGAUAUCCAGGAAUGCUCAAUUUUAUGAACACAUAUUCCCUUGCCUCUUUCAGUCCAUCUCUCUACCAUCUUUGUUGUCAAUGCUGCUAUUUGCAUUAACCAACAAAGACAACUACCUAAACAUGUAAAGGACUAUAUUUUAUUUGUCUGAUCACUACUACUAAGCCAUCAAAAUGCCUUUAUCCCAUUAGUUCUUACCUCUCCUAUCAGUCAUUAUCCCCUAAUCACAAAGCUUAUGGCCUUUUCAUUUCUACCUUAAUUGACCCACCACUUUCACACAAACCAACAAGGAUCAAUGUUGGUUGAUGCCACGCAGGCAGAACUUAGAGCUUUAGAGGGAAAUCAGACCUGUUAGAUUGUGGUUUGCCCCCCGUGUUCAGGGACGGAUUUAAGGGGGUGGUUGCUUGCCCCCCUCCUUCAAGAUUCUUUAUCUACAUGAGAAUUAAAAUAAAAUUAGAUUUAGAAGUAUUUUUUUAAAAAAUGUUUGUCUUCAUCUCUCCCACUCACCAACUUGGUUGUGCCACUUCCUCUGCCCCCAUCAAUAGCUGUUGUGGUGGCGGCGUAACAGGUGAUCCCGUUCUCAGAGCUGGAGAGGCUGAAUUGCAUCCUUCUCCUCUCAUCGAGCCACCCACCACUUCCACUUCCGAUUCUGAGGAAGAUCUCCCACCACCACCAAUUUCCAAAAACCCUCCUCCCCUUCAGCCCCAACACUUUUCCUCAGAAUCCGAAACUGAAUCGGGAUCCGAGACCAAAUAUGUGUGAUGUUCUCUCUAUCUAGACUUGCACAACCUAACCAAUACCUCUGUGUCGUGCACAACCUCUGCUCCCAACACCCCUUGUCCUUCUCUAUCCCUCACCUGAAUACGCGUGUGACCCACCCUAUAACCUCAAGGCAUGCGUGCGACCACUAUAAACCAGAUCUUGAAUUGUUGUGCUACCUCCACCCUCAGCCUUGUUAUUAUUGGGUUGAGUUUUAGAAAGUUAUGGAGGGCACCAAAAAAUGGUUUUCCUGGUAGUUUCUGAAUUUUAUUCCCAUUGACAAAUUAUAUACACAAUUUUUCAAUGCUUGUUGCAAUUUAGUGAAUGUUCAUUGAAAUUGAACAUCCAUUUGAGACAAUUUAUUGAUUUUAAAGAUUGUUGAGAUUUUGGCAAAUGAAAGUUGUAAAUUAGAAGCAAAGCAUUUUGAACGGAAUAUGCAGAUUGUUGCUCUGGUUGAUGUUGGAAGUUGUUGGGGUUUUGGGUGUUUGCAUACUAUUGUGGUGGUGGUUGUGUCAUAGUGAAAGUUUUUGUGGCUGGCGGAGAUUGUGAUGGCAGAAGCGGUUGUGAAGGUGAAGAGGACCAAAAGGGUGGCGAUGAGUAGGAGCAUAUUGGGGUUUAGGCUCAACACAGAAAGGGGUAGUAGAUUGGGAAAAGAAAGAAAAAAAAGAAAAUUUUUUAACAUGCAAAACGAUGUUGUUUUUUACUUUUUUUCCAUGUGUAAUCCCAUUCAGACAAAAAUCACAUGUGGCAUCACACAAGGCAUGCUUGCAUGGUUGGUUAAAGGCCACGUAGGCAAAUAAUGAUCUCGGAUUAACGGUAGGGACUUGAGACAAAUUUUUUCAAAUAUUAAGGACUUGAUCCAAAGGAAAAAUUUAUUAAGGACCAAAUGUAAAAAAUGGGUAUUGAUCAGGGACCAAAAACAUAUUUAAGUCUUUUAUUUAUCAAAUAAUUAUUUAUUAGAAGUUAAAUAAUUAUGUAAAAAUAAAAAUUGACCCCCCACCCCCUUUAAUGCAUUCCUGGAUUCGUCCUUCUGCCAAUGUUGUGCCCAUUGUCCGCCAAUGGGUGUACAAAAUUAAGAGGAAACUGGAUGGAUCUAUUGAGAGCUUGGUUCGAGGCUUGGUUGGUGACCAAAGGUUAAUUGCAACCAUAUUAAGGGUGUGAUUACUUUAAUACUUUCCCUCCAAUGGCAAAGUUAACCAUAAUCCGAGUUUGACCUUUUGGCUUUGGUAUCUAUCAACAAUUGGUUCAUUCACCAAUUGGAUGUUAAUAACGCAUUUCUCCAUGGGGAUCUAAAGGAAGUGUGUAUGUGCAAGUGCCUCAAGUGCCAAGAAAUAAUAAGGUUUGCAAGCUUGUUAAGUAACUCUAUGGACUUAAACUAGUUAGUCGCAAAUGGUAUGAGAAGUUGAAUUUCUUGCUUCUCCAACUUGGAUUUCAACAUUCUAUAGUUGAUCACUCCUUUUUUAUUCGUCACACAGUUGAUUCCCUUACUACUUGUGUAUGUAGUUAACGUAGUCAUUGUUGGAAAUUCUAUGGAUAUGAUAACUUCGUUCAAGCAGAUUUUAGAUAAUCAAUUUGGCAUCAACGAUUUGGGCAUUCUUAAGUUCUUUCUUGGUUUUGAAGUUUCUCACUCAUCAAGAGGUAUCUCUUUAUGCCAAGGCCAAUAUUGUCUCGAUCUCUUAAGUGAUGCUGAUGUUCUCAGUGCCAAACCUGCAACCACCCCUUCUAAACCUACCUUGAGACUUUGCCAAGAUGUCAUCUCCUAUAGCUGACUUUCACAAGCUCAGAUAUAUCCCAUGCUGACCAACAACUUUGUCAAUUUUCAGCCCUCCCAACAGUGAGUCAUCAUCAAGUAGCCCAACACGUACCUUGGUAUUUGAAAGGGAAUCCCGGCGAAAGGACUUUUCUUAAUUUCCUGUGUCAUCUAUAAUACAACUCCCUGGUUUUAGUGACACAGAUUAGGGUGGAUGUCUCAAUACUAAUCGUUCUAUGUCUGCUUAUUGUUUCUUUUUGGGAGACUCGGUCAUUGGUUUGUUGGAAAUCCAAGAAGCAGUGAGCAGUGGCAAAGUCCUCAUCUGUGGCAGAAUAUCGAGCCUUAGCUCAGCUACUUGUGAGCUGCAAUUGUUGAUUUUUCUUCUUCAAGAUCUCUCCUUUACUUUUUCCAAACAGUCGAUGAUCUGAUGCAAUAAUCAAAGUGCUUUGUACAUCGCAACCAAACCCAUUUUUCAAGAGAGGACCAAGCAUCUCGAGAUUGAUUUUUAUGUUUUCCGCGAGAAAUGUAUGGUUGGAUUCAUGCCACUGCUACCCUAAUACACCACUGACCAAACUGAAGACCUCUUCACCAAAAGUUUACAUCCCAAGAAUUUUCAGAAAUUUGUUUUCAAGCUGGGAUUGAUUUCUAUUUUCCAACCCACAACAUGAGGGGGAAUAUUACACUUGUAUUAGUUGGUUACCGGUUCAAUGGAUUUAUUUGUUUGUUAUAACCUGCUAAGCCGAUUUAGAUAGUCCACUGUAUAAAGAGGCUUUGUAUGAAUUAUCCAUUUGUUAUUCUUUAAUCGUUUAAUUGUCUCUUAAAAAUAACAUCUAUGAAAUUCAUAACAUGUAUGAAGGGAAAAAGUGAAGAUUGCUGUUAAAGAGAUGAAACAUUGGGCACAGGCACUUCGUGAGGCUGCUAGCAUCUCAGGGAUUGUAGUCCUAAAUUCCAAGUAAUGAAACACUUCUGCCUUCUCACAUUUCUUCAUCUAACACUCAACAUUUUUUAAUACUUCAAAUGUUUAUGUACGAUAGUAGCGUAAUUGUACACUUUUUAAAUUGGCUAUUAACCAAAUUAAUCAACCAUCAUUUCUAAUUUUUUUCCUCGUUACUUUUAUUAUUCAGAGGUCAUGUUUAAAGCAUUUUAUAGAAAGAGAAAUAUUUAAAAGAUGGAAAUAGAGUUAAUAUACAUGGUAGAUUAGCAGAGUAAGAAUAAUUAUGGCAAUUUAGUGUUUAUAAAACAAUAUAAAAAAAUUAAGGUUAAAUAAAUAUUUCCUUUUCUUGAACUGAAGCAAGGUUGCCAAAGGCAAUAACAUCUGAUUUUAAAAGAGCCAAAAUCUGGGGAGGAGCGUCCUCGAGCCAGUACAUUUCAAGAAAAUUAAAAGCUAACAUAGCUAAUUUAUCAGCCACUAAAUUCCCUUUCCCUCUUUGUGAAACUAAAGGCAGAUUUCUCCUUCUAUUCGUAAGAGAUUCAAAAUCCUUUAGAAUUUCUGCCUGGUAAGAGACAAAUCUUGUCUUCUAUGAUUCUUCCAUGCCAUAUGCAGAAGUUAACUAUUAGUCUCAAAUGUGGUGUUUGAAAAACACAUGUGCCCCAGCGUCUUAAUAUCCCACUUGAAUGUUAUCACUUCUUCAAUAAGAGGAUCGUAGCAAUAUGGAAUAAAGAGGCAGGCUGAAGCCAAAUGGUUACCAGUAUUGUCCCUGAGAAAGAGAGAGACAACUUUUUUGAUAUUUUUCAUUCCUUUCUGCAGAAGGCGAUACAUACCCUUAUAUACUCGCUACUAGGGAACAAGUUCCCAACAAUAAUAACCAAAACGAUAGUGCAAUCCUAACAAAAUUAUUCACCACUACAAAGGCACUACCAGCUACUACGGACUUCAUAUAUGUGGAUGCAUGCUGCAUGGGUCAUAGCUAACCAUGUUGUACAUACUCUAUGUGUUGCCUUCCUUUUGGGUCUCUGUUACGAACAGAAGUUGAUAAUGCUGGGUUCGAGGCCAGCUCCUCCAGAAAUAAAGGGGGGGGGGGAAGAAGAAGAGCAGAGAGGAGAGGAAACUUUGCUAUUUUCAUUCAUGCCUCAUGUUGUUAUUACAUAGUCCUAUAUAUAUUGAAUUCUAUGUAACUAAUUUUGGCAUUUUGUGAUUUCUAGAAUGCUCAGAAUUCAGCAAUUUGGUUAUUCUUGUUUGUUUCUGUUUGCACCUCCUGCACUUUGUUUCUUGCUGCUAUAUGUUUCCCUGUCAUUGUUUCUGCUUGCACCUCCUGCACUUUGUCUGCUGCUAUAUGCUUCCCUAUCACUCCCUACCCCGUCAAAAACACCUUGUCCUCAAGGUGUUAGGCAUUUAAACUACAACCUCCAAAAAUAAUACCAGGAUCCCAUGGUUUAUUUUGACGAACCUGCAAUUCCACAAAGUGCCCGUGAGGAAAGAACAUCACGCGUAAUGGUGUUGGAGCCGUCCGACAAGGUAAGCUCAGAAAGAUCGAUAGUGGAGGUUGGAAGAAGGUGUGGGUACUUCUCCCAUCAGUAAGGAGGACCACUCGAUUACCGGAGAGAAGGUCGGCGGGGCGCAAAUUUCUCGAUGCUAAAUCACCCGAGAAGAAGGUCAAACUAAUUUGGGCCGAAUGGAUCGGGUGCGGGUUGGGUGUGGGUUUUGGGUCCGGGUCAGGUUUGAGUUUUGGGCUAGGGUCAGGUGUGGGUUUUGGGUCUGAGGUCGGGUCAACUGGGUCCGUAUUAAGGCAAUUGGAAUCUUCAUCUUCAGCAACCAGAAGGGAAGCUUUAGAAACGCCGUAAUGCCCUUUAGGGUAUCGUUCGUCACAAGUGAAACACAUCCCACGCUUUCGUCAGAAAGUGGGUUCCUCCGGCGUCAAGCGUUUCACCAUGGGUGGCGGAGAUGGUGGUGAUGGCAAAAGAGGCAGAAUUAUGGUGGAACGAGGGGGUGGGGGUGCGGAUGUGGAGGCAGACGAAGGUCCAUCAUUUGCUGCUCCUGGAGCUUCGCAAGGCCGGCGGCCUGGUCCACAGUCAUGGGCUGAUGGGCCUGGACUGCGCGGCGGAUCUCCGGCCUCAAACCCGAGAUGAAGCAAGGCAAUAGGAAGGGGGCCGACAAGCCGAUAAUUCUAUUAGCCAAGUCUUCAAACUCCUUCAGGUAUGUGAGCACUGAACCCGUCUGAGUGAGUUUGAACAGGGCACCAGUGGGGUCCUCAAACGGUGAUGGGGCGAACCAGGGUUUUGCAGGAACAAAAGUGGUGUGGUGAGAAACCGGUGUGGGUUUGGGCAUGGUGGAGGAAGGCAUAGGAGCAUGGCGGAAGAAACACUGGUCCAGGUUGAGGUUCGUAGAGUGCAUGACAUUGUCAAGAUGAGCAAGGGCCUCGUCGAGGUUGCGGAAGGCCAUGAGGACAAAUGAGAGCACCAAUUGUUACGAACAGAAGUUGAUAAUGCUGGGUUCGAGGCUAGCACCUCCAAAAAUAAAGGGGGGGGGGGGGGAAGAAGAAGAGUAGAGAGGAGAGGAAACUUUGCUAUUUUCAUUCAUGCCUCAUGCUGUUAUUACAUAGUCCUAAUAUAUUGAAUUCUAUGUAACUAAUUUUGGCAUUUUGUGAUUUCAAGAAUGUUCAGAAUUCAGCAAUUUGGUUAUUCUUGUUUGUUUAUGUUUGCACCUCCUGCACUUUGUUUCCUGCUGCUAUAUGCUUCCCUGUCACUGCUUCUGCUUGCACCUCCUGCACUUUGUCUGCUGCUAUAUGCUUCCCCAUCAGUGUCACGCUUUUUUGCUUAUUGCAGACCCCUUGCUUCCUGUAGUCCCAAUUUGGUAUCCCUAUCAAAGACCCUUGCUGUGAAGUCUGGGUUGCUUAAAGCUAUAAUUUCACUCAUCCAAGCAUUGAAAUUUGAAAUGGCAGAGCUCGAAUAUACCCCCACAUUUGAUGCUAACCAUAUUCUCUUGACACCCUCACAGCCAAUCAAAGCAUGAAUCGUUGUUUACUCCUUACCAUGGGCACAUUGGACCAAUAUGCAUUCCCCUUUUGAUCAGGUUUUGUCUCACUCAGAGAAUGUUGUGGCAUGCCCUCCACACAAGGUUUUGGCAUUUUGGUGCAAUAUCAGUUUUCCAAAUCUCUGGACCUAAAUUUCUAGCUAUAGAACUUGUUGAUCCCACCUCAUUUUGCAUCUUUUUCAUCUCACACCGGCAACCGGAUUUGACAUUGUACCUCCCAUCCAUAGAAUGUCGCCAUUUAGCUUGUCUUCCUUUCCCGUUUCAGUCAAAGGAAUGCUGUGAAUUUCUUCCUUAUAUGUGACAGAAAAAGCAUCUUAAUAAGCUCCCCCUUCCAUUGUCUUGCUUCAUCGUUAAUGAGAUCAGCCACUAGCAAAGGAUUUACUUCUUGUGAUUCGUGUGGGACAUGGUAUAAAGAUACAUCUCCACUUUGGAGCCAUUUGUCUUCGUAAAUCCUCCAUAACACUCUUCCUUCAUUAUAUCCUUUGACGCCAUAAUAAUACUAGACCACACAUAACUUGGUCUAUGUCCUCUGGAUGCGUCUAAAGGGUGAAAUCGUGGAUAGUAUUUUGCCUUUAGCACUCGGGCCACCAAUGAAUUUUCAAAACAUAUGAGGCCCCACCAUUGCCUUCUCUUUCCACCCUAUUACUUUCAUCCACACUCUUUAACAAAUUGGAAGACCUAUGAUUUUGAUCUACUUAUGAAUGUGGACAAUCCUAGGUAUUUGUCAUGACUUUCCACUACCUUUACACAAGAAGCCUUGUUAGCUCAUCAAUUCUGGGACUAGGAAGAUUUCGCUUACAUGAGAGUUAUUUCAUAGGACAUCAAAAUAUUCACUAGCCUUUUUGCCUCCUCCACCAUGGCUCUACAGAAAAUCAAAAGCUUAUGUUGCGUUAUAAUUAAUCAUUCUAAGUUUCAUCAAUAAUAGGGGGAAGAAUACACUUUAGCCUGUUAGCAAUAGUUUUUGUAAUAAUCUUAAACAAAACAUUACAAAGGCUAAUAGGUCUAAACUCACUAGCAUGAGAGGGAUUUUUUACCUUUUGGAUAAGAGUCUCAUUUAUCAUAGAAGGGUCUUGGUCGAUCACCAUUCAAAAUAUUCAGGGCCAUGUUUGUGACCUCCUCUCUAAUAAUAUAUGCCAAAACUUCUGAUAGAAUAAAGCUGGAUUGCCAUCUUUCCUGGGAGCUUUGGUGGGGUGCACUACUCUAAAAGGCUUCAUAAAUCUCCUCUCUUGAAAACUCCACAUCCAGAAAGGAUCACAUCUCUCCAUAAUUUCUCCCCUCCACAAGGCUUGCAAUUUCUGUCAUGCCAUGAGGCGGAGAUGUGGUAAAAAGAUCAGAGAAAUGCUUUGUUAAUACCUCACCAAUGUCCUCUGCAUUCCUAUACACAUUUCCAUCAUCAUCCUGAUUCUUCUUUGUGGUAUUGACUUGCUUUCGGUGGGAUGUUUUUCUAUGAAAGAAAGUUGUGUUCCUAUCCACAUACAUCAACCACUCCACCUUCAACCUCUGCUUCCAAAGGACCUCCUCAAGCCUUAAAGGCUCCUCCAACUCACCUUCAAUCUCAACUUUUGUGUUUGUUAAGAAACUGACCUGGGGGCUGUGUUGAAUCUUAAAUAGUUUAUUUCAAAGCCUUUUGAUUUUUUGAGACAAAUUUCCAAACCUUUGUGACCCACACUCAUCUAAAUUCGCCCCUAGCUGGGUAAUAUUUUGUGUAUUUAUGCUAUUAGUAGUUGGAAGAUUCUUUCACUCAAACCUUUUUGUCUUUGAACGCCUUCAUCACAUUGGAAGAUUCUUUCGUAUGAAUCUUUCCCACCAACCAAAAACCUUCAUCUUUACUCCUUUCUCCCACUUCAGGUAUUUUGACUAUCUCCCCCUCCUCCUCGAAAUCAACAUCUUUCAUAUUCUUCAUUUUGUGAAAUUCAAGUAGGCAGAUCUGAGAAAAGACAAGAACAGUUGUCUUGAGAUUUGAGAAAAAUCUUCCUGCUCACAACUAGAGAAACCCUAGCAAAGCCUUCAAAGGGAGAUUAAAACAAUAUAAACAUAAAUUUCAAAUUAACUAAUAUUUAUAAUUAAUUAGAUAUCAAUAAUGAUGGUUAACUGUAUUUUUAGGAAAUCAGCAAGCAAACAUUGUUUAAAGUAGUACAAAAACAAGAGCUUGUUUGUUCAUUGUACAUAUUUAUUUUUUGUUUUUAAAUAACAAAACAAAAUGUUUGAUAAAAGUAAUUUGGGAUAUUUUAAAAAACAAUCUUGGUUUUAGUUUUUAAAAUUGAAAGUGAACAAUAUAUGAUUUUUCUCUUGUGUUAAUUACUCUUAUUCUUGGUUUAAAUACAAUUUUGGUCCACCUAUUUUUUUCAAUCCGUAAUUUUGGUCUAUCUAUUUUAAAAUAAAAAUAUUUCAUUCAUUUAUUUUAAGAAAUUCUCAAUGAAACCGUGAACCUAACGUCUUCAUUUAUGGUACCAUAAAAAUGUGUUAAUUAAUUAAAGUGAAUGAAACAAAUGUAGGCAAAAUUCAAAGAUAUACAGAAGUUAUGAUUUUUUUAAAAAUAAUAGACCAAAUGCCUUUAUUUUAAAAUAGUAUAACCAAAAUUGUAGGUGGACUAAAAUUAUAUUUAAGCAUUUCUUAUUUUUGUUGCUUCAUCUUCAUCUUCCAUUAACUUUAUUUUUUCCCGUUCUAAAUAUUAGGUAUUGACAAAUGUUCGGCAAAAAAGUUUUCAAAACCAAAAAAUAAAAUCAGAAUCAAGCACACUCUAAGAACUAUAAUAGAUUUAUCAUUUUGUCAUAUAUAUUUUAUAGAAAUGUUAGUAAGUACCAUGCAAUGGAUGAACCUAAUGGAGAACAAUAGACGCUUGUACAAUUAUAACUUUUUACUCAAAUUUCUCUUAAAUUUUGAUCCAUAUAUGGACACACCUUUUCUUUGUUUUUAUUAUGUUUUUUAUUAUAGGAAUGAAAGUGAGGCUAUCAAAACUAUUGUUGAAAACGUUACGCGUUUGUUAGACAAGACAGAGUUGUUCGUUGCUGAUAAUCCAGUCGGCGUAGAACCACGAGUCCAGGAAAUGAUUGAACUAAUAGACCAAAAACAAUCAAAUGAUGUUCUACUACUCGGGAUGUGGGGGAUGGGAGGCAUUGGUAAAACGACUAUUGCAAAAGCCAUUUACAAUAAGAUUGGCCGCAAUUUUGAGGGAAAAAGCUUCCUCGCACAUAUUAGGGAAGUUUGGGAGCAAGAUGCUGGUCAAGUAUAUCUACAAGAACAACUUCUAUUUGAUAUCGAAAAAGAAACAAACACAAAGAUGCGUAAUGUUGAAUCAGGAAAAGUUAUGUUAAAAGAACGACUUCGCCAUAAAAGGGUACUUCUUAUACUUGAUGAUGUAAAUAAAUUGCAUCAAUUGAAUGUUUUGUGUGGAAGUCGUGAAUGGUUUGGUUCAGGGAGUAGAAUAAUCAUCACAACUAGAGAUAUGCAUAUACUUAGAGGGAGAAGAGUUGACAAAGUGUUCAGAAUGAAAGGAAUGGAUGAAGACGAAUCUAUUGAGCUUUUUAGUUGGCAUGCAUUUAAGCAAGCAAGUCCAAGAGAAGAUUUUAUUGAACUUUCUAGAAAUGUAGUUGCUUAUUCUGCGGGAUUGCCACUAGCUCUUGAAGUCCUUGGGUCCUAUUUGUUUGAUAUGGAGGUAACAGAGUGGAAGAAUGUAUUGGAGAAACUCAAGAAAAUUCCUAAUGAUGAAGUACAAGAGAAAUUAAAAAUAAGCUAUGAUGGUUUAACUGAUGAUACAGAGAAAGGAAUAUUCCUUGAUAUAGCUUGUUUCUUUAUAGGAAUGGACCGGAAUGAUGCUAUACAUAUAUUAAAUGGUUGUGGGCUUUGUGCAGAAAAUGGAAUACGUGUCUUGGUAGAAAGAAGCCUUGUAACUGUAGAUUAUAAGAACAAGCUUGGAAUGCAUGAUUUGCUGUGAGACAUGGGAAGAGAAAUCAUUCGUUCAAAAACACCAAUGGAGCUUGAGGAGCGUAGUAGGUUAUGGUUUCAUGAAGAUGCGCUUGAUGUAUUAUCAAAAGAAACUGUAAGACUUCCAUCUAUUAUUUUUUUUUAUUUAAAAUAUCCAAAGCUAAUGGAUACAACUAACACAUUUAUGAGUCAGUUCUUAAUAUUCAUUUGUGCGAUUGAUUGUCACAAGAAUUUUGAAAAUUGGUUUGGUUGUGAAUUGGUUUUUGCUUCUUAGCUCCUAAAACAAAUGAUGGGUUUUCUCACAAGAGUUUUAACUACCAUAUAUCUUUUUAGCUACGCAUGUUUUACCCUUUCAUUUUUUCUAUCAUAGGGAACAAAAGCUAUUGAGGGACUGGCUUUGAAGUUACCAAGAACUAAUACAAAAUGUUUGAGCACUAAAGCUUUUAAGGAGAUAAAAAAACUCAGGUUGCUUCAACUUGCUGGUGUACAACUGGUUGGAGAUUUCAAGUAUCUUUCCAAAGAUCUUAGAUGGCUUUGUUGGCAUGGAUUUCCUUUAGCAUGCAUACCAACAAACCUUUAUCAAGGAAGUCUAGUUUCCAUUGAGCUAGAAAACAGCAAUGUUAAUCUUUUGUGGAAAGAAGCCCAGGUAUUAAUUUAGGGUGUGUUUGGUUUGUAUUUUCAUUUUCUGUUUUCAUUUCCUGUUUUCAUUUUUUGAAAACUGUUUUCAUUUUCAAAAGAUUUGAAUUCUGAAAACAUGUUUGGUUUGAUUUCUUGUUUUCUGUUUUCAUGAAAUAAAAAUACUGAAAAUUUAUGAUAUAUUGACUUAUUGUCUUUUUGUAUUUUUAGAUUUGCUUAAAACUACAUUCAUUGUCACCGCAAUUUCAUUUUAACCAAAAUGAAGUUUCUGUUCUCAACUGAAAAUACUGAAAACGAAAAUUUAUUGUUUUCAUUUUCUAGUUGUUUCCUGUUUUCAUUUUCACGGAAAAUAUUUUCAGAAAUCAAACCAAACACAUUUUCAUCACCAUUUUCUGUUUUCAGUGAAAAUGAAAACAGAAAACAACCAAACCAAACACCCCCUUAGUUUUUUGAAAUUCAUUAGUAUUUUUUUCUCUUCUUUAUGGUGUAAUUUAAAUUGUCUCAAAUGUUAAUACUAUUUCACUAUAUAGUGCUUUUAGACAAAUUUCAUCAAUGUUUUUCUCAGCCUCUCUUAUAUUGCAAGUACUUAUGUAAAAGUUUAAGUUUAAAUAAAAAAUUUAAUUAUUAAUAUGCUCCUUUUAUUUAUUUAGAAUAUUUAAUUAGGUCAUUUUAUUUCUGAAAGUUUCAAUCAAGUCUUUUAUUUUUUUUAAAUGUCUCAAUGUGAUAUUUUUUGUCUAAUUGAGACUUACGACGUUAAGUUGCAAACUCCAUGAAAAGAAUCACAUUGAGAUAUUUUUAAAAAAUAAAGAAUUUGAUUGAUAAUUGAAUAUUCUAAAUAAAUAAAGAGAUCAAAUUGAUAAUUAAGUAUAACUAAAAUGAACGUUUAUAUAUUCAUAUUCUAAUACAAGCUCUAGCCUCCCUUUUAUACGGUAAGCCUAAAAUUGGAAAUGAUCAAGAUACCAACAUUUAUUUUUUUCAUAUCCUAAAAUAUCUAAAUGAACAUUUAGCAAAAAAAAAAUUAUGCUAAACCACAAAAAUUGAGGCUAAAUGAACAUUUAGCAAAAAAAAAAUUGUGCUUGAGCCAACACUAAAUAGCGUCAACUAAGUUGACUUAUAGAAAACACUAUUAUGAGUCUAUUUGUAUUUGUGGUAUUUACUAGACGACAUUUAUUAGUGUCAAAUUAGAUUAUGUUAAUUUUAGUGUUGACUUAAUUCGUGCUAAUAGUGUAGGUUAGACCUUGGAAACACAAAUCUAAACCUUGAAGCAUCCCCAUUUUUGUGCUGGCAUAGCUGACACAAAUAAAUUUAUAUGCAAUCUAUAGCGAUUAUUUGACCUGAAUUAAGUCAAUGCUAUGUUACAAUAGAUAGUGUAGGCAUUGUGGUGUUGGUGUUAAAUUUUAUGGCUAUUUUGUUCUUUACUUGUGAUACCACCAUUUAAUGAUGCAUUAGAACUUUAAUUCCAAUGCUAAAGUUUACGAAUAUUUUUCUCUUGUAGUGAUAUCCUCAACAUGCAUAAGCAAUAUAAAAAAGUUGCAUUGCCACAUCAUAUAAAAACUCAAAAUUCUUGAUAAUGAUUGUAUGUAUGAAACUUUGGUAUAACAACAAUAAAGUCUUAUUUUUCAUUAGGUAAGUGUAAAACCUUGAUACAUUAAAUUAAAAGUUUUACCGUCAAUGUAAUUCUAAUUUUUUUUUUAAGAUUAUCUAUUAUCUAAUAAAAUAGAUUUUGUAAGUUUAUUAUGAACUUACAUUAUAGUUUUUUUUUUUUAAAAAAAAACAUAAGAGACGGAGCUUAUUAUGACCUCCUCUUCAAAUAAUUAAAUAUAAUAAAAACAAAGGAGAGGUAAGGUAGGAGUUGCAAUUUUUACUAAUUGAUCAAAGAAGCCAUAAAAUGCUCAUAAAAACUUAUAGGAAAAAUUGCAAAAUUAGUCUUCCACUUUAUCUUUAAUUUCAGAUUUGGUUCCUCAUUUUUUUAAUUCAUGAAUUUGGUCUUCUUGUUUUGUAAAAUCGUGCAAUGUUGGUCCUCCAUGACAUAAUUGGACGUUGACUGUUAGCAAAUGAUAUUGAGUGUCACGUGUCACGUUCUUAUUAGAUAAUAACUAUCACGUGUCAUGUUCUAAUUGGAUGUCAACUACAUAAAAAAUAAAAUGCAUUGUUGUUCUCAAAAGAGUUAUAUAUAUAUAUAUAUAUAUAUAUAUAUAUAUAUAUAUAUAUAUAUAAUGGAAGACUUCAAAAGAAAAAGUAAACCUUUAUCAAAAUAUAUUGGCACUAAGAAAUGGCAUUACACAGGUAUAAAUAUUUCACUUUCUAUUGAGAUGCUCGUAACACAAUGUAAUUGAUUCUAUUUAUGUUUUGAGUUUUAUCUCUAACUUUAAUUAUCUAUUGUUUGCUUUUUUUUUUUGUUGUAGGUAAUGGAGAAGCUGAAAAUUCUUAAUCUCAGUCAUUCUCAUUAUUUAACACAGACUCCACACUUUUCAAAUUUGCCUAAUCUUGAAAAGCUAUUACUCAUAGAUUGUCCAAGGUUGUCCGAGAUUUCCUAUACCAUUGGACAUCUCAAUAAAGUUCUUCUAAUAAAUUUUCAAGAUUGUAUUAGCCUUGGUAAGCUUCCAAGAAGUAUCUAUAAGUUGAAAUCUCUUAAAGCACUCAUUCUUUCAGGAUGUUUAAAGAUUGACAAGUUAGAAGAGGAAUUGGAACAAAUGGAGUCUUUGACAACCCUUAUUGCGGAUAAGACUGCAAUAACAAGAGUGCCAUUUUCAAUAGUUAGAUAAAAAAGAAUUGGAUAUAUCUCUUUGUGCGGCUAUGAAGGAUUCUCACGUGAUGUGUUUCCUUCAAUCAUUUGGUCAUGGAUGUCACCAACAAAUAGUCUCUCAUCCCGCGUUCAAGCAUUUCUAGAUGUGUCAUCUCUCGUUUCUUUAGACGUGCCAAAUAGUAGUUCCAAUCAUCUAUCAUAUAUUUCUAAGGACCUUCCACUGCUUCAAAGUCUUUGUAUAGAGUGUGGCUCAGAACUUCAACUUUCUCUAGAUGCUGCAAAUAUUUUGGAUGCUUUAUAUGCCACAAAUUUUGAAGAACUGGAAUCAACUGCAGCCACAUCGCAAAUGCAUAAUAUGAAUGUUUUAACAUUAAUUGAAUGCAACAAUCAAGUACACAACUUAGGAUAAAAAAAAUUCAGGAGAUCACUUUUAAUUCAAAUGGGAACGAGUUGUCAAGUCACCAAUAUUCUGAAACAGAGAAUUUUACAGGUUUUACCCUUAAUUUCUCUCUUAUGUAUCUAAUUUCCUUAUCUUUUGUCAAUAGAAUUAUUUUUAAUAUAUCAAUUAUAUGUGGAAGUGUAUACUAUUAUACGUUAUAUAUAUAUAUAUAUAUAUAGAAAGUUACGAUACGAGUAUUUAGUAAUUAAAAACUAUCUUCUAAUCAUGUGUUAGUCAAUCUGUCAUUGCGGUAAGAGCACGAAAUCCAACAUAAAUCUGAAUUUUACAUUAGUUAAGUGUAGUACUAGUAACAUCAUUUUUAUAUGUACUUUAUUUCAUCAUUAACUGCUAUCAUAUUCAAAGUGCAUAUUUAAUUUAAUGCUAGGUAAUUUUAAAAUAUAUAUAUAUAUAUAUAUAUAUAUAUAUAUAUACACUUUAAUGCGAGGUACAAUUUAUUAUUGUCACGAUAUAAAAUUCAAUAUUAAAUUGAAAAUGUUCUCUCACUUUUCAUUGUUUUUUCGGUUGGUAUAGAACUAUUUUUUAUUCAUUUUAUGUUUAUUUUGUUACGGGUAUGGAACUCUUACUUGGACCAAUGGAUUUUGUUUAAAUUAUCCAAGCAAAUAUAUUUAUGCAUAACUUUAAAUUUUUUUUUAACAAUUUACUUUUCCUACUUAUGAUUGUUCUGAGUAGUUUUUGCGUAAUCAAGAUUAUAAUUUUAAAUGAUGAGAAAAUGAGUUAUUAUCUUGUUAUAUCUUAAAUUGUUGAAUUAAUUAUAUGGUGGUACUAAUACAUUGAUUGAUAAACUUUUGAGCAUAUAUCUUCAUUUUUACAGAAUAUGGCUACUAGUGAUGGUGGUGGUUGUUUGCUCGCCGGUGAUAGCUAUCCAUAUUGGUUAACCUUCAACAGCGAAGGUUCAUCCAUGACUUUUGAAAUCCCUCAAGUGAAAGGGCGUAACUUGAAGAAAAUGAUGUGCCAUGUCCAUUAUUCUUCCCCGGAAAAUAUAACUUCAGAUGGUUUGAAAAAUUUGUUGGUGAUAAAUCACACAAAGGCCAUCAUUCAACUUUAUAAGAGAAAUGCAUUAGUCUCCUUUGAAGAUGAGGAGUGGCAGGGGGUACUAUCAAAAAUAGAGCCUGGAAACAAAGUGCAAAUUGUUGUUGUCUUCUGGAGCAAAUUAACUGUUUACAAGACAACAAUUUAUCUCAUAUAUGAACCAAUGAAUGAAAAAAUAGAGCAUUCCCGUGCACUAAAUAAGAAUGUAAUGGAUUCUAGUGGUGAUGAAAAUGAAUGUGUUGUUGGGACCAUCUCUCUUCAAGUAGAAUCCAUAUAUAAGCCAACAAAUGACAUAAUGGAGCAUUGCCAUGCAUCAAAUAAGAAUGCAAUUGUUUCCAGCAGUGAUGAAAAUGCAUGUGUUGUCAGGCCG
rnacentral:lncRNA from 1 species